UUCUUUAGCCUAGACCACUUUUCUGGGUCCUCAUUCCAAAUGUCAUCCAAAACAAGCAAAUAUUUUUUCCCAUCAAUUUUAUCUCGAAGUUGUUUUUGCAAUUGAUCCAUUUCAAGAUUUUGAUCAGGUGCAUGAUGAGUCACAGAUUUGAUAAUGUUUGCUACAAUAGCUUUCACAUCAAAAUCAUCUGAAACACACGCAAACAUCGUUAAGUCAAAAUGAUUUUUGACCAUUUCAUGGUUAUAGACAAGUUGGGCCAAAGCAGUCUUCCCUAACCCUCCAAACCCCACAAUUGGAAUGAUAUAAACAUUCUCUUCACUUUGAAACUCCAACACGAGUUUUAGAAGAGCUGCUUUAUCAUCAUCCCUCCCUAUUAUGUCAUCUUCACGCUCAAAAGAGUGCGUUUGCUGCCUCCUUUUAGUCAUGAAAGAGGUUUCCGCGGGGCGAUCACGCGGAAUGAAGCCAAAAGUGUUGGUCUCGCUUUCAAUUGAAGCUAAUCUCGCCUUAAUGGCCUUCAUUUUCCGACCCAUUUUGAGACCAUAAGCAAAUUGGUUUGAGGUUGAGAAGAAAAGGCGUACCUCUUUCGUCAGCUUGUUCCCACCCGAUACAUCUUUCCGCAAAGCUUCAGUAGAGAAAUCAUCGAGCAAGUCGUCGGCAUCAUAAAGUACAUCUUUCAGCUCUUCAAGCCAAACUUUGACGAGAUUGUCGGUCACCGAUUUCUCUUCUGCGUCAAGAAGCACAGCUUUGAUUUGACAGACAGUGCGUUUGAGGUCGUGGAUGUCAUGUUUUAGAUUCCACCACAGCCCAACUUGAGAGAGAGCACGAGAGCUCAACUUAAUAAUGAGCUCUGCGGCAAUGUCGAAAGCAAUUGCUUCGGCCAUUGUUGGUUCAAACUGAAAUCAAUGCAAAAAGUGUUUGAUUCGUGAAAGAGGAGGACUAAUAUGAGAAUGAUUCCAACAAGAUGAAACACAGAUGUGGAUCCAUACACGCGGAGACUGAAGUAUAUUUAUAGAUGUUACCAUCCACCCAGCAAGUAGUAUAAUUAAAUAAAAAGUAAUUUUAAGAGAUUCAUUAAUAUAAUUAUUUGUCUAUGCAAUAUGUCAAAGUAAAAUGUAAGAGGUUGAUUUGGCAUAUCCCAAUAUAUUUUGUUAUAGUUUGGAUGGUCAUUCUUGUCAAGUUACCUAUCAUUGGCAAAGCUUGGUAGAGACUCUUAAAAUGGUAAAUUUUUAAUUUAAACCUUUUAUAAUUUAUAAAAUUUUAAAUUAAUAAUGAUAAAAUUAUAAUUUAAUCCUCUAAAAAUUUAUAAAAAAUUAAUUUAACUCUUUAAAAAUUAUAAAGAUAUACUACUAUAAAAAUAUAUAAUUUAAUUCCGACUAAAAUUUUUUUUAGCUCGGCUACCGUUGCCUAUAAAAGAAAAAUAAAUUUCGUUUUCCACACAAUAUGUGGAGAGAUAUUGGGUUUAUGUCAGCUCCAUGGGAAUGUAUUUUAUUGGAAUUGAAGGAAAAAUCAUUACUUAUACCCUUAUGAAGAUUGCUUCCAAUGCUCAUAUCUAUUUAAUUAUUUUAUUACACAUAAAAUUGUUUAUUGUGAGUUGGAUGCUUUUGGUUUGAUUAUUUAAGAUAUUUUAUUUUUAAAUAUAUUCUUAAUUAUUUAUUUUACAUAUACAUGUAUUUUAACUUAAUAUAUUUAAUAGUGAUUUUGUUUUUUAUAAAAAAAGGACCCAAAGGUACUACCUCAUUUUAAGUUGCAUCAUAAAUUACAAUGUUAUGGAUAUCGCUAGGAUAAUUCAUCCCAAAAGAUAAAUUACAACACUUAGAAAGAGCCCAAUUACAAAGAGAUCGACUAAUUUGUUACAACCACGUUUCACCCAUUUGACCUCGGCGGAAACAAAAGAAUCAAGCAUCUUGUGAGCUCAUUGAUGCAGUGAUCAAGGGUCGUUAUGUCCUCUUUGUGAAAACUAAAGCGGUUGAUAAUGCUAGCACAAUCUGCUUCAAAAAUGACAUUAUCGGCUUCAAAAAAUUGAGCAUGCCGAAAACCAUCAAUGAGGGCAUCUAAUUCUGCUUUAAUAGUGAUUUUUUAUUCUCAUUUUAUCGGUAUAUUUGUUGGAACAUUUUCAAAUAUUUAUAGUGUUCCAAUAACUAUAAAUGAAUUGGUGUAAUUAAUCAAAAGAUUACAUUAUUUGAUUUUUUGAAAAAGAGUUAUAACUAUUUAAAUAAUAUUAUUUGAAUAGAUAUAAAUGAAUAAUUAUGUGUUUAUUUUUAAGACAUUAUUAUUCAGAAAGACACCUAUUGCUGAAGAGACAUGAAAAUUUCUAUAAGUAGAAAUGGGAUUUCAUUUGGAAAACGUACCAAAAAAUUCUAAAUAUUCUUUCUUUCCUUCCUUCAUUUUCUAAUAUUAUUAGAUUAUUCUAUAAAGUAUUACUGCAGAAAUUCUUUGUAGAAAUUGAGUUUUUGAUAUACAUUGCUUAAUGCUUGGUGGACUAUUCUCGUCAGUGCAAAACGCAAAUAGUCAUUGGCUUCAUUGUAUCCUCGAGGUUAAUUUGCUUGAAACUCAUUUGCACACCGAAUAUAGGUGGGGGUGAAUAUAACCUUAAAGAUAGUGGCUUGAUACACGCCUUGGAGCAUUGUCAUUUUUCUUCUUUUUCUGUUCGAGUUCUGUUUGUGUGUUCGAGAUUUUUCUCACUGGAGUUUUGUACUAACAAUUUUAAGGUUAUAAUUCAUGAUGACUACCACAACACAUGAAAGUGGAACACUAAGGGAGUUGGCUUCCAACUUUGUUAAACUUGAUCGGUUUGAUGGUUGUAAUUUUCGACGAUGGUAGAAAAAUAUGCACUUCUUAUUAUCAACUUUGAAGAUUGCUUAUGUUUUGGAUACUCUAAGACCUGAAGAGAAUGAAAACCAAUCUGUUGUUGCAACUUGAGAAAGAUAAAAAUGGGACAAUGCUGACUACAUGUGCAUGGGCCACAUAUUGAAUGGUUUAUCUGAUGGUUUGUUUGACACCUACCAAAACGAGGUCACCGCUAAAGAAUUAUGGGACAAAUUGGAGACAAGAUACAUGACCGAAGAUGGUACAAGUAAGAAAUUUCUUGUCAGUCAUUUCAAUAAUUAUCAAAUGGUUGAUGGUCAUUCUAUUAUGGAACAAUUUCGUGAUAUUGAAAAGAUGUUGAAUCAAUUCAAGCAAUAUGGUAUGAAAAUGGAUGAAAUGAUUGUUGUAUCCUCCAUAAUAGACAAACUUCCUCCAUCUUGGAAAGACUUUAAAAGAAGUCUAAAACAUAAGAAAGAGGAAAUAUCUCUUGAGGCUUUGGCAAAUCAUCUUCGUAUUGAAGAAGAGUAUAGAAAACAAGAUCAAAACCUAAAUUCAGAAAUUGCCAAAGUGCAUGUUACGGAGGAAGUACAGACUACUAAACCAUUCAAGAGAAAGUUUAAACAGACUGAUAGAGCACCAAAGUUCAAAAAGAAACAAAAGGGCUCAUGCUAUCAUUGUGGAAAGCCCGAACAUUUCAAGAAUGAAUGUCGAUUUUUAAAGAAGAAAUCAUCUUUUAAGGCUGAUAAUAACGAAAAAUUCGUUGCAAUGAUAUCUGAAAUUAAUAUGGCACAACAUGAAAGUACAUGGUGGAUUGAUACCGGAGCAACCAAACAUGUGUGCAAAGACAAAAGCAUGUUCACAAAGUUCACACAAUGAAAAAAUGACAAUGUCUUGUACAUGAGAAAUUCUUCCACCGCAGCAAUCAAAGGCAAAGAGUCUGUUGAACUACAAUUCACUUCUGGAAAGGUUUUAACCUUAAAUGAUGUAUAUUAUGUACCAGAAGUUUGAAAUAAUUUAGUGUCUGGAAGUCUGUUGAAUAAGUUUGGUUUCAAACUUGUUUUUGAGGCAGAUAAGUUUAUUUUGUCUAAGGGACGAAUUUUUGUGGGGAAAGGGUAUAUGUAUGAGAGCAUGUUCAAACUCAAUAUUAUUAAUAAAAAUAAAAAUACUAUUUCUACUUAUAUGGUUGAAUUUUUUUGUUUGUGGCAUUAUAGAUUAGGUCAUUUGAAUUAUAGAAAAUUGAAUGACAUGUAUAAGUUAGAUUUAAUUCCUAUUUUUAAUAAUAACAUUGAAAAAUGCAAUACAUGUAUGUUGACUAAAAUUACAAGAAACCCUUUCCCUAAGGUUAAAAGGAAAACAAAAUUGCUUGAUUUGAUACAUAGUGAUUUAUGUGACAUGCAUAAUACUCCUACAUUAGGUGGAAAGAAAUAUUUUGUUACUUUUAUUGAUGAUUGUUCUAGAUAUUGUUAUGUAUAUUUAUUGCAUUCAAUAGAUGAAGCGCUUAAUAAAUUUAAAGUUUAUAAAUCUGAAGUUGAACUUCAGUGUGAGUCAUUUAUCAAGUGCUUAAGAUUAGAUAGAGGUGAAGAAUAUUAUAAUCCAAGUUAUUUUGAAUCCACUGGAAUUGUCCAUCAAGUUUUAGCCCCUUACACACCACAACAAAAUGGUGUAGCUGAAAGGAAAAAUAGAAUCUUAACUGAAAUGGUAAAUUCAAUGUUAUCAUAUUCAGGUAUUGGACAAGGUUUUAGGGCGAAACUGUUCUAACAACUUGUCAUAUAUUGAAUAAAGUUCCUAAUAAGGAAACUAAAAUAACCCCCUAUGAACCAUGGAAGAAAAUGAAACCAAACCUUAAUUAUUUGAAGGUUUUGGGUUGUAGAGCUAUUGUAAAAGUUCCAACACCUAAACGUAAAAAGUUAGGUGAAAGAGGAAUUGAAUGCAUAUUUAUAGGUUAUGCACAUAAUAGCAAGGCAUAUAGGUUCAUGGUAAUUGAACCAAAUGAUUCAAUUUCAAUUAAUAAUGUUAUUGAAUCAAGAUAUGCUAUUUUUGAUGAAAAUAGAUUUAAUUCUAUAUCAAGACAAUUACAGCCACAACAAUUGAUUCAUUCUUCAAAUGAGAAUGAGAUUCCAUUGGAACAAAUUGAUAAUAAUAAUGAAUCUUGUCAAGAAUUAAGAAGAAGUAAGAGAAUUAAAAAAUGUCAAAGAUUUUGGACCAAAUUUUAUUAUGUUUCUUGUAAAAGGAAAAGGUGAAAGUAUAUGCAAUAAGAUACCUUAUUGUUAUAAUACAGAAUCUGAUCCUAUUACAUUUGAAGAGGCAAUGAAAUCUCAAGACUCUGCUUUUUGGAAAGAAGCAAUAAAUGAUGAGAUGGAUUCAAUAAUGGGAAAUCAAACUUGGAUCUUAGUUGAUCUUUCACCAGGUUCCAAACUAAUAGGUUGUAAAUGGAUCUUCAAAAAGAAAAUGAAGGUUGAUGGAACCAUUGAUAAAUUUAAAGCAAGGUUGGUAGCCAAAGGUUUUAUACAAAAUCAAUGUAUUGAUUACUUUGAUACCUAUGCUCCAGUAGCAAGAAUUGCUACAAUUAGACUCUUAAUAUCACUUACCUCUAUAUAUAAUUUAGUUUUUCACCAAAUGGAUGUUAAAAUUGUAUUUUUAAAUGGUGAAUUAGAAGAGGAAGUGUACAUGGAGUAACAGGAAGGAUUUAUUGUUCCAGGACAAGAGCAUAAGGUAUGUAAGCUUGUUAAAUCUUUAUAUGGGCUUAAACAAGCACCAAAACAAUGGCACCAAAAGUUUGACAAGGUUGUUUUAGCUAAUGGCUAUAAAAUAAAUGAAUCUGAUAAGUGCAUAUAUAGCAAAUUUGAAAAUGGAAAAGGUGUCAUAAUUUGCUUAUAUGUAGAUGACAUGCUCAUUUUUUGCACGGAUUUGGAACAAAUAGAAAACACAAAGAAAUUCUUGUCAAACAACUUUGCUAUGAAGGAUAUGAGUGUAGCAGAUGUUAUUCUUGGGAUUAAAAUAACCCGAGAUGAAAGCACUAUAGCUUUAUCACAAUCACAUUACAUUGAAAAUGUGCUUAAAAAGUUUGAUCUUUUCAACUGUAUACCAGCAUCUACACCCAUGGAUCCUCAAAUAAAAUUAGUAUCUAAUGCUAGUAGGAAAAUUGAUCAAUUGAAAUAUGCAAGUCUAAUUGGUUGUCUUAUGUACAUAAUGACUUGUACAAGACCAGAUAUUUCAUAUGUUGUUGGAAAAUUGAGUAGGUACACAAGUAAUCCAAGUAGUUUGCAUUAGCAAGCUUUGAAUAGAGUACUUAAGUACUUAAAGAAAACUAUUAACUAUGGAUUGUGUUAUAACAGAUAUCCUCCAGUUUUAGAAGGUUAUUCGGAUGCUAGUUAGAUUACAAGUUUGGAAGAUCAUGCAUCUACUAGUGGAUGGAUCUUCAUUCUUGGUAGAUAAGCCAUUUCUUGGGGUUCCAAGAAACAAACAUGUAUUACUGAUUCCACCAUGGCAGCAGAAUUUAUUGCAUUAGCUGCUGCAUCUAAAGAAGCAGAAUGGUUAAGAAAUUUUCUUUAUAAUGUACCUUUAUGGCCUAAGCAAAUUUCACCUAUUUCUAUACGUUGUGAUAGUGAGGCUACUCUAGCAAAGGCAUAUAGCCAAGUAUAUAAUGGAAAGUCUAGACACAUUGGAUUAAGACAUAGUUAUGUCCGAUAAUUAAUCUCUGAUGGAGUGAUCACUAUUAAUUAUGUGAGGUCAAGUGAAAAUUUGGCAGAUCCUUUGACAAAAAGUCUUGCUAGAGAUAUAAUAAAAAGGACCUCAAAAGGGAUGGAACUCAAGCCCAUUAAUUAGAGUCACCCAUGAUGGAAACUCAAAUCAAUGCUUGGUAUAACGUCAAGUCUUGAGUUCAAUGAGACAAAGUACAUCAUUAGUAUGUGACUGUUAGCACUAUAAAUAAAUCCAUCCUAAGAUUAAAGUGCUAGGUAUCCAUAAUGAUAAGGAAAGGAUGAAUAAUGUACUCUUAAUGGACCCAUAACAGAAAUAUGUUAGAGUGUUAUAAUUACGGGAACACUCUUGAUGGGAUCUACCUAUGUGAGUGGAAGUGCGGCCGCUUCUAGGAGCUUAAGGGUUUGACUCUGACAGCACUCAUGAAAAGAGGACACAGACAUAUGGCCAUAAUAGUGUCUCUAGAUACUAUGCAUUGGCCGAUGUUGAAAUCAUUGUACGAGAUGUGUUCAGUUAAUCAAAUGGAAUAGUUGGUUCAAAGCUUUGUCUACCGUGCAUUUUUUAUUAACUUUAACAUAUAUUCACUAAGUGAAGGUUCAAUUGUAAGAUACAUUCAUUUAUGCAAAUUGAUUUCCAAGAAUAUCAAAAUCUAAAAUAUUUUGAAAAUGGGGGGGGAGAUUGUUGGAGCAUUUUCAAAUAUUUAUAGUGUUCCAAUAACUAUAAAUGAAUGGGUAUAAUUAAUCAAAAGAUUAUAUUAUUUGAUUUUUUGAAAAAGAGUUAUAACUAUUUAAAUAAUAUUAUUUGAAUAGUUAUAAAUGAAUAAUUAUGUGUUUAUUUUUAAGACAUUAUUAUUCAGAAAGACACCUAUUGAUGAAAGAUGUCUCUAUGAAGAGACAUGAAAAUUCCUAUAAAUAGGAAUGAGAUUUCAUUUGGAAAACAUACCAAAAAAUUUCAAAUAUUCUUUCUUUCCUUCCUUCAUUUUCUAAUAUUAUUAGAUUAUUCUAUAAAGUAUUACUGCAGAAAUUCUUUGUAGAAAUUGAGUUUUUGAUAUACAUUGAUUAGUGCGUAGUGGACUAUUCUCGUCAGUGCAAAACGCAAAUAGUCAUUGGCUUCAUUGUAUCCUCGAGGUUAAUUUGCUUGGAACUCAUUUGCACAUCAAAGAUAGGUGGGGGCGAAUAUAACCUUAAAGAUAGUGGCUUAAUACACACCUUGGAGCAUUGUCCUUUUUCUUCUUUUUUUGUUCGAGUUCUGUUCGUGUGUUUGAGAUUUUUCUCACCGGAGUUUUGUACUAACAAUAUUUACAUUUGAAUUCAAAUACAUAUUCUACAAUUAACUUUAAUCUCACUGUUACAAUACUUAACCUCACUAAAUUACUUGUUUAACAUGAUUAUCGUGAAUUUAUAGAAAGAACAAUCACGAAGCAAAUGCAGAUGCACUUAUGUUUAAAGUGUUUUUAAUUGAAAUUUUAUUAUUUUGAAAAAUAAAAGUAUAAUAACUUUUUUGGCAUUCCAACUUUAUAAAAGAAUUAUUUUAGCUCUUUAUUUAUUUUCCUUCUUUUUUAGUCUUUGAACUUACAUUUUUUUUGUCAAACCAUCCAAAAUGGGUAAAAAAGUUAACGUUUGUUAACUUUGUUGACAUGACAUAUAGGUGGAUUACCACGAGUAUGUCACAUUAGCAAUUAAUUAUUUUUAAAAAUAUCAAAAAAAAUAUUUUCUUAUUAUUUUUUAAUUUUUUUAAUGUUUAAAAUAUUUUUUAAAUGUUUUAAAAUUUUAAAAAAUAAUUAAUUGCUUAUGUGGCAUAUACAUGGAAAUCCGCGUGUAUGUCACAUCAGUAAAAUCAACAGACGUUAAAUUUUCACUCAUUUUGGAGUGAUUUAACAAAAAUUACAAGUUUAAGAACUAAAAGAAACGAAAAAUUAAAUGAUAAGUUGAAAUAACUUUUUCCGUAAAGUUAGAGACCAAAAGAAUCAUUAUGGCAAAAAAUAGUUGUUUUUCUUCUCUUUUCUUCUUUUCUUUUUGGUAUCUUUUAGUGCUAAAAUUCAAGAUGGUGUGGAAUAGUUUCUAAUCUUAUUAUUGUUAUAUAUGUUUUCGAUCUCAUUAGAGCUAUAAUCUUAUUGUCUAUAUAAAGAGAGCCUAAAUAUAAUUUGUUUAGCUUCUAUUAAACAUGUUAGUGCUCCUUUGUAUGAUCAUUUUCCUCCCGUGAGUAGGGUUGAGUAAAUAAAAUAAAAUAAUUGAAAAUCGAUCCAAAUCAAGGUGUUUAGACGGUUUAUGGAAUACAAAUUAAAAAAUCACAAUUAUCCGAAACCGAACAAAAUUCUAUUCUUUAUUUAACUUAUAAAUAAUUUUUUUAUAACAUAAAAAAUCUUUUAUAUUGAAAAAUAGUGAAAAUAAAUAUAUAUAUAUAUAUAUAUUUUAAAAAUAUUAUAUAAAAGUAUUUGAUUAUUUUUAUUUACUUAAAAAAAUUUUAAAAAUAUCUAUGAAAAUAACUUUGAAAAUUUGUCAAAUGAUAAUUAAAAGCCGUAAAAUAAAGUUAAUUUUAUUAAAAUAAUUAUAAAAUUUUAUAAUAAAAAAUCGAACUAAACUAAAUUAUAAUGGAUGGAUAAAAAAAUGCAAUCGAAUUAAACUAAUAUCACUUAAUUUUAUUGCACCAAACUGGACAUAAAAGAUUUUCUUAAAAAAUUUAACCUGCAAUGAGACUGUUUUUCUCACUAAAACCUUCUAGAGCGUGCAAUGUCCUCGCCAAGUAAGUAAAUUCAAUAGAGGUUGGAGGCUAAAGGUUGAUACAUAAAAGAAGGGGAGGGGCAUAGUUCUGCUUCAAACAAAACCCCAAAUUUAGCAUCUUGAGUUGUUAAAAUAAGUAAAUUCACCAUACUUUUCCGUUAGAUUUUGGCUCUCUUCUUCAGCAGAAUGUAGCGUACAGUACAAGAAGCAGGGACCAUCCUUUCUACCAUGAUUUGUUUAUCCGCCCACAUAUUCCAACAAAACGAAUAUGGUAAUAAAUGUCAUCAAUUUCCUUCUAAUUUCCAAUGGAUCUGAUAUAAAUGGUGUAACUAUAUUCAAGAGUACUUGUAUAAUAUAUAUGCCCAACUGAGUACUAGAUGGAAUCUAUGCUGUUGACGGACUCUUGGAGGCAUGUUCGAGAGAGCUUAAACACAUUUAUAUUUUUCAGUGUUCCAUACAAUAUUCUAAUGAGUGUCAAAUUCAUUAAAAAUGAUGUAAAAAAUAAUAUAAGGAGUAGGGUCAAUCCACAGAAAUUGAGAUAUCAACAUUUGUUGUUUGCUUCAACCAAGUUGCACGUCUAGAUUCCUAUCCUGCCCACGAGGUGUGACUGUCUGUGCAAAAAUAAAAAGAAAAAUUCUAAUGUAAUAAAAGUAAAAAUAAUAAAGAUAAAAAUAAGCAAAAAGGAAAUUAAAUUAAAUAAACUAAUAUGAUGGAAUUCAAGCUUUAAGCUCGAUUUUGUUCCAAUUUCAAACCAAUGCACGAUAACAAGUCUUCUCCUUCAACCGAUAAGCCAGUUAUAGUGAUCGAGGAUGCCUCAGACCACUAACCCUUCCAUAUGUAAAUUAAUUACGAGAACGCCCAACAAUUAAUCCUUAUCGAACGAACAACCACAAAACACGCAUCCACGAUUUAGCUCUCUGGUAGCCUUGUGAGCUAAAAGGGUCCAUCUCGAACCAACAACGUCAAUUACGUGAGUCGUUUAGAUCCGAUUGCUAACUUCUUAGUUGGACACGCUAAUGUGUUCUUCGGAAGAUCAAAUACGACAAAUGCUCAAUCCGGUACUUCCAAUUGUACGUCUAUCAACACCGAAUCAAUGAGCUAUUUUUAACAUUGUGUCAACACAACUUUGUGAGAUGCCAAUAUCUAUCUCCUAAAUCAGAGAAACAACAAAUACCGAAAUAAAAGUUUUUAAGUAUAAAUUUAGAUCUCACAGCUGUCUACUGGAUUAUUUAUUUAGCUACUAAUGAAAAUAUAUGAAAUAAAAGUAUAAAUAAAAUUUAAAAAAUAUGGAAAUAGGAUUGCGCAUGGAAGAGAGAAGUGAUAAACAAGUAUGAAUAAAAGAGGGCAAAUUUUCCAAUAAUAAAGAAAAAAAAAUCAUCACCCUUUAAAAAAGAGUGGGCCAAUCUCACUUUUACCCUUUAAAAAAUAUAUACAAUAAUGUUGCAAUUGAUAAUUCUGCCCAACUUGUCGUUCUUUAUUCAUAUAUAGCAUCAUGUCAUGUGGUGCUAUUCAAGAAAAAUACAUUGAAAGCUGCAGAAAAUUUAUAAAGAAAGGCCGUCCGUUAACAAAGUUUUUAAUAAAAAAUUAGUAACUUUUUAUUUAAUUAUUACUUAGUGGGUGGAUGGUGACAUCUUUAAAAUACAAUAUUGACUCUACGGGUGAUGUAUGUAUGUAUUAACGCUUGUAUUUUCAUCUUGUUCGAAUCAUUUCACUCUUCCUCCUGCAAUAAUCAAACACUUUUUGCGUGCCAUCAAUGGCUGAAGCAUUGCUUUCGAUAUUGCUGGAGAGCUCAUUACUAAGUUGAUCUCGCGAGCUCCCUCUCAGGUUGGAGUAUGGUGGAAUUUCAAAGAUAACCUCGAUGACUUCAAACAUUGUUGCUGUCAUAUCUGAAUGGGCUGAUCUAUGAAAAUUAAAUUAACUCUGAUACUACUUAAUUGUUAGGAUCAAUCCAAUUAAGCAAUAAGUAAAUAAAAUAGCGGAAUAAAUUGAGAAAUUGAACACAUAAAUUUAACGUGGAAAAAUCCCUUUAAAGAGGAUUAAAAACCACGAACAAAUAUAAUUUUACUAUAAUGGUAAAAGAACGAAGAGCAUAAAAGAUGGAGAUAAAAACUAAACCCCGAAAACACGAAAACAAAGAACCCUAAAAACGUAAACACAAAAUUCUCUAAAUGUGUUAUGAGUCUUAUUAUUAAUUAUUGGUAUCGUUGAUGUAGCUGAGCGUGUUAAUAUUUGUUGUUAGUGGUAGUAACAUUUUAAUUAUUUUAUUCUACAUUUAUUUGUUUAUUGUAAGUGGGUUGAUGAUUUUUAUUUGUUUAUUUUUGGAAAUUUUGUUUCAUUCUUUUGUUCCAUGUCAUGUUGGAAAAAGAGUUUGAAUAAACAUGUUUGGAGUAUUAGGGUUGUAUAAUCUAAAUUUUAAGAGAUUGUUGGUAAGUCAAGUAAAAAAAAUAUUUUUUAGAAAAUUUAAUAUUUAUUAAUAUAAUAUAUAUGUUUAGCAUUUAUUAGCAUAAUAUAUUUGAGAUUGAUUAGAAUUAAAUUUUUUUUAACCUAUAAAUAGAUGUAGUUGAAACUCCUAUCGUAUGAUUUGAAUUCAAACAAUUAAUGCAAUAACCAUAUAAAAUGGCGUUGGUUUGGCUACCCCUUUGAUGUUUUGGCUUCGUUUUGGUGUUUGUUUUGGGGGUUGUGUCUCUUUGGGUUAGUUUUCAAUAUAUGCGUGCUGAUGAUGCAAUGAAUAAAGAAAUCAAAAGUUAUGCAGAAAUUUCAAUUCUGGAUGGCGCUGCAAUUAUAUUAUUAAGAGUAGUAGCAUUUUAUUUAUUAUUAACAUAUAUUUGUUUAUUGGAUACGUGUGUUGAUGAUGCAGUGAAUAAAGAAAUCAAAAGUUGUGCAGAAAUUUCAAUUUUGGAUGGCGCUGUAAUUAUAUUACUCAGAGUAGUAGCAUUUUAUGUUUCUUUUAGAUGUACAUAUAUUUAUUAGGAAAGGGUUGAAGUUUUUUAUUUGUUUAUUAUUAGGGUUAAAUAUCAAAUUUAUACCUUAGUUUUGGUUCAAUUGUAUAAUUUGAUACAUGAAUUUUGAUUUGGUGCAAUUAUCUACAUGAAACUUGAAUUCUGGUUCAUAUAUAUAUAAAACUUUGAUCUUGAUAUAAUUGUACGCAUUAAAGAAAUGAAUACCUAUAUUUAUUUUCACAUUGGAUUAAUAUAAUAGUAGCGACCUAAAAUUUUUGCGAGUUAGUUAAGGUCGUUACGAAAGGAAAUCUUGGGUUGACGAUUAUUGAAAAUUCGGAAAAGGUCUCAAUUUUACUUAAAAAGAGACGAGUCGCCACCGGUCCUUUUUCUAAGUGAGAUCAGACACCUACUAAAUUCUCUUUUUAAAAGAAAAUUUAUUUUUAAAAUUCUCUUUAAAAAAAGUCGAUUUUAGGUCUGCGUCAAAAUCCAAAGAAAAUUAGAGUUCGGGAGUCUGUUAUGCACAAAGAAGGUAUUAACACCCUCGUGGCGCCCAAAAUCGAUAUCCCAUUAAACGCGUGUUGUCUUAAAUUUUAAAAAUACGAAUUCAAUUUAAUAUUUAAUCAUGAUUCGAUUGAAAAAUGAGAAUUUUGAUAAAUCACAUAUUAUUGUAUUGUAUAUAUUUUAGAAUGAAAUACUGAUAAUUUACGAAUAAAAAUAAAGAUUUUAUUUUUAAUGAGAGAAUUUUUAAAUUUUUUAAUUUUUAGAAGGGCGUUCCGUAUUUAACAAAAAUCAAUGAUAUCCACCCAACAUAGCAGUGAAAUCAAUGACUUAAUGCUAAAUCGGUUCGUUGACUUAGGUAUUGAAAUUAUUUAAAUUAAAAAUUGUAAAUGAAAUAUUUCUAAAAGGCUGUUUAAAAAUGCUAAUUUAAUUAAAAUGAAACAAUAUUUAAAUACAUGGACUAAAUAAAUAAAUACAUGCACUUAUGUUGUGAGAUAUCUAGUGAGUUCAAAAAUUCUCUUCUGAAAAUGGUGGCUAUCAUGUAAUUAGUAGUAUAUUAUUUCAAUUUUGGUGAGAAUUGUAUUCUCACUUAAACGCUUAAUGCCAUUUGCUUAAUUUUUUGUGUGUGUGAUCGUUUGAUCUGUUCAUAAACAGAACUUUUCAUGGUGGCUAAGUUUCUUAGGGGAUAAAUUAUUAGUAGCAUUAUUUGUUUCUGCAGUGAAAUUGUGAUGCCUGUAUUUUAAACUGUGAGGUAUUUCCGUAUUUGAUGAUGUAGUGGAGUUUUGGUAGAUUAAAGUGCUCGUUUGCUGUACUAAGUUGAAAUUGAAUGAAUGCUGGCCUCAUCCAACGCCCAAAACUUGAUGACUUCAACAUUUUUAUGCCUUAAUUCGAGAAGACUAAGUUAGAGUACUAUAAAACUUUCUCAGAAUGCUGAUGAGGCAAAGAUCUAGUGAUCUAAUAUAAUUGCAAUUCAUAGUAUGGUAGUUUAAAUGCUUUGGUAAGAGAGGAAGAUUAUGUCAUGCUACUCCAUUCUCGGUUUAAAUUGGUGCUCUAUAUGAAGAAAGGUUGAUUGUUGUUAGUUCUUUUGAUGUUUUAUCUUUGAUGGAUGUUUGAGAAAUGAUUCAGUUGAUUUUCAUAAUGUCUAUCACUACAGUUUCCAUCUUAUGCGUAAUAUGACUGCUAGUUUAUCGGUCUUCGUAUAUUAUAUUCCUUUUUCUUACUGUUUUCAACACGAAAACAAGUGAGUUACUAGUUAUUUUACUUGAUUUUGUCAUGGCAUUUCAAAGAUGACCUCGAGGACGUCAAAAGCACCAUCUCCACAAUCAAAGCUGCGCUUCUUGAUGCCGAAGAACAAUCCAUGACCAGCACUCUUGUCAAAGAUUGGCUUGAAAAGUUGAAAGAUGCAUUUUAUGAUGCCGAUGAUUGGCUCGAUGAUUUUUCUACUGAAGCUUUGCAGAAAGAUCUACUGAGCAGGAACAAGCUAAUGAAAGAAGUAUGCCUUUUCUUUUCAAGCUCAAACCAAUUUGCUUAUGGUGCCAAAAUGGGUCAUCAAAUUAAGGCCAGGAUGUUCAACUUGGUAGAGUGUGACCGUCCCAUUAAAACCUCUUUCAUAACUAAGAAGAGGCAGCGAACACACUCUUUUAUGAGUAAAGAUGAAAUAAUAGGGAGGGAAGAUGAUAAAGCAGCUUUUCUAGAACACAUAUUAGAGUUCCAAAGUGAAGAGAAUGUUUAUGUGAUUCCGAUUGUGGAGUUUGGAGGGUUAGGGAUGACUACAUUGGCACAGUUUGUCAAUAAAGUGGUCAAUGAUCAUUUUGAGUUGAGGAUAUGUAAAGAUUCCAAACUGGUCAUCUCGGAAGCGAUCUUAAAUUGGACAAAUCAGAGAGAUAAAGAAAUUGCAACCUCAAGAUGAAUACACUAUGAACUUCAUAAAGAAAUUGCAACCACAAGAUGAAUACACUAUGAACUUCAUAGUACAAAGAAAUGAUUUAACCUCAACCCCUCAAACACUUAACGCAAUCUCACUUUUGUACAAUUAAGUAAAUUCUCUCCCAACUCAUUCUAGCUAUGCAAGUGAAAAUUCACAUUCAACACUCAAAUGGUUUUCCUACUAUGAAUCAAGCUCUUAAUAAGCUCCAUGUAAAGUGGAAUCAUAAAUUUUCAAAGGCAAUAUGUCUGGCAAUUGUCAUGCUUGAACAACGACUCUUCCAAAAGCAUCAAUGAACCUGAAAAUUAUAAAUCCCAACAUAGAAUAUGUUACAAAUCCCAUUAUUAUCAGCCUUAUAUUUGCACAUAUGUGUGUUUGGUAUAAUGCUGUUGAUAUAUAAAUAAUGAAACAUUUUAUCAACUUCAACCUCACCACCAAAUAUUCCGAAGCAUCUUCCUUUUCUUCCUGUUUGGACCUUCAGUAACAAAUUUGGCUGGAAUUCUAAACAGCUAAAAGAGUGCCCUGCAUCAAUGAAUAUUAUCAAUUUGAAUACCUCCAAAAGCUUGUCAAUAGCACAGGUACCAUCUAAGAUAGUAAUCAGUUGGCAUAUAUUAAGAGAAAACAUAAAUAUAUAUAAAGAUAUGAUAGGUAAGUGCUUAAAUGAAGAAAGCAGAGCAUAUAGUACAACCAUUUUGAAGGCUUCAUAGGCCUCUCUUUCCACAUCAAUGAUUUUUUAGAAUUAAAUUAUUAGAAGCAAUUGUCAAGUUAUUAUUAUGAUUUAAAAGUAAAAAGAAAAUAGAUAAAUUAGCACCUCUUUUUAUGCAUAUAAAAUGAUUGAAGUUCACUAAUGCCUUUCUCCAAUGCCUUACUGCACAAAUCACCAAAAAUAUUAUGAAAGAUGAUAAGUAAAAAGUAGGAUUAAAACAUAGGGAUUUUAACAAGGAAAUUAAUAGUAUACAACUUCAAUGAAAAAUGGCAUCGGACCCCUGACUUGGAGAUUCAAUAUACAACUCUUAUUUUUCUUCAAAAAAAGAUAAAUAAAUAAAUAACAAAGACAGACCAACCUGAUCCAACCGAAUGUUGGGGAUGUGAGCAAUCUUUUGCCAAUCAGCGCCGAUGUCCUUCCGACAUCUUUCCUCCAACUGAGGAAUUUCUCCUAUUUGUAAAUACUACAAACUGGUCAGGCAACGCAUCUCGUCCGGAAGAGAUGUUAAAUUGGGCAAAUUAAUGAGAUAAAGCCCUUGCAGAUUUGUUAGAUGUUGAAGCAACUCCGGAAGAUGCCGACACUUUGGAAUAUUUUGCAGCCAUAGAGAGCGUAGGCUUGUAUGAUCUAGGAAUAUUUGGAUGCCAGCUCCAGAUAACUCCAGCUCCUUGCAGUCCUUUACUUCAAACCGUUCAAGGAAAGUGAGGUGUUGGAACACAGGAAGCAGUGACCUCAAUCCAUUGCAAUUAUGAAUUUUUAAUGUUUUCAAUUGAACAAGAUGUUGAAGCCAAAUGGGGAGAGACACCAGCUUUGGAAUAUUAUCAAUCUCCAAAUGAGAGAGAUUCUUAAGGGGUUCCCAUUGCAUGGCCUCUAAAUCAACCUCCUUGCAAUCCUCUAUUGUUAAUGUUUUGAGGCUGAUGAGAUGUUGCAGGCACUCAUCUAGCGUGUGAGUGUCCAACCCCUCAAUGUUGUGUACAUAGAAAGAUUUCAAUUUGGAGAGAGGCAGAGAAGAGGUUGAAGUUGAUGGGGACAUACUAGUGAUUUUCAUCUUCAAUGUCUGCUUUAACGGCCUUGAACUGGAAUUCCUCAACUCUAGCUUACCAUCGAGUGAUGGAUACAGUGGCAUUAAAGUCAAAGGGCAAUUUUGAAUUGUUAAAGAGGAAAGACAAGGAAAUGCCAUGGUUGAUGUUCCCAUAACUGUUGUGUCAUCCUCGUUGGAAUCAUCAUCGAUUGGUUUUGUCGUCCUCCACCAACUCUUCAUAUUCGGACAGUCCCCGAGCGAAAGAUGCUUAAGUGAUGGGAAGAAUGAUUGUGGUUCUCCUUGACUUCCUUUUGGGCUAUUAUCAUCCAUGUACUCCAGCUUCGUACAAUCAUGUAUCUCCAGCCCUUUAAGACAAGGAAAUUGCGCAAAGGACUGGAUUUGUUUGAAAUUAACCCCAUCUAUUGUCAUAUAAACGAGAUUUGUGAGCAAAGGAAGCCAACUUGGAAACUUGGCAUCACCCCUCCAUCCUCGAAUGCAGAGCUCCUUGAGAUUAGGAUGGGGUUGGAGGUCUUCAAGUGAUUUAUCAUCACCACCACCACCACCAUCAUCAUACCAUUCUAAAGCCAACGAGCUCAAAUGUUGCUUCUCUUUCAAAUUAGCAGCCUUAAACUUCUCUUUUGCAUUUUUUACGAAUCCCAAAUUUGUUAUUUGUAGAUGUCCCCUUAAGUUGUUAAGCAAUCUCAAUUCACUUAGAUCUGCACCGCCAUGGGACCCAUCUUUAUCCACUACAGACAUGCUUAACGUCUCAAGUGAAGCCAGCUUCCCUAUUCCACGUGGCAUAUGAGUUAAACUAUGACAAGAAUAACACGCAAGAUGGGUAAGAUUCACCAAUUUUUCAAUCUUCUUUGGCAAUUCUUUAAGCCAAGUACACCAGUCAAGUUUCAGCGCUAGCAAAUUCUGAAUCUUGCAAAUACUCUUUGGGAGAAUCUUAAGAUCGCGAUUAUAAGAAAGAUCAAGGUACCUCAAAUGUUUUAACUUACAAAUGGAGGGUGAAAUCUUUUGAAUACAUAUAGAAUUCAAUUUCAAUACACACAAGCAUCUACAAUUUGCAAUUAUCAAAUCCCAAGUUUCAUAGCUGAAAUCUUCACUUAUUCUGUCUUGAAAAUGUAACAAGGUUCGCAACUUCUUUCCCUUAAACAAAGGAAAUAAUGAAGGUUUAAUUGAUAUGUGGCGACAUUUUUCACCAACAUCACUUGCAAUUUUAUUUGAAUCUACAAUACUACUCUCCAUCCCUGCUACUGAUUCAGCUAGAUCAUGCAUUUUACAUGUUAGCCCUUCCCAUAAAUAUCUUUCUCCUUGUACAUCUUGAAAGAAACUUCUUUCAACUAAAUCUUUAAAAUACCCAAACCCGAUCUCCUCCAGAGAUUGACUUUGAUUCAUUGCUUUAUGAAACCCUAUGCAAUCCAAAAUUGAACAAGCGCUUGUACUUUAAUUUUGUUAUCUUUUGGAUACAAUCGGCAAUAAGCAAAGCAAUGCUUCAAAUGAGACGGGAGAUGAUCAUAACUCAAUUUCAGUAUAGGUAGAAGUUCUCCUUCAAUUUGUGAUAUUUUAGCUAGUUCAUUUUCUUUGAAAGAAUGCCACUCAUUUGCAGUUUUCUUCAAAGAUAAUGUACCAGCUAUCGUCCUUAUGGCUAAGGGAACCCCACCACACCUUUCCGAAAUCUGUCUCCCUACUUCCACAAAGGCUGAAUUUGUUGAGUCUGCAUAUCCUUGCUCAAAUGCUAUCUUUUUGAACAAAGACCAAGCAUCAUCAUCAGACAAGCCUUUCAAUUUCAAAACACGGGAUUGACACUUAUUAGUUAUCUCCGCUACCCUUAGAGAUCGAGUAGUUACUAUUAUCCUACUCCCUUUAGCCCCACCCAUCAAUAACUUCUUUAGCCUAGACCACUUUUCUGGGUCCUCAUUCCAAAUGUCAUCCAAAACAAUCAAAUAUUUUUUCCCAUCAAUUUUAUCUCGAAGUUGUUUUUGCAAUUGAUCCAUUUCAAGAUUUUGAUCUGGUGCUUGAUGAGUGACAGAUUUGAUAAUGUUUGCUACAAUAACUUUCACAUCAAAAUCAUCUGAAACGCACGCAAACAUCGUUAAGUCAAAAUGAUUUUUGACCAUUUCAUGAUUAUAGACAAGUUGGGCCAAAGCAGUCUUCCCUAACCCUCCAAACCCCACAAUUGGAAUGAUAUAAACAUUCUCUUCACUUUGAAACUCCAACACGAGUUUUAGAAGAGCUGCUUUAUCAUCAUCCCUCCCUAUUAUGUCAUCUUCAAGCUCAAAAGAGUGCGUUUGCUGCCUCCUUUUAGUCAUGAAAGAGGUUUCCGCGGGGCGAUCACGCGGAAUGAAGCGAAAAGUGUUGGCCUCACUUUCAAUUGAAGCUAAUCUCGCCUUAAUGGCCUUCAUUUUCCGACCCAUUUUGAGACCAUAAGCAAAUUGGUUUGAGGUUGAGAAGAAAAGGCGUACCUCUUUCGUCAGCUUGUUCCCAUCCGAUGCAUCUUUCCGCAAAGCUUCAGUAGAGAAAUCAUCGAGCAAGUCGUCGGCAUCAUAAAGUACAUCUUUCAGCUCUUCAAGCCAAACUUUGACGAGAUUGUCGGUCACCGAUUUCUCUUCUGCGUCAAGAAGCACAGCUUUUAUUGUACGGACAGUGAGUUUGAGGUCGUCGAGGUCAUGUUUGAGAUUCCUCCACAGUCCAACUUGAGAGAGAGCACGAGAGCUCAACUUAGUAAUAAGCUCUAGGGCGAGGUCGAAUGCAAUUGCUUCGGCCAUUGCUGGUUCAAACAGAAAUCAUGCAAGAGGAGGAGUAAAAUAAGAAUGAUGAAACGUAUGCGAGCCAUUAGCAAUUGAUUAUUUAAAAAAAAAAUUAAAAUAGUUUUUUAUAAUUUUUAAAAUAGUUUUUAAUAGGUGUAUAUUUUUUAAAAUUUUUAUAUUUAAAACAUUAAUUAAUUGCUAAUGUAGCAUUCAUGUCAAUAAAGCUAAUAAAUAUUAAUUUUUUUUGAAUUAAUAAUACAUUUAUUAAAACUUUAUUGCUUUUAUUGGAAUGAUUAUAUAUUAAAGUUUGACAAUGAAUGUACAAAGCUAUUUUAUUCAUAACCAAGUCAAAAUAUUGUCACCCCACACAAUUGUAUACUUUUUCAAAAUCUACUUUAAAAGACAGCACCUCUCCUUCUUUAUGUCUUUGAAUAUAGUCCACAACUUCGUUUUUACUGGAGCACGAUCCAGGAUUUACCAAUCUGAAAUAAAAGUAAAAUUAAAUUUUAUCGAUAGUUUUGAGCCGAGCUUCGAAUCUAUAUAGUCAAAAUUUUUCAAUGGGGUUAGUGGACUUUACUUCAGUUUAAUUGAAAAUAGCUCACAAGGUUCAAAUUGAACAUAUAUAGACAUCUCUUCUCCCCUUGCUUGAGUUGUUGAACUAAACUAACUUUCUUCAUAUAAUAUUAAUUUUACCCAAAAGUUUCCUUUUCAACGAAAAAAAAAUUCCUAAAAUACAAAAGUUAAUGAAAGAUAAAGAAGACAUUGGAUCUAGGUUAAGUUGUUUUGUAAAAAGCUGAAAGUGCAGGGCAUCCAUAUUUGUAUCCUCAACAUUUGGUAACUGAUGGGAGCUAUGCUAAACAUUCAACCAAUCAUUAGGUACUGAAACGUUUUCAUUAAAUGAUAGUCUUACAUAAUGUACACAAGACUGCCUGAUAAUUAGUUGUGUUUCCAUGUGUUGGAUUAUUAUUUGAAACGCCGAAAGAGAAAAUUGUUUUUUUUUUUUUUAAAGAUGACACACAAAAGUAAAAAUAAAGGAGAAUAAAGAACACAACCAAGAUGUUUAUGCCCAACCCACCAAACUUGGUGCAACCUCACCUUUGUACAAUUAAGUAAACACUCUUCCAACUUAAGUGAAAAUCAACACUCAUAAGGUGGCACUCAAAUAAUAGUUACUCACCAAGUGUUCCUUUAAGUCCACAAAUCAUCUAUAUAUAUAAGCUCCAAGAUCAGCUGAUGAAGAAUGCUUACAGAUCGACUCUUCAACAAAGAAAAAAAGAAAAAGAAAGAACAAAUGUGCAUAGAGAGGAGGAUUUCAUGGGAGCACAAUGCAUGGACAGAUCAGCUGAUGAAGAAUGCAUGUCCUGCUUUUUGGCUCUUCCAUUGAACUCAUGCUGAAAAAGAAGCAGCUUAGUUACGAGGUUACAUUAGAUCAUUUGAAAUUAUGAGAUUAUUAUAAUUUUAAAAAUGUAAAGCAAUUAAGUAAUUACCACCUAUUUGUCUGCAUCUAAAUUCUUAAAGUUGUCAAAUGCCUUUAAGAAAAAUACAUGCCAAUCGAAUAUGUGGGCAGAUAAACAAAUGAGGGUAGAAAGUACGAUCUCUGCUUUUUGUAUUGCAAGCUAUGCUCUGCCAAAGAAUAGAGCCACAAGCUAACAAAAAUGAAGGGUAAAAAGAUCAAAAAUUUCAAGAUAAAAUAUAAAAUUGUAUGUACAUAUGAUUAAGAUUUAAAUUAGGAAAAUGAACAAAGCAGAGCAUGAAGUAGAAGCAUAUUGAAGGCUGGCAUGCAAGCAUUUUGGAAAAUGUCCAUUGGGUACCAAUAAAGAUUUUUUAGAAUUAAAGUAUUAGAAGCUAUGAAAUGAUAGAUAUGAACCACCAAAAUGCUUCACACUAAAUCUAAAUUAUUCAAUUUUGUUUUAUUGAAUCAAAUAGAAAAUAAAUGAGUGGCAUGAAUUACCUGUCAUUCCUUGUUGGUAUUUGGUGUAAGCUGCAAUUUCAAAUGUGUAUUUCAUCAGAUCAUUGCGAUGGUGAGAUUAAUAUAAUUUAAAAGCGUAAAGCAUUUAGCUAGAUUACCACUUUUUUUUUCUGCAUUUGAAUUCUUGAAAUUGCCAAAUUCGUUUCACUAGAAGUCUUCGAUGCUUACUGCACAAAAUAGCCAAAUAAAAUGAUAAAUGAAGAAAUUGCACCCAAAGCUUGUUCUAUUUUGACAAAAGAGGCGGUAGUUGGAGAGUCAAUGUACCAACCUGUAGCGAUAUGAGCAAUCUUAUGCCAAUCGGCACCAAUCCCCUUCCGACAUCUUUCCUCCAACUGAGGAAUUCGUUUCAUAAAGAACUCUUCCAAACUGGUUCUCGUCCGGAAGCGAUGUUAAAUUAGGCAAAUCAGAGAGAAUAAGCCUUGGAAGAUGGCGACACUUUGGAAUCUUUGCCAGCGCUAGAGAGCGCAGGCUUGUAUGAUCUUGGAAUAUUUGGAAGUUAGGUGCAGAUAACUCCAGCUCCUUGCAGUUACUUAUUGAAAACUCUUCAAGGAAAGAGAGAUGUUGGAACACAGGAAAGAGUGUCCUCAAUCCAUGGCAUUCAUGAAUUCCCAAUGUUUUCAAUCGAAAAAGAUGUUGAAGCCCAAGGGGGAGAGACACCAGCUUUGGAAUAUUACCAAUCACCAACCAAGAGGUUCCCGUUGCAUGCCCUCUAAAUCAACCUCCUUGCAAUCUCCUAUUGUCAGUUUUUUGAGGCCGGUGAAAACAGAUUAAUGGAAUCCAUGUAGUUUUCAAAGGUGAAUAAAGUAAAAUAAAGUAAAAUAAAAACUAAAAAUAGACUUGGACACUUUAUGUUAAAUUUAUAAUAAGUUUAAGGGCUAAAAUAAUCAAACUAUUGUCUAACACAUGCUAUGAAAAAGAAAUCACGGUUAAAAGAAUAUUGUAUGCUUCAAUGAAAGUCACAAUUUAUCUUUGAUCAUGCUUGUUCGCAACUAAGCCACUAUAAUGUAACUACAUGUUCCUACAAACCUCGCUCUAGUCGACUUUGCCCUAUGAUCCAUUAGUCAAGGGUAUUUAUCCCAUCUCCAAAGUCAUGGGAUUGAUUUGUCGGUUUUGCCUUUUUUAUACUUUAGGUAAAUGUGUACGAAGUGUGUGAGUUCCAAGCUGUGUGUCAUUUGCUUUUCUUUUUUCUUUUUUUUUUUGUGUGUGUGAUCUUUUGAUCUGUUCACAAAUAGAGCUUUUCAUGGUGGCUAAGUUUCUUAGGGGAUAAAUUAUGAGUAGCAUUAUUUGUUUCUGCAGUGAAAUUGUGAUGUCUGUAUUUUAAUGUGUGAGGUAUUUCCAUUUGUUUCUUAGGGAUGCAGUGAAAUGCGUGGGAUGUGAGCAAUUUUAUGCCAACCAGCGCCAAUGUCCUUCCAACUGAGGAAUUUGUCUCAUAAUCAAUUGUGCAUCCUUGCAUUUGAAUACUGUUUGGAACAUUAAAAAUGUGUUUUUUCCUGAGUUGGUACAUAUUAUGCAACAAGGAAUAUAAAGAACAAAAUUAAUAUGUUUACGCAGUUUGGAACUCAUCUUACGUAUGCGGGGCUUUGCCCAAAGAUGAAUCCAAUAUGAACUUCAAUAAAGAAAUGAUUUAAGCUUAACCCCUCAAACACUUGAUGCAAAUUCUCUCCCAACUCAUUUUAGCUAUGCAAGUGAAAUUCACAUUCAACACUCAAAUGGUUUUUCUAUUAUGAAUCAAGCUCUUAAUAAGCUCCAUGUAAAGUGGAAUCAUAAAUUUUGAAAUGCAAUAUGUCUGGCAAUUGUCAUGCUUGAACAACGACUCUUCCAAAAGCAUCAAUGAACCUGAAAAUUAUAAAUGCCAACAUAGAAUACGUUACAAAUCCCAUUAUUAUCAGCCUUAUAUUUGCACUUAUGUGUGUUUAGUAUAAUGCUGUUGAUAUAUAAAUAAUGAAACAUUUUAUCAACUUCAACCUCACCUCCAAAUAUUCUGAAGCAUCCUCCUUUUUUUCCUGUUUGGACCUUCAAUAACAAAUUUGGCUGGAAUUCCAAACAGUUAAAAGAGUGCCCUGCGUCAAUGAAUAUUAUGAAUUUGAGUACCUCCAAAAGCCUGUCAAUAGCAUAGGUGCCAUCUAAGAUAGCAAUCAGUUGGCAUACAUGAAGAGAAAACAUAAAGAUAUAUAAAGAUAUGAUAGGUAAGUGCUUAAAUGAAGAAAGCAGAGCAUAUAGUACAACCAUUUUGAAGGCUUCAUAGGCCACUCUCUCCACAUCAAUGAUUUUUUAGAAUUAAAUUAUUAGAAGCAAAUAGAUAAAUUAGCACCUCUUUUUAUGUAUAUAAAAUGAUUGAAGUUCACUAAUGCCUUUCUCCAAUGCCUUACUGCACAAAUCAGCAAAAAAUAUUAUGAAAGAUGAUAAGUAAAAAGUAGGAUUAAAACAAGGGAUUUUAACAAGGAAAUUAACAGUAUCCAACUUCAAUGAAAAAUGGCAUCAGACCCCUGACUUGGAGAUUCAAUAUACCACUUAUUUUUCUUCAAAAACAGAUAAGGUCAUCAAAAUAAAUAAAUAACAAAGACGGACCAACCUGAUACAACACAAUGUUGGGGACGUGAGCAAUCUUUUGCCAAUCAGCGCCAAUGUCCUUCCGACAUCUUUCCUCCAACUGAGGAAUUUCUCGUAUGUGUAAAUACUCCAAACUGGUUAGGCAACGCAUCUCGUCCAGAAGAGAUGUUAAAUUGGGCAAAUUUACGAGAUAAAGCCGUUGCAGAUUUGUUAGAUGUUGAAGCCAAUCCGGAAGAUGCCGACACUUUGGAAUAUUUUGCAGCCGUAGAGAGUGUAAGCUUGUAUGAUCUUGGAAUAUUUGGAUGCCAGCUCCAGAUAACUCCAGCUCCUUGCAGUCCUCUACUUCAAACUCUUCAAGGAAAGUGAGAUGUUGGAACACAGGAAACAGUGACCUCAAUCCAUUGCAGUUAUGAAUUUUUAAUCUUUUCAAUUGAACAAGAUGUUGAAGCCCAAUGGGGAGAGACACCAGCUUUGGAAUAUUAUCAAUCUUCAAAUGAGAGAGAUUCUUAAGGGGUUCCCAUUGCAUGCCCUCUAAAUCAACCUCCUUGCAGUCCUUUACUUCAAACUCUUCAAGGAAAGUGAGAUGUUGGAACACAGGAAGCAGCGACCUCAAUCCAUUGCAGUUAUGAAUUUUUAAUGUUUUCAAUUGAAGAAGAUGUUGAAGCCCAAUGGGGAGAGACACCAGCGUUGGAAUAUUAUCAAUCUCCAAAUGAGAGAGAUUCUUAAGGGGUUCCCAUUGCAUGCCCUCUAAAUCAACCUCCUUGCAGUCCUUUACUUCAAACUCUUCAAGGAAAGUGAGAUGUUGGAACACAGGAAGCAGCGACCUCAAUCCAUUGCAGUUAUGAAUUUUUAAUGUUUUCAAUUGAAGAAGAUGUUGAAGCCCAAUGGGGAGAGACACCAGCUUUGGAAUAUUAUCAAUCUCCAAAUGAGAGAGAUUCUUAAGGGGUUCCCAUUGCAUGCCCUCUAAAUCAACCUCCUUGCAAUCUCUUAUUGUUAAACUUUUGAGGCUGGUGAGAUGUUGCAGGCACUCAUAUAGCGUGUGAGUGUCCAACCCCUCAAUGGUGUGUACAUGGAAAGAUUUCAAUUUGGAGAGUGGAAGAGAAGAGGUUGAAGUUGAUGGGGCCUUAGCGUUGAUGUUCAUCUUGAUAGUCUGCUUUAACGGCCUUGAACUGGUAUUCAACAAUAUUAGAUCUUCAUCGAGUGAUGGAUACAGUGGCAUUAAAGUCAAAGGGCAAUUUUGAAUCCAUAAAGAGGAAAGACAAGGAAAUGCCAUGGUUGAUGUUCCCAUAACUGUUGUGUCGUCCUGGUUGGAAUCAUCAUUGAUUGGUUUUGUCAUCCUCCACCAACUCUUCAUAUGCAGGCAUUGACUGAGCCGAAGAUGCUUAAGUGAUGGGAAGAAUGAUUGUGGUUCUCCUUGACUUCCUUUUAGGCUAUUAUCAUCUAUGUACUCCAGCUUAGUACAAAAGCUAAUAUCCAGCAGUUCAAGACGGGGCAAUUGAGCAAAGGACGGGAAAUAUUUGAAAUUACCACCACUUAUGAAAAUUUUGACGAGAUUUGUGAGAAAAGAAAUCCAACUUGGAAACUUGGCAUCACCCCUCCAUCCUCCAAUACAGAGCUGCUUGAGAUUAGGAUGGGGCUGGAGGUCUUCAAGUGACUUCUCAUCAUCAUGGUUACCACCGCCCCAUUCUAAACCCAACCAUCUCAAAUGUUGCUUCUCAUUCAAAUUAGCAGCCUUAAACUUCUCUUUUGCAUUUUUUACGAAUCCCAAAUUUGUUAUUGUUAGGCGUCCCCUUAAGUUGUUAAGCAGUCUCAAUUCACUUAGAUCUGCACCGCCAUGGGACCCAUCUUUAUCCACUACAAACAUGCUUAACGUCUCAAGUGAAGUCAGCUUCCCUAUUCCACGUGGCAUAUGAGUUAAUCUAUCACAAAAAUAACACGCAAGAUGGGUAAGAUUCACCAAUUUUUCAAUCUUCUUUGGCAAUUCUUUAAGCCUAUGACAGCUGUCAAGUUUCAGCGCUAGCAAAUUCUGAAUCUUGCAAAUACUCUCUGGGAGAAUCUUAAUAUUGUAAUUGGCAGAAAGAUCAAGGUACCUCAAAUGUUUCAACUUGUAAAUGGAGGGUGAAAUCAUCUGAAUACCUAACCACCGAAAAUCCAAUACACGCAAGCAUCUACAAUUUGUAAUUACAAAUUCCCAAGUUUCUUCGCUCAAAUGUGCAGAAAAUUUGUUUGGAUAUCGUAACAAGGUUCGCAACUUCUUUCCCUUAAACAAAGGAAUUAAUGAAGGAUUAAUUGAUAUGUGGCGACAUUUUUCACCACCAUCACUUGCAAUGUUAUUUGAAUCUACAAUACUACUCUCCAUCCCUGCUACUGAUUCAGCUAGAUCAUGCAUUAAAUCAUGCAUUUUACAUCUCAUAUCCCCAAUUCCAUAUUCUUCUACCUCUUGAAAGAAACUUCUUUCAACUAAAUCUUUAAAAUAUCCAAAUCCGAUCUCCUCAAGAGAUUGACUUGGAUUCAAUUGCUUUACAAAACCUUGUGCAAUCCAAAAUUGAACAAGUGUUCGUACAUCAAUUUCAUGAUCUUUUGGAUAUAGUCGACAAUAAGCAAAACAAUGCUUCAAAUGGGAUGAGAGAUGAUCAUAACUCAACUUAAGUGUAGGUAAUAUCUCACCUUCGUUCUGAGAUAUUCUAGCAAGUUCCUUAUCUUUAAAAGAAAGCCACUCACUUUUAGUUUCUUUGAAAGAUAACGUACCAGCUAUCGUCCUUAUGACUAAGGGAACCCCACAACACCUUUCCAGAAUCAGCUUUCCUAUUUCCACAAAGCCUGAAUCUGUUGAGUCUGCCGAUCUUUGUUCAAAUGCUAUCUCUUUGAACAAAGACCAAGCAUCAUUAUCAGACAAGCCUUUCAGAACAUAAGGCUGACAUUUACUAGUAAUCUUUGCUACUCCCAAAGAGCGAGUAGUUACUAUUAUCCUACUUCCUUUAGCCCCACCUACUAAUAACUCUUUUAAACUAACCCAAUUUUCCCACUUUUCAUUCCAAAUGUCAUCCAAAACAAGCAAAUACUUUUUCCCACCAAUUUUUUCCCGAAGUUGUUUUUGCAAUUGGUCCAUUUCGAGAUUUUGAUCUGGUGCUUGGCCUGUUGCAGAUUUGAUCAUGUUUUCUACAAUUAUUUUGACAUCAAAAACAUCUGAAACACACACCCACAUCAUCAACUCAAAAUGAUUUUUGACCAUUUCAUCAUUAUAGACAAACUGAGCCAAAGCAGUCUUCCCUAACCCUCCAAACCCCACAAUUGGAAUGAUGUAAACAGUCUCUUCACUUUCAAACUCUAACACGAGUUUUAGAAGAGCUGCUUUAUCAUCGUCCCUCCCUAUUAUUUUAUCUUUAGGCACAAAAGAGUGCGUUUGCUGCCUCUUUUUAGUCAUGAAAGAGGUUUCCAUGGGACGGUGACGCUCUACCAAGUUGAACACCUUGGCUUCACUUGCAAUUGAAAACAACCUGGCCUUAAUGGUCUUAAUUUUCCGACCCAUUUUGAGACCGUAAGCAAACUGGUUUGAGCUCGAGAAGAAAAGGCGUACCUCUUUCGUCAGCUUGUUCCCACCCAUUAGAUCUUUCCGCAAAGCUUCGGUAGAGAAAUCAUCUAGCAAGUCGUCAGCAUCAUAAAGUACAUCUUUCAGCUCUUCAAGCCAAACUUUGACGAGAUUGUCGGUCACCGAUUUCUCUUCUGCGUCAAGAAGCACAGCUUUGAUUGUACGAACAGUGCGUUUGAGGUCGUCGAGGUCAUGUUUGAGAUUCCACCACAUUCCAACUUGAGAGAGAGCACGAGAGCUCAACUUAGUAAUAAGCUCUAGGGCGAGGUCGAAUGCAAUUGCUUCGGCCAUUGCUGGUUCAAACAGAAAUCAAGCAAAGAAGUGUUGGGUUAUUGCAAGAGGAGUAGUAAAAAUGAGAAUGAUUGGAACAAGAUGAAACACAGAUGUGGAUCCAUACACGCAGAGACUAAGUAUAUUUAUAAAUGUUAGCAUUCACCCAGCAAGUAGUAUAAUUAAAUAAAAAGUAAUGUUGAUUGGUGGGAAAUGGUCCCUCCAUGUUUACUGUUUGACACAAAUUUCUCAACGGAGACAAAGUUGGACACUUGGGGUGCUCUGCACAAUGUGGAGCCGUACAAAUAAUUGAAAUUAAUGAAAAAGAUAGGUAAGAAAAGAGAAAAAGGAGACAAAUCCCAUGGAAUCCAAGGUGUUUUGAUUGACGCCCAUCCAUUCAAGUCUUUUUAAACCUUCUUCCCACUUACUUUGUGUAAUUGAGUGAGUCUGAACACUCGGUUUUAACUUAAAUUUAAUAUUUUAUUUUUUAAUUUAACUUCAGUUGAAUAUAUAAAAUAAAAAUUCAAUAAAAGUCAUUCACCAUUAAAAUCAAAUAUUAUUAAAUUCGAAUAUAUUAAAUCAAUAAUUUAAAUAUAAUUUAAUGAUUAUUGAAUCAACUUAAAUCAUGUCCAUAUUUUUUGUCUUUGAAGGUAACUUGGUGCCUACAAUAAUAUAUUACGACAAUGGUUACUGUCCAUUACUACUUUAAUAUACUCUUAUUACUAGUGUUUUUUUAUAUUAAUGGGUAUGUUAAUUAUAUUUGCUAUUAAUUUUUUAUAUAAUAUUAAGAGUGGGGAUGGAGGUAAUAUUGUUUGAAUCCGUGUCAAACACGUAUUGACAAGAGUUUUAACUACCGUUCCUAGCAAGUCAAGACAUAUUUGUUAUUAAUAGUAGUAGCAUUUUAUUUUUCUUUUAAAUAUACAUAUAUUUAUUAAGAAAGGAUCCAAGGUUUUGAUUUGUUUAUUAUUAGGGAAAAAAAUUUAAAUUUAUACAAGAAUUUUAGUUCAAUGAGUAAUUUAAUACAUGAAUUUUGAUGUGGUAUAAUUUCCACAUGAAACUUGUAUUGUGGGUCAUAUAUUAAUACAUGAAAUUUUAAUUCUCAUUCAACUGUACACAUGUAAAAAAAUGCAUACAUAUAUAUAUUUUUACAUUGGAUUAAUAUAAUUGUUUGUCGAUAUAAUAUAUCAAAGUAAAAUGUAAGAGGUUGAUUUGGCAUAUCCCAAAACAUUUUGUUAUAGCUUCCGGUGUUGUAACACCCUUAAACCGUAUCCAUUGGCAAAAUAGGGUUAUAGAGCAUUACCGGAGUUUACAAAUUAAUUUAGAGACAAUUCAUUUCAUCAAGCAUUCAUAUUUAUAACCAAUCAAAAUCAAAACAUUAAUGAACUAACGUUGGUCAAUUUAACUUACAUGCCAUUAUAACCAGAAUCAAAUUAUUCAAAAUUACCGAUAGAACCAAUGGAUAGUGCAAUAUAUCUCCGACAAGUUUCCAACCCAAUCGAGCUUCCGAUAAUCAUUUCAAUGCAGCUAAUAAUUAUACAUAUUACCAAUAAUAAUUCAAUUCAAAUAAUAAAACACAUAUUUAUAUAAUAUUUAUCACCAAAUAACAUUCACUUUAAUUAAAAUUAUACUGAAUAUAGUUCAUACGAACUUACCAGGCUAAAUUGCAGAAAUGCCAAAAUUCAGGGAUAUUUUGGUAAUUUUCUAUUUUCCUUGAAUUUCCACCCAAUCUUGAUCUAAAUUAAUAUUUCAUUCAAUUUAUUAAUUGAAAUAAUAAAACAAUUUAUUUCAUACAAUUUGGUCACUUUUUGACAUUUUUACAAAAUUACCCUAAAAAUUUUACCUUUAUUCAAUUUAGUCCCUGAACCUAAAACAUGUAAAUUAGCUAUUUUAAAAAUAAACCCAUAUUAUCUAAAUAUUCACAUAUAUUUUUUCCUCCUCCUCCACUCCAUUCUACACCCUUGAUAUAUACAUAAUACCACUAUUUACUUGUUUACUCAUAACAAGUUAUUCACUUGAGUCAUAGUCACUAAAUAAAUUAUAUAUUAAGCUACAGUACUCCAAUUUGAGAUUUGUAAAUUUUCUAUGAAACUAGACUCACAUAUAUUCUUACCAUAAAAUUUCAGAAUUUUUUUUAUCCAAUAAGUACAUUUUAUUCUUUAAAGUUUCCCCUAUUUCAUUGUUUGACAGUUCCGAUCCCUCUUCACUAAAAAUUAAUUAUCCCUUUGUAAAAAAUUCAGAUGAUAUUCAUGUUUGUUUCUAUUGAAAAUAGACUCAUUAAGUAUUUUAAAAAUAUAAAUUAUAACCCAUAAUUAUUUUUAUACAAUUUUUAAUGAUUUUUCCAUGUCAGAACAGGGGAACUCGAAUUCAUUCUAACAUUGUCUCACAAAAUUCAUUAUAUCUCAUGAUUUACAAUUUCAUUACUUACACUCUUUCUUCUAUGAGAAACCAGACUGAAUAAGCUUUAAUUUCAUUUUUUUUUUCAUCCUCUAAUUUGAUUUCCACAAUUUAUAGUGAUUUUUCAAAGUUAACCUACUACUGCUGUCCAAACUGUUUUAGUGUAAAAUGUUGAUAACUAAAUUUAUAACACCUUUGUUUCCUUUCUCUUCAAUAUUUUCCAUCACUUCCUCUUAUUUCCCUUUACUAACAUAACAACAAUAUAGAUCCUUAUAUAAUGAAACUCUACAUUAAUAUUAAUUUCCUACUUUUUCAAUAAUAUCAAACUCAAAAGUAUAUUGAAAUCUUGAUGUUCUUACAUUGUGCUAUUGAUUUCAAUCUUUAACUUGAUUUUCUCUCUCCUUCAACUUCUAUUUCUUGAAUCGAACUUAAUAUUCUAGCUCCCCAUAGUCUCCUUAACAUUUUUCUCUCUUGGUAGCUAUGGAAAUUCUUUUGAUUUCUAGGUGAAAAUGGUAAAUUUUUGGAGGAAGGACCAAAUUGUAAAGAAAAGAAAACUUUCUUUCUGUCUUCCUUCUUCUCACGUUGGUUCUUCAUCUUUCCCUCCAUAUAUAAUACUAAAUAGAAUAAUAAUAAAAUAAUAAAAUAUCAUUUCAAAAUUAAAUUAAAAUAUUAAUAAAUUAAUAUUUAUUUAUUUAAUUAAUCUAAAAUAUCACCAACAUCAUCAUUGCCUUCUAGAUUUCUCUCUCUUCUAAUUGACUAUUUUGCCCUUUAUAAUCUUUAAAAAUUCCAUCCUUGAGUCAUCACUUAAUUUGGUAAAAUUACGAUUUAGUCCCUCAAAAUUCUUCACCUUUUUUAAUUUGGUCCUAAUUCAUCCAUUUUCCUUAGUUUCUAGAUUAUUCCACCCUUAAAAUAUUUUCACUAUUGGUCCUUCAACUUUUUCAUAUUUACACUUUACCCCUUCAAAUUUUGAGUAUUUACUCUUGAUCAACAAAACUUUUCUCACUUUUGCGAUUUAAUCCUUUCUUGAAUUAAUAUAUUAUAAUAUAAUUCCUAAUGUUGCCAAAACUCAAAAUUUUCAAGGUAUUACAGUAAUAAUUUUCGGGAUAUUACAGGUGCUCAUAUCUAUUUAAUUAUUUUAAUACACAUAAAAUUGUUUAUUGUGAGUUGGAUGAUUUUGGUUUGUUUAUUUAAGAUAUUUUAUUUUUAAAUAUAUUCUUAAUUAUUUAUUUUACAUAUUUUAACUUAAUAUAUUUAAUAGUGAUUUUUUUAAUAAAAAAAAGGACCCAAAGGUUACUACCUCAUUUUAAGUUGCAUCAUAAAUUACAAUGUUAUGGAUAUCGCUAUGAUAAUCAAUCUCAAAAGACAAAUUACAACACUUAGAAAGAGCCCAAUUACAAAGAGAAUCGGCUAAUUUGUUACAACCACGUUUCACCCAUUUGACCUUGGCGGAAACAAAAGAAUCAAGCAUCUUGUGAACUCCUUGAUGCAGUGAUCAAGGAUCGUUAUGUCCUUCUUGUCAAAACUGAAGCAGUUGACAAUACUAGCACAAUCUGUUUCAAAAAUGACGUUAUCGGCUUUAAGAAAUUGAGCAAGCUGAAAACCAUUUAUGAGGGCAUCUACUUCCGCUUUAAUAUUGAUUUUUUAUUCUCAUUUUAUCAGUAUAUUUACAUUUGAAUUCAAAUACAUAUUCUAUAAUUAACUUUAAUCUCACUGUUACAAUACUUAACCUCACUAAAUUACUUGUUUAACAUGAUUAUGGUGAAUUUAUAGAAAGAACAAUCACGAAGCAAAUGCAGAUGCACUUAUGUUUAAAGUGUUAUUAAUGGAAAUUUUAUUAUUUUGAAAAAUAAAAGUAUAAUAACUUUUUUGGCAUUCCAACUUUAUAAAAGAAUUAUUUUAGCUCUAUAUUUAUUUUUCCUUCUCUUUUAGUCUUUAAACUUACAUUUUUCUGUCAAACCAUCCAAAAUGGGUGACAAAGUUAACGUUUGUUAACUUUGUUGACAUGACAUAUAGGUGGAUUACCACGUGUAUGUCACGUUAGCAAUUAAUUAUUUAAAAAUAUUUUCUUAUAAUUUUUUUAAUUUUUAAAAUAUAUUUUUUAAUUUUUUAAAAUUUUAAAAAAUAAUUACUGCUUAUGUGACAUAUACGUGGCAAUCCGUGUGUAUGUCACAUCAUCAACUUCAAAUCAUGCAUUUUACAUCUCAUAUUCCCAAUUCCAUAUUCUUCUACCUCUUGAAAGAAACUCCUUUCAACUAAAUCUUUAAAAUACCCAAAUCCGAUCUCCUCGAGAGAUUGACUUUGAUUCAAUUGCUUUAUGAAACCCUGUGCAAUCCAAAAUUGAACAAGCGCUUGUACUUCAAUUCUGUAAUCUUUUGGAUACAAUCGGCAAUAAGCAAAGCAAUGCUUCAAAUGAGACGGGAGAUGAUCAUAACUCAAUUUCAGUAUAGGUAGAAGUUCUCCUUCAAUUUGUGAUAUUUUAGCUAGUUCAUUUUCUUUGAAAGAAUGCCACUCAUUUGCAGUUUUCUUCAAAGAUAAUGUACCAGCUAUCGUCCUUAUGGCUAAGGGAACCCCACCACACCUUCCCGAAAUCUGUCUCCCCACUUCCACAAAGGCUGAAUUUGUUGAGUCUGCAUAUCCUUGCUCAAAUGCUAUCUUUUUGAACAAAGACCAAGCAUCAUCAUCAGACAAGCCUUUCAAUUUCAAAACAUGGAAUUGACAUUUAUUAGUUAUUAUUAUCCUACUCCCUUUAGCCCCACCCAUCAAUAACUUCUUUAGCCUACACCACUUUUCUGGGUCCUCAUUCCAAAUGUCAUCCAAAACAAGCAAAUAUUUUUUCCCAUCAAUUCUAUCUCGAAGUUGUUUUUGCAAUUGAUCCAUUUCAAGAUUUUGAUCAGGUGCUUGAUUAGUCACAGAUUUGAUAAUAUUUGCUACAAUAACUUUCACAUCAAAAUCAUCUGAAGCACACGCAAACAUCGUUAAGUCAAAAUUAUUUUUGACCAUAAUAUUUAUAUUUUAUUUUAUAUUUGUUUAAGUUCGGCCUGGUCCAAAAUAUAAAUUUAAAGUUUGUUCAAAUUUGUAAACAACUAACUCAAACUCAUUUUAAAUCCACUCAUAAUAUUUUUUAAAAAAUUAAAAUGUAUUUAUAUUAUUUUUAACUUAAUAUUUAAUAAUUUUACAUUUUUAUUAAAAUUUUAUAUAUAGUCAUCGUAACAUUAUAAUAGCAUUAUAAAUUUAAUUUUUAUUUUUUUACAAAUUACAUAAAAUAUAAAAGUAACAUAAUAUAAAAUUUUGCAAACUAAAAAAAUAAGUUGGGCCAAACUUAGGCUUUGGAUAUUCAAAUUUGAGAUCGACCUAUAUUUUAAACGGGCCUAUUUUUUGAAUUAAAUAGUUUUACCCAAAUUCUCCAAAAUUUCAAGUGAGUAAGUCUAGAUUGACUAAAUUUAUUAUACUCUUUCCCUUUUAUUUCCCUAUUGUUUUGGAUUAACAAUACAUUUAUUAAAACUUUAUUGCUUGUAUAGGGAUGAUUAUAUAUUAAAGUUUGACAAUGAUUGUACAAAGCUAUUUUAUUCAUAACCAAGUCAAGAAAUUGUCACUCCACACAGUUGUCUACUUUUUCAAAAUCUACUUUAAAAGAUAGCACCUCCCCUUCUUCACAUCUUUGAAUAUAGUUCACAGUUUCGUUUUUACUGGAGCACGAUCCAGGAUUUAUCAAUCUGAAAUAAAAGUAAAAUUGAAUUUUAUCGAUGGUUUUGAGCCGAGCUUCGAAUCUAUAUAGUCAAAAUAGUCUUACAUAAUGUACACAAGAUUGUCUGAUAAUUUAUUGUGUUUCCAUGUGUUGGAUUAUUAUUUGAAACCCCGAAACAGAAAAUUGUAUUUUUUUUUUUGAAGUUGACACACACAAAAGUAAAAAUAAAGGAGAAUAAAGAACACAACCAAGAUGUUUACGCAGUUCAGAACUCAUCCUACAUUUGUGAGCUUUGUCUAGAGAUAAAAUCGCUAUAAACUUCACAGUACAAUGAAAUUAUUUAUGCCCAACCCUCCAAACUUGAUGCAACCUCACCUUUGUACAAUUAAGUAAACACUCUUCCAACUUAGUGAAAAUCAACACUCAUAAGGUGGCACUCAAAUAAUAGUUACUCACUAAGUGUUCCUUUAAGUCCACAAAUCAUCUAUUUAUACAAGCUCCAAGAUCAGCUGAUGAAGAAUGCAUACAGAUAUGAUAGGUAAGUGCUUAAAUGAAGAAAGCAGAGCAUAUAGUACAACCAUUUUGAAGGCUUCAUAGGCCUCUCUCUCCACAUCAAUCAUUUUUUAGAAUUAAAUUAUUAGAAGCAAUUGUCAAGUUAUUGUUAUGAUUUAAAAGUAAAAAGCAAAUAGAUAAAUUAGCACUUCUUUUUAUGCAUAUAAAAUGAUUGAAGUUGUCUAAUGCCUUUCUCCAGUGCCUUACUGCACAAAUCAGCAAAAAUAUUAUGAAAGGUGAUAAGUAAAAAGUAGGAUUAAAACAAAGGGAUUUUAACAAGGAAAUUAACAGUAUCCAACUUGAAUGAAAAAUGGCAUCAGACCCCUGACUUGGAGAUUCAAUAUACCACUCUUAUUUUUCUUCAAAAAAAGAUAAGGUCGUCAAAAUAAAUAAAUAACAAAGACGGACCAACCUGUUACUACAAAAUGUGGGGGAUGUGAGCUAUCUUAUGCCAAUCAGCACCAAUGUCCUUCCGACAUCUUUCCUCCAACUGAGGAAUUCUUUUUAUUUCUAAAUACUCCAAACUGGUUAGGCAACGCAUCUCGUCCGGAAGAGAUGUUAAAUUGGGCAAAUUAACGAGAUAAAGCCGUUGCAGAUUUGUUAGAUGUUGAAGCCACUCCGGAAGAUGCCGACACUUUGGAAUAAUUUUCAGCCAUAGAGAGCGUAGGCUUGUAUGAUCUUGGAAUAUUUGGAUGCAAGCUCCAGAUAACUCCAGCUCCUUGCAGUCCUUUACUUCAAACUUUUCAAGGAAAGUGAGAUGUUGGAACACAGGAAGCAGUGACCUCAAUCCAUUGCAGUUAUGAAUUUCUAAUGUUUUCAGUUGAAAAAGAUGUUGAAGCCAAAUGGGGAGAGACACCAGCUUUGGAAUAUUAUCAAUCUCCAAAUGAGAGAGAUUCUGAAGGGGUUCCCAUUGCAUGCCCUCUAAAUCAACCUCCUUGCAAUCUCUUAUUGUUAAUCUUUUGAGGCUGGUGAGAUGUUGCAGGCACUCAUCUAGCGUGUGAGUGUCCAACCCCUCAAUGUUCUGUACAAGGAAAGAUUUCAAUUUGGAGAGUGGAAGAGAAGAGGUUGAAGUUGAUGGGGCCUUAGCAUUGAUGUUCAUUUUGAUAGUCUGCUUUAACGGCCUUGAACUGGUAUUCCACAACAUUAGCCCUUUAUCGAGUGAUGGAUACAGUGGCAUCAAAGUCAAAGGGAAAUUUAAAAUCCAUAAAUUGGAAAGACAAGGAAAUGCCAUGGUUGAUGUUCCCAUAACUGUUGUGUCGUCCUCGUUGGAAUCAUCAUCGAUUGGUUUUGUCAUCCUCCACCAACUCUUCAUAUUCGGGCAGCAAAAGAGCUGAAGAUGCUUAAGCGAUGGGAAGAAUGAUUGUGGUUCUCCUUGACUUCCUUUUGGGCUACUAUCAUCCAUGUACUCCAGCUUAGUACAAUCAUGUAUAUCCAGCACUUCAAGACAACGAAAUUGAGCAAAGGACGGGAGAUGUUUGAAAUUACUAUCACUUAUGUAAAUUCUGACGAGAUUUGUGAGCAAAGAAAGCCAACUCGGAAACUUGGCAUCACCCCUCCAUCCUCCAAUAUGGAGCUGCUUGAGAUUAGGAUGGGGCUGGAGGUCUUCAAGUGACUUCUCAUCAUCAUGGUUACGACCGCCCCCUAUUAAAUCCAACGCGCUCAAAUGUUGCUUCUCAUUCAAAUUAGCAGCCUUAAACUUCUCUUUUGCAUUUUUUACGAAUCCCAAAUUUGUUAUUGUUAGGCGUCCCCUUAAGUUGUUAAGCAGUCUCAAUUCACUUAGAUCUGCACCGCCAUGGGACCCAUCUUUAUCCACUACAAACUUGCUUAACGUCUCAAGUGAAGUCAGCUUCCCUAUUCCACGUGGCAUAUGAAGUCAGCUUCCCUAUUCCACGUGGCAUAUGAGUUAAACUAUCACAACCUUCACACCCAAGAUGGGUAAGAUUCACCUUUAUCCAACUUCCAUAUUUGUUAUUAGUAGUAGCAUUUUAUUUUUCUUUUAAAUAUACAUAUAUUUAUUAAGAAAGGAUCGAAGCUUUUAUUUUUCUUUUAAAUAUACAUAUAUUUAUUAAAAAAGGGUCGAAGCUUUUAACUUGUUUAUUAUUAGGGAAAAAAAUUAAAUUUAUACAUGAAUUUUAGUUAAAUGAGUAAUUUGAUACAUGAAUUUUGAUGUGGUAUAAUUUCCACAUGAAACUUGUAUUGUGGGUCAUAUAUAUAUAUAUAUAUAUAUAUAUAUACAUGAAAUUUUAAUUCUGAUUCAACUGUACACAUGUAAAAAAAUGCAUAUAUAUAUAUAGAUAUAUAUAUUACAUUGGAUUAAUAUAAUUGUUUGUCUAUGCAAUAUAUCAAAGUAAAAUGUAAGAGGUUGACUUGGCAUAUCCCAAAACAUUUUGUCAUAGCUUGGAUGGUCAUUCUCGACAAGUUGCCUAUCACUGGCGAAGCCUAGUAGAGACUCCUAAAAUGGUAAAUUUUUAAUUUAGACUUUUUAUAAUUUAUAAAAUUUUAAAUUAAUAAUGAUAAAAUUAUAAUUUAAUCCUCUAAAAAAUUAUAAAAAUUUAAUUUAACUCUUUAAAAAUUAUAAAAAUAUACUACUAUAAAAAUAUAUAAUUUAAUUCCGAAUAAAAAAUUUAGUUCAGCUACUAUUGCGUACAAAAGAAAAAUUAAUUUCGUUUUGGACCUAAUAUCGAGGGUGAUUGCAAACUGUGAGAUACAACACGUGGAGAGAUAUUGGUUUUAUGCAGCUCCAUGGGAAUGUAUUUUAUUAUACCAUCAUGCAGAUUGCUUCCAGUGCUCAUAUCUAUUUAAUUAUUUUAAUACACAUAAAAUUGUUUAUUGUGAGUUGGAUGAUUUUGGUUUAUUUAUUUAAGAUAUUUUAUUUUUAAAUAUAUUCUUAAUUAUUUAUUUUACAUAUACAUGUUUUUUAAUUUUUAAUUAUUUUAACUUAAUAUUUUUAAUAGUGAUUUUUUUAUAUAUAUAAAAAAAGGACCCAAAGGUCACUAUCUCAUUUUAAGUUGCACCAUAAAUUACAAUGUUAUGGAUAUCGCUAGGAUAAUUUAUCUCAAAAGAUAAAUUACAACACUUAAAAAGGGCCCAAUUACAAAGAAUUGGCUAAUUUGUUACAACCACGUUUCACCCAUUUGACCUUGGCGGAAACAAAAGAAUCAAGCCUCUUGUGAGCUCCUUGAUGAAGUGAUCAAUUAUCAUUAUGUCCUCCUUGUGAAAACUAAAGCGGUUGACAAUGCUAGCACAAUCUGUUUUAAAAAUAACAUUAUCGGCUUUAAGAAAUUGAGCAAGUUGAAAACAUUGAUGAGGGCAUCUAAUACCGCUUUAAUAGUGAUUUUUUAUUCUCAUUUUAUCGGUAUAUUUAUAUUUGAAAUAAAAUACAUAUUCUACAAUUAACUUUAAUCUCACUGUUACAAUACCUACAAUCCGCGUGUAUGUUACAUUAGCAAAAUCAACAUACGUUAAUUUUUCACUCAUUUUGGGGUGAUUUGACAAAAAUUACAAGUUUAAGAACUAAAAGAAAUGAAAAAUUAAAUGGAGAGUUGAAAUAACUUUUUUCUAUAAAGUUGAGAUCAAAAGAAUCAUUAUGGCAAAAAAAAAUAGUUGUUGUUCUUCUUCUUUUUUUUUUUUUUUGUAUUUUUUAGUGCUAAAAUUCAAGAUGGUGCGGAAUAGUUUCUAAUCUUAUUAUUGUUAUAUAUGUUUUCGACCCCACUAGAGCUAAUCUCACAGUCUAUAUAAAGAGAGCCUAAAUAUAAUUUGUUCAGCUUCUUUUAAACAUGUUAGUUCUCCUUUGUAUGAUCAUUUACCUCCCGUGAGUAGGGUUGAGUAAAUAAAAUAAAAAUAAUAAUUAAAAAUCGAUCCAAAUCAAGGUGUUUAGACGGUUUAUGGAAUAUAAAUUAAAAAAUCACAAUUAUUCAAAAUCGAAUCAAAUUUUAUUCUUUAUUUUAAUUUAUAAAUAAAUUUAUUUUUAUAAUAUAAAAAUAAAUAUUUUAUAUUUAAAAAUAGUGAAAAUAAAUAAAUAUAUUUUAAAAAUAUUAUAUAAAAGUAUUUAAUUAUUUUUAUCUACUUAAAAUAAUUUUAAAAAAUAUCUAUGAAAAAAACUUUGAAAAUUUGUCAAAUGAUAUUUAAAAGCCGUAAAAUAAAGUUUAUUUUAUUAAAAUAAUUAUAAAAAUUUAUAAUAACAAAAUCGAACUAAACUAAAUUAUAAUGGACGGAUAAAAAAAUAGAAUCGAAUUAAACUAAUAUCACUUGAUUUUAUUGCACCAAACUGGACAUAAAGGAUCUUCUUAAAAAAUUUAACCUGCAAUGAGAUUGUUUUCCUCACUAUAACCUUCUAGAGGUGUUAUAUAAGUACAUAUCAUAUGAUAAUUAUAAAUUUAAUUAUUUAAUUCUUAUAAAAAUUAAAUAUAUUACAAAUUAAUAUUUAUAUAAUAUAUAUUAAAUACAUGUAAAUUUAUAAUCAUAAAUAUAUUUUUAAUUAUUAUUUGAUAUAAAUAAUUUUAUUAUAUUUUAUUAUUUUCAUUUAUAUAAAAUAUAGUCCUUGAAUGUUGAAGUCUAAACCCAACCCUUAAACAAAGGAAUUAAAUUUAAAGUUGAGAAAGAUAUGGAUGGUAGGAAUGGGAGCAUAAGCAUGUAGAAGCAAUGGUGGCAUUUCAUCUUAUUAGCAGCUUUGGAAUAGAUUGUUAAGGAUGAGUAGGAAUCUGUAUGCUUAACCAUUAACCCAAACAUAUCGUAGAGAUUGAUUGUUCGCUUGUCAAAAUAUUAUACUAACAAAUUAGGCAUAAUCACUUAUUUAGCUCUCCAGCUUUAUAAUAAAAAAUUAUUUUAGUCAUUCAUUUAAAUUUUUGUCUCUUUUAGUCUUUAAACUUGUAUUGUUUAUUAAACCAACCCCAAAAUAAAUGAAAAAAUUAACAUUUAUUAACUUUGUUGAUGUGGCUUCCACAUGGAAGCCAAUGUGUAUGCCACAUUAGCAAUUGAUUAUUUUUUUAAAAAAUUUUAAAAUAGUUUUUAAUAAUUUUUAUACUUUUUAGAACUUUUAAUAAGUUGUAUACUUUUUUUUUAUAUUUAAAACAUUAGUUAAUUGCUAAUGUGGCAUGCAUGUGUAUGCCAUGCAAUUUUAAGGACUAAAUUGAUUUUUUCAUAAAGUUAGAAGGUUAAACAAAUCAUUAUGCCAAAAUAUAAUAUAGAAUUUAUAAAAAUGAAAAUAUUUAUAUUUAUAUUUUAUAUUUGUUUAAGUUCGGCCUGGUCCGAAAUAUAAACUUAAAAUCUGUUCAAAUUUGUAAACAGUUAACUCAAACUAAUUUUAAAUCCACUCAUACUAUUUUAAAAAAAAUUAAAUGAAUUUAUAUUAUUUUUAACUUAAUAUUUAAUAAUUUUACAUUUUUAUUGAAAUUUUAUAUAUAGUCAUCUUAAGAUUAUAAUAGUAUUAUAAUUUUUAUUUUUAUUUGUUACAAAUUACAUAAUAUAUAAAAUUAACAUAAUAUAAAAUAUUGCAAACUUAAAAAUUGGGUCGGGCCAAACUUAGGCUUUGAAUAUUCAAAUUUAAGCUCGACCCAUAUUUUAAACGGGCGGCCUAUUUUUUGAAUUUAAUAGUUUUACCCAAAUCCUCUAAAAUUUAAAAUCAACCUUUCAGCUUGACAAAGAACAGUAAGUCUCUUUCCCUUUUCUUUCCCUAUUGUUUUGGAUAAACAAUACAGUAAGAUCAGCUGAUGAAGAAUGCAUACAGAUCGACUUUCAACAAAGAAAAAGAAAGAACAAAUGUGCAUAGAGAGGAGGAUUUCAUGGGAGCACAAUGCCAUGGACAGAUCAGCUGAUGAAGAAUGCAUGUCCUGCUUUUUGGCUCUUCCAUUGAACUCAUGCUGAAAAAGAAGCAGCUUUGUUACGAGGUUAUAUUAGAUCAUUUGAAAUUAUGAGAUUAUUAUGAUUUUAAAAAUGUAGAGCAAUUAAGUAAUUACCACCAGUUUUUCUGCAUCUAAAUUCUUAAAGUUGUCAAAUGCCUUUCAGAAAAAUGCAUGCCAAUCGAAUAUGUGGGCAGAUAAACAAAUGAGGGAAGAAAGUACGAUCUCUGCUUUUUGUAUUACAUGCUAUGCUCUGCCGAAGAAUAAAGCCAAAAGCUAACAAAAAUGAAGGGUAAAAAGAUCAAAAAUUUCAAGAUAAAACAUAAAAUUGUAUGUAAAUAUGAUUAAGAUUUAAAAUUGGAAAAUGAACAAAGCAGAGCAUGAAGUAGAAGCAUAUUGAAGGCUGGCAUGCAAGCAUUUUGGAAAAUGUCCAUUGGGUACCAAUAAAGAUUUUUUAGAAUUAAAGUAUUAGAAGCUAUGAAAUGAUAGAUAUGAGCCACCAAAAUGCUUCACACUAAAUCUAAAUUAUUCAAUUUUGUUUUAUGGAAUCAAAUAGAAAAUAAAUGAGUGGCAUGAAUUACCUGUCAUUCCUUGUUGGUAUUUGGUGUAAGCUGCAAUUUCAAAUGUGUAUACACAGAUGGAUUUCAUCAGAUCAUUUCGAUGGUGAGAUUAAUAUAAUUUAAAAGCGUAAAGCAUUUAGCUAGAUUACCACUUUUUUUUUCUGCAUUUGAAUUCUUGAAAUUGCCAAAUUCGUUUCACUAAAAGUCUUCGAUGCUUACUGCACAAAAUAGCCAAAUAAAAUGAUAAAUGAAGAAAUUGCACCCAAAGCUUGUUCUAUUUUGGCAAAAGAGGCUGUAGUUGGAGAGUCAAUAUACCAACCUGUAGCGAUAUGAGCAAUCUUAUGCCAAUCCGCACCAAUCCCCUUCCGACAUCUUUCCUCCAACUGAGGAAUUCGUUUCAUAAAGAACUCUUCCAAACUGGUUCUCGUCCGGAAGCGAUGUUAAAUUAGGCAAAUCAGAGAGAAUAAGCCUUGGCAGAUUUGUUUGAUGUUGAAGCCACUCCGGAAGAUGGCGACACUUUGGAAUCUUUGCCAGCGCUAGAGAGCGCAGGCUUAUAUGAUCUUGGAAUAUUUGGAACUUAGGUGCAGAUAACUCCAGCUCCUUGUGUCACGGACUUGGAGUUUUCCCACACAUCCGUGCGGCCUUAGGCAGUUUCUUGGCUUAAAAACGCCUAAGUCAGCCUAACUUCCACCGAUAAAGGAUUCAACAGCAAAAACGCCUAAGUCAGCUCAACUCGCAACAAUAAAGGAUUCAACAGAAUUCCCUUAAAGUUUCCACGAAGAACAGCGGAAGAACGAAAUAAGAACGAUCUUUGGAAGAUGAACAAAAGCAAGAACACUUGAGAGAAAAGUUUGAGUAAAUGCUCUCAAUUCUUAUUCACAAAGAAUAAUGAAACAAUUCAGGAGUGAGUACAAAUGAGGGGGAGGCUCUCUAUUUAUAGUUGAGCUCCCCCAAAACCGAUGGCUACAAUUAAAAGCUGUAUUCGAUUAGGACUCUAAGUUUACAGAAUUAGAAGCUGUGAACAAUUAGAACUUCUAAGACUACAUAGUCCUAUCUUCAUUAUCGGGCCCAUCAGGCUUCAAUCUGACAGGCCUGUCCAACAGCUCUUUGAAUCGGGCCAGUUCUCGUAGGCCAAAUGAUCCCCAUCUGAGCAACAGACCUCCAUUGGAUGCAUUUGGUGCGCUGGUCACGGGCUUUAAACUGCGGCCCGUGACAUUUUCCCCCACCCAUUCUCGCAACGCCCUCGUUGCGACUUCUGAAUGGCACUGACUUGAUUCGCCUCGGUCUCGUCUCGUCGCCUUAGCCUUUCCCUUUCUUCGGGAUUUUUGCCUCGGCUUCUGUUGCUUCUUAACUCGAGCCAUCCUACUCGUCGCAUUUACUCUGGUCAACUGUCCCACAUGCAUCGCUUCUUUUCCUUUGAAGUCUGAUGCACCACCCACCUCUCCCAUAGGUGGAAGCCUUGUCGAUGACUCGGCCAACUCCGACGCUUCACUCAACUUGAGCCUCAUUGGUUUCAGCUUCACUGUUUUCAUCGCAACUCUUUCCUCUAAGUUCGAUGACAAACUCACCUCUUCCUUGGGUGGAAGCCCCUUCGAUGACUCACCAAGCUCAGACGUUGCCUUUCUUUUGACUCCGGCUUGCUUUGGACAGUUCCGCAACUCAUGCGGACCACGGCACAAGAAGCACUUAACUCGCUUAUUUUUGCUCCUCUUUGCCCUCUUGGCUUCGGCUUUACCCUUGCUCGAACCAAGCUUCUUGGGUUCCUUGUCUGCUCCAUCGUUCCCCUCGAUGACAGACUUCUUCGGACACUUCCGCCUUUGUUCGAACUCUUCUUUCGACAUCCCAACGGUGCCUUUGAACCAACAACUCGAAUAUUACUUGGUUCAAACCUUGGCUCGGAUACCACUUGUCACGGACUUGGAGUUUUCCCACACAUUCGUGCGGCCUUAGGCAGUUUCUUGGCUUAAAAACGCCUAAGUCAACCUAACUUCCACCGAUAAAGGAUUCAAUAGCAAAAACGCCUAAGUCAGCUCAACUCGCAACAAUAAAGGAUUCAACAGAAUUCCCUUAAAGUUUCCACGAAGAACAGCGGAAGAACGAAAUAAGAACGAUCUUUGGAAGAUGAACAAAAGCAAGAACGCUUGAGAGAAAAGUUUGAGUAAAUGCUCUCAAUUCUUAUUCACAAAGAAUAAUGAAACAAUUCAGGAGUGAGUACAAAUGAGGGGGAGGCUCUCUAUUUAUAGUUGAGCUCCCCCAAAACCGAUGGCUACAAUUAAAAGCUGUAUUCGAUUAGGACUCUAAGUUUACAGAAUUAGAAGCUGUGAACAAUUAGAACUUCUAAGACUACAUAGUCCUAUCUUCAUUAUCGGGCCCAUCAGGCUUCAAUCUGACAGGCCUGGCCAACAGCUCUUUGAAUCGGGGCAGUUCUCGUAGGCCAAAUGAUCCCCAUCUGAGCAACAGACCUCCAUUGGAUGCAUUUGGUGCUCUGGUCACGGGCUUUAAACUGCGGCCCGUGACACUUGCAGUUACUUAUUGCAUGCCCUCUAAAUCAACCUCCUUGCAAUCUCCUAUUGUCAAUUUUUUGAGGCCGGUGAAAACAGAUUAAUGGAAACCUUGUAGUUUUCAAAGGUGAAUAAAUAAGGACAAUUAAGAUUGGUGUUAACAAUUUUUACUAAUAUUUUGAAAACAUUUUAAAUAAGUUAAUAUAUAUAAUAUAAAAAAUCUAUAAAAAUUUUAAAAUUCAAUUAUUGUAAUAUAAAACUUUCAUAUCUAAAAACUCUAACUUAAAUUAAACUAUUUCAAUUGAAUCCAACAAACAAAUUGGACCGAAAACCAAUUAAUAUGAUUGGUUCGGCCACCUCUUAACCAGAACAACAUUAGUAUGUGAAUUUAAUUUCGUAUUUAUUUAAUUUGGUUAGCACAUAUUAAUAGUUUUCAUAUUCUCUUUAGUUUUUGUAUUUUGGGAUUGUGUAAAAUUUAAAAUUUUAGAUAUUUUUAUGUUCAUAUUUUCUUUUAUAAAUAUAUAGGGGUAAGCUCUCACUAAUUUUCUCAAGCUUUUAGGAGUUCCUUCUAUUGAAGCAAUAUCAUGAGCGAAUCUAUAAUCAAUAUAUAUGAGAAAGAAAAAAAUAUAAAAAAAGUAAAAUAAAAAAAUAAAAAUAGACUUGAACACUUAUGGAUGUUCAAUUUAUAAUAAGCUUAGGUAAAAGGGUUAAAAUAAUCAAACUAUUGUCUAACUCAUGCUAUGAAAAAGAAAUCACAAUUAAAAAAAGAAUAUCGUAUGCUUCAAUGAAAGUCACAAUUUAUCUUUGAUCAUGCUUGUUCGCAACUAAGUAGCUAUAAUGUAACUACAUGUUCCUACAGACCUCGCUCUAGUUGACUUUGCCCUAUGAUCCUUUAGCCGAAUUUGUGAUGUCUAUAUUUUAAUAUGCGAGGUAUUUAAAAAAAUAGAUACAUCAAUUUAUUUUUGUAGUGGGUGAAUAUAAUUAUUUAUUUAUGCAAUAUAUAAACAUAAAAUGAUGUCAUAUUAAUAAUUUAUGAAAAUUAGAUCAAAUUAAAAUUUCAUGUAUAAAAUUACAUAUUAUGCCAAAGUUUAUAUAUAGUUUUGAGAUUUAUCCCAUUUUCCUAUUAACUUAGCCAUUAGCUUGAGCAUUAAAUGUUCGCUCAAAUAUGAUAGGGGACAUACUUAAAACACAUGUGUACAUGCUAUAUAGGCAACUUGAAUCUAAUGUGUUAAAAAAAGAAGAAGAAGAAAUAAUCCUCUUAAAAUUUAUAAUCUCGUCGUAUUUUUAAUAUGUUAUAAUCAAGUUAUCAAUAUGAUGAGUCCACAAGUAUUUACAAUUUAAUCCAUGUCAAAUGAGAACAGAAAUUUAAAAUCUAAAUUGAUAGCUACAAAAAUGAAAUGAUUUUAUUGUUAUAAUAUUAAUACUUUCAAAACUUAAUUAAAAUAUUUUAAAAUUUACAAAUUAAUUCUAAAACAAUAUUUAAUAAAUUGAGAAUAUUUAAUACAAAUAACUUCUUAUUUGAAUAUAAAUAAUUAUAACACAUUUAUUAUUAAAUGAAAAUAAUAUUGUUUGGUUGGAAAUGGUCCCACCGUGUUUUACGUUUGGGGAACAAAGCGACGGCGUUUUAGUUGGAGAAGAAGGGAGUAACGUUGUUAAGUACAUCAUUUUGUUUAUUUUCGUUUUAAAUUUGUUUUCUCGUUUUCUAUUUGAUGCCGUUAAUAUUCUUUUUUGGGUAAACUAUAUUAAAAGUCAUUCAACUAUUUUAAAAAGUACAAAAUGAUCACCAAAUUAUUAGUAAUUUCUUUUAUCUAAUUAUGAAAAGUUACAAAAUAAUCAAUAAACUGUUAUUUUUUUCCUUUUCUUUCACCCAACUAUCUUGGAUUUUUUGGUAUUUUCUAUUUUUUCAUUAGCCAACUAAUGAUAAAAAUGAUAAAAUUGAAUCGUUGGGAGACUAUUUUGUAACUUUUCAUAAUUGAGUAACCAAAAAGGAAAAAAAAAACUUAGUUGGGUGACUACUAAAGUAGGUUACCCUUUUUUAGGUUAAAAUAUGCCAUAUGUCCUUGUACUCGCCAUAAAUUUGAAAUUUAGUCUCUAUACUUGUAUUUAUAGGAAUUUAAUUCUUUUACUUUUUAAAGUUCAAAUUUCAGGUCCAAUUGUUAAUACUGUUAAAUUAACCAUUUAAUGAUAGAGGGACUAAUUUGUAUGCAGUCCCUACAGUACCGGUACUUUAACCCUUAUAUAUAUAUUUGAAUUUUAUUUUAGGAUUAAAUUGAAAAUUUGAAAAAAGUAAGAGUUCAAAAAGGUAAAAACAAAUGAAAUUAGCACAUUAACUUACAAUUAUAUACCCUUUCUUUUCCCUCCUUUUCUACUCUAUAUCUCUCUAAUGUCAGAACUAAAACCCUCAUUUUCUCUCCCUUCCUAUUUCCCUAUUGCAAUUAUACCCACCUCGUUUCCCCUCAAUAUCAUAAACCUCCAUGUUCGGGAUGGUCUUAUGCUGCCGUAUUAACCUCCUCCUACGGCUUCAACAGUACCAGCUUCGACGGUUCCUCCGGUUGUUCCGCCGAUACGUCGUCACCUGGCCUUCGAUUCGACGAAGCCGCUGUUUGUUCAUCCCGAUGAUUAUCACAGAUUUUCAUCUAGUAAUAGUCGUGGAAUCGUCACCGAUCAGGAAGUUGAAGCUGAACAUUUAAUGCUGUGCUCUAUAUGAAGAAAGCUUGAUGGGUGUUAGUUCUUUUGAUGUUUGUAGAAUAAUAAAAGAAAACUUCUCAAGUUUAUUGGAUGCUAACAUAUUGUUAUAUACAAGCAAGGAAAGGAAGUAACAGAAAGUAACAGAAAAAUAACUACUAACUGACUAACAAGAAAUUAAUUUAAAACUAUAUGACUAAUAGCCCCCCUCAAGCUGGAGAGUGAAUGGGAAACAGUCCCAGCUUGGACAAAAUAAGCUGGAAGGGAACAGCAGGCAGAGCUUUGGUGAAGAUGUCAGCAAGCUGGUCUUUGGAAGAAUAAGGAAGCAAUUUGACAACACCGGACAACACUUUUUCACGAACAAGAUGACAGUCGAUCUCAAUAUGUUUAGUACGUUCAUGAAACGUAGGGUUUGCAGCAAUUUAGAGAGCAGAAUUGUUGUCGCAAAAAAAAGCAGUAGGCCCAGAAAUAGACAGAUGCAAAUCAGACAGAAGAAAUCGAAGCCACUGAAUUUCACAAACAGUAGAUGCAAGAGCCCUAUAUUCUGCUUCUGAGGAAGAGCGAGACACGGUGCUUUGCUUCUUGGCUUUCCAACUAACAAGGGAAUCUCCAUAAAAUAGGUAGUAACCAGUCACGGAGCGACGUGUGAGAGGACAACCAGCCCAAUCAGAGUCACUAAAUGCCUUCAGUGUAGGCGAAGAAGAAGCAGAAAAGAAAAUACCAAAGUCAAUGCAUCCUUUCAGGUAGCGAAGAAUGCGAUGGGCAGCUUGAAGGUGAGUGACUAUAGGUCGGUCCAAGAAUUGACUUAACUGUUGAACAACAAAAGCAAGAUCAGGUCUAGUAGAAACCAAAUAUAAUAGGCGUCCAAUAAGUUUUCUGAAAAUAGUGUUAUCAGGAAGUAAUUCGUCAGAAGCAUCGCGAGGGAUUUUAGUAACCAUAGGAGUUGUAACAGGCCUGCAAUCUGAGAAACCAAAAUCAGCCAGUAGAUCGAGAGCAUAUUUUUGCUGGCAAAGAUGAAUACCAGCAAAACUACGAGCAACUUCAAGGCCAAGAAAAUACUUGAGAUCCCCCAAGUCUUUGAUGCUAAAGGCAGAAUGCAAAAAGGCUUUUACCCGUGUGAUUUCUUCCAAAGAAUCACCAGCUAGAAUAACAGCAUCAACAUAAACCAAUAAGGCAGUAAAGGAAAUUUCAUCCUUUUUAACAAACAGAGAAAAAUCUGAAGUAGAUUGAACGUAACCAAUUGUAGUGAGAGCUGCAGUGAGUUUGGCAAACCACUGUCGACUAGCCUGCUUGAGACCAUAUAAUGAUUUUUGCAACUUACAAACCUUAUGGGAAGUGGAGGAAGCAAAACUAAGAGGCAAAAACAUAUAAACUUCUUCAGUCAAAUCUCCAUGCAGAAAUGCAUUGUUAACAUCAAGCUGGUGCAAAAACCAGUCUUUGGAAGCAGCAAUAGCAAGCAAUAAUCGAACAGUAGUAAUCUUGGCCACAGGGUAAAAAGUAUCAAAAUAAUCAACACCCUCAGUUUGUGUGAAACCUUUAGCAACCAAACGAGCCUUGUAACGCUCAAUAGAACCAUCGGCUCGAUAUUUCACACGAUAGACCCAUUUGCAACCGAUUGCAAUUUUGCCUGAAGGUAAGUCCAUAAUGAUCCAGGUGUUAUUUUGUUCAAGAGCAGAAAUUUCAGCUUGCAUUGCUUCUUGCCAAUGGGGAAUUUUGCUAGCUUGUAAAUAGGUUGUAGGUAUGGGAGAAGCAUUGAUAGCAAGAGUAAUAGGUGUGGCGCAUCGAAGAUGAUUGGCAACAGUUUUGCUGGAAAAGCAGUGAUACUGGUCUAAAUAUGAAGGAGGUUUCCUAAGACGAGGUGGCCUAGAGGGUUGUAAAGGAACGGGAGGUGAGGGUUGUGAUUGAAUUGGCAAGUCAUAGGUAAUGGUGGGGUCAAAGGUUAACUGUGGGAUGGAAGAGGAAGAAGAUGGUUGUUGAGAAAAAGGGAAAACGGACUCAUGGAAAUGGACAUUUUUGGAUAUAAAAAUGGCAUGGGUUGAUAGAUCAAAAAGAAUAUAGCCUUUGACAUGAGGUGGAAAACCAAGAAAGACACACUCACGUGCUCGAGGAUCCAACUUAUGACGAUGAGCAGUAAGAGUGGUUGCAAAACAAAGACAGCCAAAGACACGGAGGUGCUGAAAAGAUGGCUUAGUUUGGUAUAACUUGUCAAAAGGGGUAAGGUUAGCCAAAAUGGGAGUAGGGGUACGAUUAAUAAGAAAAACAACAUGAAGAAUAGCAUGUCCCCAAAAAUGCUUAGGCAAAUGAGAAUGAAAUAAGAGAGCCCGUGCAACAUUAAAAAUGUGUUGGUGCUUGCGUUCUACAAGACCGUUUUGUUGUGGGGUUUCAACACAUGUAGUUUGAUGAAUUGUGCCUUUGGAAGCAUAAAAGGCUAGAAUGGCAAACUCACAACCAUUGUCAGAUCGAAUGACUUUAAUUUUAGAUGAAAAUUGAGUUUCAACAAGUGUGAAAAAAUUCUGAAUGUGAGUACGAACUUCAGAUUUUGCUUUCAAUAAAAUAAUCCAAGUAAAGCGACUAAAAUCAUCAACAAUGGUUAAAAAAUAACGAUGACCAGUAAUGGAAAUAACAUCAGUUGGACCCCAAAUAUCAACAUGAACAAGUUCAAAAAUUUUAUUGGAAAUGGAAGUGCUUACAGGAAAAGAUAAUUUCUUUUGUUUGGCCAAAUGGCAGGCUGUACAAGGUGCAUUAUUUGACAAAGACAAAGAAGGAAUGUAAGGGAAAAGUAGUUUUAGUCGAGAAUCAGAAAGAUGACCGAGACGAUGAUGCCAAAGGGAACAUGAAGAUGUGUUGGCUGACAAGGCAAUGGGAGCAGAAAUGGAAAAAGUUUGAGCUGGGAAAUCCAAAAUAUAAAGACCAUGGAGCACUCUAGCUGUACCAAUCAUAUUCGAAGAAGGAAGAGCCUGUAUAGAACAAUGAUUUUUAUGAAAAGUAAAGGAACAAGGUAAUAUAGCAGUGAGUUUAGUAACAGAUAAAAGAUUAAAGGUAAAUUGAGGAACAUAGAGAACAUUAGUAAUGUAAAGACUAUUAUUGAAAAUGACUGUACUAGAAAUUCGAGCACAAACUUUAGUGCCAUUUGGAAGGUUGAUGUAUAUAGGUUUAAUGGAAUGAAAAGAAGCAAAAAAUGAUAAAGAGUGAGCAAUGUGAUCAGUGGCACCUGUGUCAAUGAUCCAAUGAUGGGAUUGAAGAGAAAAUAGGUUACCUGAGGAUGGGAAAGGGUUCGGUUGUGAGGAAGAAGCAGUAUUGGUAACAUGAGGUGGGGAGGUAGAUGCUGGAAGUAAUGCAAGUAGCUGUUGCAACUGAUCUUGUGUCAAAGUAACAGAAGGAUCAGAUGGCAAAAUAUCAACAUGCUGCGAAGAGUCCAAAGGUUGUGAAGCACAAUCAUUAAGCGCUGUAUGUGCACAAGAGGCCCGACCUCGAGACUUGUAACCAGGUGGAUAUCCAUACUUUUCAUAACAAGUAUCAACAGUAUGCCUAGAUUUGCCACAGAAGGUACAUUGCCAUGAAUCAGUAAAUGAUUUAGCCUGAGGUUUCUUUGAAGAACUGUGGUGGCGCAGUGUGUUGCUAACAAACAACUGAGAUGAGCCAGUAGGAAGGUGACGUUCUUGUUGAAUAACCAGGGAAAAUACUUUGUUGAUUGGAGGCAAGGGAUCAAUAAGCAUGAUUUGAGAACGAACAGCAGCAAAUCGAUCAUGAAGACCUUUAAGAAAACGAAUAACGUAGUCGUUAUCAUGAUAUUUCUGGAGAGUGACAAAAACACCGCAAGAGCAAGAUGGUGAACAAGAACAAACUGGAAUUGGUCGAAAAUUCAUCAACUCAUCCUAGAGAAUUUUUAACUCAGUAAAGUAAUCAGUAACGGAACGAUCAUCUUGCUUGAAAGCAUUGAUCUCUUCUUGGAGAGCAGAAAUGCGGAAAACAUCACUUUGAGAAAAGCGUUCACGAAGUCGGGCCAAAGAACACUGUUCAUGAUCGAGGGCGAGAUGGAAUGGUGCAACCAAGAAAGCACCAUAGUGUUACAUCGUUCCCAGGCAGAAUAAAGAGGAUCCGUUCGAGGUGGAACCGUGAUGGUGCCGUCAACAAACUGAAGCUUGUUCUUGGAUAGAAAUGCCAUUGUCAUAGCUCGAGACCAAGAGUGAUAGUUUGAGCUUGAUGAGACAGGAGAAACAAGAACCAAAGCUGGAUUUUCAUUUGGAUGCAGAUAGUAUGGGCUAGAAGGCAGCAUAGUAUCAUGAAAUGCCAUUGGAAGAAAAGGGAAUCAAGAAUGCAGAUUAUGGAGAAAGCAAAAUAUAACGUCUGAUACCAUGUAGAAUAAUAAAAGAAAACUUCUCAAGUUUAUUGGAUGCUAACGUAUUGUUAUAUACAAGCAAGGAAAGGAAGUAACAGAAAGUAACAGAAAAAUAACUACUAACUGACUAACAAGAAAUUAAUUUAAAACUAUAUGACUAAUAAUGUUUUGUCUUUGAUGGAUGUUUGAAAAAUGAUUCAGUUGAUAUCCAUAAUGUCUAUCACUAUAGUUUCCCCCUUAUGCAUAAUUCGACUGCUCUGCUAGUUUUGUCGGACAAAAUUAUAUUCGCAUAUUAUAUUCUUUUUCUUUAUUGUCUUCAACGCGAUAACAAGUGAAUUACUAGUUACUUUACUUGAUUUUUUCAUGGCAUUUAUCUCUUUGAGUUUUGGCCUUUGUGAAUUAACUUUUGAAUCAAGUAACGAAGCAUUUCUGAUGGUUCUUAUGGCUAACAGUAAGUUUUCUUGUACAAGCUGUCGCACUUAUGCAUUUGUUAAACUUAUGCUCUUUUUUAUUUUAUUUUCUUCAAUUCAAUUGGUUGUUAACGUUGAUAUAACCGUGCACAAAUACUAAGGGACCUUGUAAUUUUGCCUGCCAUUGCCAGUACUUCGAAAUAUUGCUGAUUUUUCUCAGCAAUUAAAAAGGAAGAGCGCAGCAGACAAAAAUGAUGUUGAGUCUAGCCAAUGGACAAGCAGUCCGGGGGUUACCUGUAUAUGGUAAAGGAGGAAGGAUAAAUAAUAGAUCAAAGACAUCAAAAGCCAAUAAAUCAAUGCCUCACACACCUGUGUCAAAUGCUGGUGCGAUACUAUUUCCUACUGGCUUUGUCCAUAGAAGGAAACUUAUGAUUCACCCCACGGCUCUAUCAUCAAUGCCUCAUUGCUCGAAUUAAGAGAGAUGGAUUUUGUAGAAGAGGAAUCACUGACAUUAUAAAUGAUAAUUGGCAGGUUGUCCAUCUCCUCUUACACCUGUGGCAGCUGCUGUUUAGAUAGUCCUUUAGUUAAUCUUUACUGCCCAUUCUUUUUUCUUUUACUAUAGUCUGUUUUAGCUCCUUAACCUGCUAUGGAUGGUGAGAACGACAAUAAUGCAGUCCCCAUUUUUAGGUCUGUUGACGAAAAAGUUUGUCAAUCUGAUGAAGCAUGCUGAUUUGUCAAUCUGAUGAAGCAUGCUGAAGAUGGUAUCCUUGACCUAAAUAAGGCUGCAGAAACAUUGGAGGUAAUGAAAUACUAGCGAGCUUAUGUAUCAUUGGGUGUUUGUUGAGUAUUUUUUUCAUGUUACUUAAAGGGUUCUUUUGUCCUUUAUUUUUCCCUGUAAAUGUUGUAACAGGUGCAGAAGAGGAGGAUAUAUGAUAUAACAAAUGUCUUGGAGGGCAUCCCUUCAUCUGAAUACUGUUUGGAACCCUAAAAAAACAUAAAUGUGUUUUUUCCUGAGAUGGCACGUAUUUUGCAAUAAGAAAAAUAAAGAGUACAAUUAAAAUGUUUAUGCAGUUCGGAACUUGUCCUAUGUCUGCGGAGCUUUGCCCAAAGAUGAAUCCACUAUGAACUUUAUAGUACAAAGAAAUGAUUUAAGCUUAACCCCUCAAACACUUUAUGCAAAUUCUCACUUUUGUACAAUUAAGUAAAUUCUCUCCCAACUCAUUUUAGCUAUGCAAGUGAAAAUUCACAUUCAACACUCACAUGAUUUUCCUACUAUGAAUAAGUUCUUAAUAAGCUCCAUAUAAGUGGAAUAAUAAAUUUUCAAAUGCAAUAUGUCUGGGAAUUGUCAUGCUUGAACAACGACUCUUCCAAAAGCAUCAAUGAAUCUGAAAAUUAUAAAUGCCAACAUAGAAUAUGUUACAAAUCCCGUUAUUAUCAGCCUUAUAUUUACACAUAUGUCUGUUUAGUAUAAUGCUGUUGAUAUAUAAAUAAUGAAACAUUUUAUCAACUUCAACCUCACCACCAAAUAUUCUGAAGCAUUUUCCUUUUUUUCCUGUUUGGACCUUCAAUAACAAAUUUGGCUGGAAUUCCAAACAGCUAAAAGAGUGCCCUGCAUCAAUGAAUAUUAAGAUGGUAAGCAAAAACAUAAAUAUAUAUAAAGAUAUGAUAGGUAAGUGCUUAAAUGAAGAAAGCAGAGCAUAUAGUACAACCAUUUUGAAGGCUUCAUGGGCCUCUCUCUCCACAUCAAUCAUUUUUUAGAAUCAAAAUAUUAGAAGCAAAUAGAUGAAUUAUCACCUCUUUUUAUGCAUAUAAAAUGAUUGAAGUUGACUAAUGCCUUUCUCCAAUGCCUUACUGCACAAAUCAGCAAAUAUAUUAUGAAAGAUGAUAAGUAAAAAGUAGGAUGAAAACAAAGGGAUUUUAACAAGGAAAUUAACAGUAUCCAACUUCAAUGAAAAAUGGCAUCAGACCCCUGACUUGGAGAUUCAAUAUACCACUCUUAUUUUUCUUCAAAAAAAGAUAAGGUCAUCAAAAUAAAUAAAUAACAAAGACAGACCAACCUGAUAUGACCCAAUGUUGGGGAUGUGAGCAAUCUUUUGCCAAUCAGCGCCAAUGUCCUUCCGACAUCUUUCCUCCAACUGAGGAAUUCCUUUUAUGUGUAAAUACUCCAAACUGGUUAGGCAACGCAUCCCGUCCGGAAGAGAUGUUAAAUUUGGCAAAUUAACAAGAUGAAGCCGUUGCAGAUUUGUUAGAUGUUGAAGCCACUCCGGAAGAUGCCGACACUUUGGAAUAUAUUCCAGCCGUAGAGAGCGUAGUCUUGUAUGAUCUUGGAAUAUUUGGAUGCCAGCUCCAGAUAACUCCAGCUCCUCGCAGUUCCUUACUUCAAACUCUUCAAGGAAAGUGAGAUGUUGGAACACAGGAAGCAGUGACCUCAAUCCAUUCCAGUUAUGAAUUUUUAAUGUUUUCAAUUGAACAAGAUGUUGAAGCCCAAUGGGGAGAGACACCAGCUUUGGAAUAUUAUCAAUCUCCAAAUGAGAGAGAUUCUUAAGGGGUUCCCCUUGCAUGCCCUCUAAAUCAACCUCCUUGCAAUUUCGUAUUGUUAAUCUUUUGAGGCUGGUGAGAUGUUGCAGGCACUCAUCUAGCGUGUAAGUGUCCAACCCCUCAAUGUUGUGUACAUCGAAAGAUUUCAAUUUGGAGAGUGGAAGAGAAGAGGUUGAAGUUGAUGGGGCCUUAGCAUUGAUGUUCAUCUUGAUAGUCUGCUUUAACGGCCUUGAACUGGUAUUCGACAACAUUAGAUCUUCACCGAGUGAUGGAUACAGUGGCAUUAAAGUCAAAGGGCAAUUUUGAAUUGUUAAAGAGGAAAGACAAGGAAAUGCCAUGGUUGAUGUUCCCAUAACUGUUGUGUCGUCCUCGUUGGAAUCAUCAUCGAUUGGUUUUGUCGUCCUCCACCAACUCUUCAUAUUUGGGCAAUCCUCGAGGUUAAGAAGCUUAAGCGAUGGGAAGAAUGAUUGUGGUUCUCCUUGACUUCCUUUUGGGCUAUUAUCAUCCAUGUACUCCAGCUUAGUACAAAACAUAAUAUCCAGCAGUUCAAGACAGGGCAAUUGAGCAAAGGACGGGAAAUAUUUGAAAUUACCACCACUUAUGAAAAUUUUGACGAGAUUUGUGAGCAAAGGAAGCCAACUUGGAAACUUGGCAUCACCCCUCCAUCCUCGAAUACAGAGCUCCUUUAGAUUAGGAUGGGGUUGGAGGUCUUCAAGUGAUUUAUCAUCAUCAUAUUCAUCAUCGUUAAAAUCAAAAUAAAAGCUCCAUUGUAAAACCAACGAUCUCAAAUGUUGCUUCUCAUUCAAAUUAGCAGCCUUAAACUUCUCUUUUGCAUUUUUUACGAAUCCCAAAUUUGCUAUUUCUAGAUGUCCCCUUAAGUUGUUAAGCAGUCUCAAUUCACUUAGAUCUGCACCGCCAUGGGACCCAUCUUUAUCCACUACAAACAUGCUUAACGUCUCAAGUGAAGUCAGCUUCCCUAUUCCACGUGGCAUAUGAGUUAAACUAAAACAAGCGUCACACCCAAUAUGGGUAAGCUUCACCAAUUUUUCAACCUUCUUUGGCAAUUCUUGAAGCCCACAACACCAGUCAAGUUUCAGCGCUAGCAAAUUCUGAAUCUUGCAAAUACUCUUUGGGAGAAUCUUGAUAUUGUAAUUGGAAGAAAGAUCAAGGUGCCUCAAAUGUUUCAACUUGUAAAUGGAGGGUGAAAUCAUCUGAAUACCUAACGAAUGCAAAUCCAAUACACGCAAGCAUCUACAAUUUGCAAUUAUCAAAUCCCAAGUUUCAUAGCUGAAAUCAUCACUCAAUUUUUGAUCUAUGUUGUCUUGAAAAUGUAACAAGGUUCGCAACUUCUUUCCCUUAAACAAAGGAAUUAAUGAAGGUUUAAUUGAUAUGUGGCGACAUUUUUCACCAACAUCACUUGCAAUUCUAUUUGAAUCUACAAUACUACUCUCCAUCCCUGCUACUGAUUCAGCUAGAUCAUGCAUUAAAUCAUGCAUUUUACAUGUUAGCCCUUCCCAUGAAUAUCUUUCUCCUACUUCUUGGAAGAAACUUCUUUCAACUAAAUCUUUAAAAUACCCAAACCCAAUCUCCUCCAGAGAUUGACUUUGAUUCAAUUGCUUUAUGAAACCCUGUGCAAUCCAAAAUUGAACAAGCGCUUGUACUUCAAUUCUGUAAUCUUUUGGAUACAAUCGGCAAUAAGCAAAGCAAUGCUUCAAAUGAGACGGGAGAUGAUCAUAACUCAAUUUCAGCAUAGGUAGAAGUUCUCCUUCAAUUUGUGAUAUUUUAGCAAGUUCAUUUUCUUUGAAAGAAUGCCACUCAUUUGCAGUUUUCUUCAAAGAUAAUGUACCAGCUAUCGUCCUUAUGGCUAAGGGAACCCCACCACACCUUUCCGAAAUCUGUCUCCCUACUUCCACAAAGGCUGAAUUUGUUGAGUCUGCAUAUCCUUGCUCAAAUGCUAUCUUUUUGAACAAAGACCAAGCAUCAUCAUCAGACAAGCCUUUCAAUUUCAAAACAUGGGAUUGACAUUUAUUAAUUAUCUCCGCUACCCUUAGAGAUCUAGUCGUUACUAUUAUCCUACUCCCUUUAGCCCCACCCAUCAAUAACUUCUUUAGCCUAGACCACCUUUCUGGGUCCUCAUUCCAAAUGUCAUCCAAAACAAGCAAAUAUUUUUUCCCAUCAAUUUUAUCUCGAAGUUGUUUUUGCAGUUGAUCCAUUUCAAGAUUUUGAUCAGGUGCUUGAUGAGUCACAGAUUUGAUAAUGUUUGCUACAAUAACUUUCACAUCAAAAUCAUCUGAAACACACGCAAACAUCGUUAAGUCAAAAUGAUUUUUGACCAUUUCAUGGUUAUAGACAAGUUGGGCCAAAGCAGUCUUCCCUAACCCUCCAAACCCCACAAUUGGAAUGAUAAAAACAUUCUCUUCACUUUGAAACUCCAACACGAGUUUUAGAAGAGCUGCUUUAUCCUCAUCCCUCCCUAUUAUGUCAUCUUCACGCUCAAAAGAGUGCGUUUGCUGCCUCCUUUUAGUCAUGAAAGAGGUUUCCGCGGGGCGAUCACGCGGAAUGAAGCGAAAAGUGUUGGCCUCACUUUCAAUUGAAGCUAAUCUCGCCUUAAUGGCCUUCAUUUUCCGACCCAUUUUGAGACCAUAAGCAAAUUGGUUGAGGUUGAGAAGAAAAGGCGUACUCUUUCGUCAGCUUGUUCCCACCCGAUACAUCUUUCCGCAAAGCUUCAGUAGAGAAAUCAUCGAGCAAGUCGUCGGCAUCAUAAAGUACAUCUUUCAGAUCUUCAAGCCAAACUUUGACGAGAUUGUCGGUCACCGAUUUCUCUUCUGCGUCAAGAAGCACAGCUUUGAUUUGACAGACAGUGCGUCUGAGGUCGUGGAUGUCAUGUUUUAGAUUCCACCACGGCCCAAGUUGAGAGAGAGCACGAGAGCUCAACUUAAUAAUGAGCUCUGCGGCAAUGUCGAAAGCAAUUGCAUCGGCCAUUGUUGGCUCAAACUGAAAUCAAGGCGAGAAGUGUUUGAUUAGUGAAAGAGGAGGACUAAAAUGAGAAUGAUUCCAACAAGAUGAAACACAGAUGUGGAUCCAUCCACCCAGCAAGUAGUAUAAUGAAAUAAAAAGUAAUGUUCAUUGGUGGGAAAUGGUCCCUCCAUGUGACACAAAUUUCUGAAGGGAGACAAAGUUGGGAUGAUGACACUUGGGGUGCUCUGCACAAUGUGGAGCCGUACAAAUAAUUGAAAUUAAUGAAAAAGCUAUGAAAGAAAAGAGAAAAAAGGAGACAAAUCCCAUGGAAUCCAGGGUGUUUUGAUUGAGGCACAUGCAUUCAAGUCUUUCUAAACCUUCUUCCCACUUACUUUGUGUAAUUGAGUGGGUCUGAAUACUCGGUUCUAACUUAAAUUUAAUAUUUUAUUUUUGAGGGUGAUUGCAGACUGUGAGAUACAACAUGAAGAUUGGGUUUAUGUCAGCUCCAUGGGAAUGUAUUUUAUUAUACCAUCAUGAAGAUUGCUUCCAGUGCUCAUAUCUAUUUAAUUAUUUUAAUACACAUAAAAUUGUUUAUUGUGAGUUGGAUGAUUUUGGUUUGUUUAUUUAAAAUAUUUUAUUAUUAAAUAUAUUCUUAAUUAUUUAUUUUACAUAUUUUAACUUAAUAUAUUUAAGAGUGAUUUUUUUAUAUUUAUAAAAAAAAAGACCCAAAGGUCACUACCUCAUUUUAAGUUGCAUCAUGAAUUACAAUGUUAUGGAUAUGGCUAGGAUAAUCCAUCUCAAAAGACAAAUUACAACACUAAGAAAGAGCCCAAUUACAAAGAAUCGGCUAAUUUGUUACAACCACAUUUUACCCAUUUGAUCUUGGCGGAAACAAAAGAACCAAGCAUCUUAUGAGCUCCUUGAUGCAGUGAUCAAGGAUCGUUAUGUCCUCCUUGUGAAAACUAAAGCGGUUGACAAUGCUAGCACAAUCUGUUUUAAAAAUAACAUUAUCGGUUUUAAGAAAUUGAGCAAGUCGAAAACAUCAGUGAGGGCAUCUAAUUUCGCUUUAAUAGUGAUUUUUUAUUCUCAUUUUAUCGGUAUAUUUACAUUUGAAUUCAAAUAUAUAUUCUACAAUUAACUUUAAUCUCACUGAUGUAGAACUUAACCUCACUAAGUUACUUGUUUAACAUGAUUAUGGUGAAUUUAUAGAAAGAACAAUCAUGAAGCAAAUGCAGAUGCACUUAUGUUUAAAGUGUUAUUAAUGGAAAUUUUAUUAUUUUGAAAAAUAAAAGUAUAAUAACUUUUUUGGCAUUCCAACUUUAUAAAAGAAUUAUUUUAUUAUUUUGAACUUACAUUUUUUUGUCAAACCAUCCAAAAUGGGUGAAAAAGUUAAUGUUUAUUAACUUUGUUGACAUGACAUAUAGGUGGAUUACCAAGUGUAUGUCACGUUAGCAAUUAAUUAUUUUUAAAAAAUAUUAAAAAAUAUUUCCUUAUAAAUUUUUUAAUUUUUAAAAUAUUUUUUUGAAUUUUUUAAAAUUUUAAAAAUGAGUAAUUGCUUAUGUGGCAUACACAUGGCAAUCAGCGUGUAUGUCACAUCAGCAAAAUCAAUAGACAUUAAUUUUUCACUCAUUUUGGGGUGAUUUGACAAAAAUUACAAGUCUAAGGACUAAAAGAAACGAAAAAUUAAAUGGAGAGAUGAAAUUACUUUUUCUCUAAAGUUGGAGACCCAAAUAAUCAUUAUGGCAAAAAAUAGUUGUUUUUCUUCUCUCUCUUUCUUUUUGGUAUUUUUUAGUGCUAAAAUUUAAGAUGGUGUGGAAUGUUUAUAAUCUUAUUAUUGUUAUAUAUGUUUUCGAUCUCAUUAGAGCUAAUCUCACUAUCUAUAUAAAGAGAGCCUAAAUAUAAUUUGUUUAGCUUCUUUUAAACAUGUUAGUGUUCCCUUGUAUGAUCAUUUACCUCCCGUGAGUAGGGUUGAGUAAAUUAAAUAAAAUAAAAUAAUUGAAAAUCGAUCCAAAUCAAGGUCUUUAGAUGGUUUUUGGAAUACUAAUUAACAAAUCACAAUUAUCCGAAACCAAACCAAAUUAUAUUCUUUAUUUAAUUUAUAAAUAAAUUUAUUUUUUAUAAUUUAAAAAUAAAUCUUUUAUAUUUAAAAAUAGUGAAAAUAAAUAAAUAUAUAUUUUUAUUUACUUAAAAAAUUUAAAAAUAUCUAUGAAAUAAAUUUUGAAAAUUUGUCAAAUGAUAUUUAAAAGCCGUAAAAUAAAGUUUAUUUUAUUAAAAUAAUUAUAAAAAUUUAUAAUAAAAAUCAAACUAAACUAAAUUAUAAUGGAAAGACAAAAAAAUACAAUCGAAUUAAGCUAAGAUUUUCUUAAAAAUAUUAACUUGCAAUGAGAUUGUUUUCCUCACUAUAACCUUGUAGAGGUGUUAUAUAAGUACAUAUCAUAUGAUAAUUAUAAAUUUAAUAAUUUAAUUUUUUAAAAUUAAAUAUAUUACAAAUUAAUAUUUAUAUAAUGAUAUAUUAAAUACAUGUAAAUUUAUUAUCAUAAAUAUAUUUUUAAUUAUUAUUUAAUAUAAAUAAUUUUAUUAUAUUUUAUUAUUUUCAUUUAUAUAAAAUAUAGAAUUUUGAGUUUAUAAUAAUUUCAAAAAAUAUAUAAUUUUCAUAUUCAAAUUUUAUAUAAAUUAAAUCUAAAUAAGUAGAUAUGUAAUAAUAAAUAAAAAUUAAUAAAAAAUAUAUUUAUUAAUAAAUUUAUUAUUUACCAUGAUUGCAAAUUUAGUAUAUGUUAUAUUAUUUAAUGUUAAAUAUAAUCUUUCAUUUUACAAAUAUAAUUUAACAUCCUUAAUAAUCAAUUUAAGGUGAAAACACCUCUCUAGUCCCUUUCAAUUUUGAUAUCAUACAAAUUGGUCCUUCUAAAAAAUUUAGAGCAAUUUUAUCGUUAUUAAUUUUGAAAUUGAGCAACUAAGGAUAAUUAAUCACAACAUUAAUAUUUUUUGUCAUCUGUACACAUUUUUAUUGGUAUAAUAACAACUUCAGCCCUAAAAGUUUACACAUUCUGUCAAUUUAGUUCUAGUUUAACAAAAUCAAUUUGCAACAUUUACACAUUAUGUAUGAACUGAAUUUGUUAUUAUACUAAUCAAAAUUAUAUACGAGUGACAAAAAAUAUUAACAUUAUUUUUAAUUGUCCUUAGUUCACCUUUGAAAUUGAUAAGGAUUAACUUGUUCCAUUUUUUUGAAAGGGCCCAUUUGCAAAAUAUUGAAUUUAAGAGGGUCGAAGAGGUGUUUUUAUCCAUUUUUAGCCUCACCUCACUACUACAAUUGUUAUUGAAUCCAAAUAUAUAUCCAACACUGAUUAUUAUCACAUCACUACGGUAUUCAAUCUCACUAUUAUAACAACUAAUAUCACCACCAACGUUAUUUUUCAUUUCACUAGACUUGAUCCAAGUAUACAUCCAAAGAAAACCAUAAACUUAUCUAAAUACAAAUAGAACUAUAAAAAACUUAUUUGGACAUAAAUUGAAAAUAUAAUUACUUGCUUGAUUUACACAUUUGUCCAAUUAUUCAAUUUGGUCAGAUUGAAGGUUAUUCUUUGAUAAGAUAUUAUUAUUAUUAUUAUUAUUAUUAUUAUUAUUAUUAUUAUUAUUAUUAUUAUUUGCUCUGGGCAAACUUAAUACAACUUGAUUUACUCUUUAUUAAUUAAAAUCAUUUUAUUUAUAUUUAAUUAUAAAAAUGUGUAAAUAUUAUUAAAACAUUAAUUUUUAAUAUUCAAUGAAUAGUGAAAUAGGGUCAACUUAUAAAGGUUAAAGUAUUUAGGAAGUCUCUAUAUUAUAGACUGUAUCAAAAUAGUCUCUUGAUUAUUAAACAGAUCAAAUUUAUUCUUGUAUUAUUAAAAAAGAAUCAAAUUAUAUCAAAUUGUAACAGAAUUAACAUUUAUUGUAACAGAAUUAACAUUAACAGAGUUAACAAUUUUCAAUACAUUUUUAUGCAAUAAAUGUUAAUUUUGUUGUAAUUUGGUUUUAUUUGAUCAUUUUUAAUAAUACAGAGACUAAUUGACCAUUUAAUAAUAGAGGGACUAAUUUGAUGUAGCCCCUAUAAUACAGGUACUUUCACCCUUAUAUAUGUAUUUGAAUCUUAUUUUGGAUGAAAUUGAACAAUUGAAAAAGAUAAGGGUUCAGAAAGGUAAAAAUAAAUUGUAAUUAUAUACAAAAUACUUCCCUCCACAUUUAUCCGAACAAAAGAUUCCCUCCCUUUUCCCUCGUUUUCUACUCUCUCUCUAACGUCUAAACUAAAACCCUCACUUUCUCUCUCUUCCUAUUCCCCCAAUUCCAAUUAUACCCCCACCUCCUUCCCCUAGAAAUCAUAAACCUCCAUGUCCGGCGGGGCUGGAGCCUCCGACGGUCCCACGCUGCCGUAUCAAACUCCUCCUACGGCUUCAACAGCACCAGCUUCGACGGUUCCUCCGGUUGUUCCGCCGAUACGUCUUCACCUGGUCUUCGCUUCGACGAAACCGCCGUUUGUUCAUCCUGAUGAUUAUCACAGAUUUUCAUCUAGUAAUAGUCCUGGAAUCGUCGCCGAUCAAGAAGUUGAAGCAAUUGUUGUGAGAUUUCCAGUGAGUUCAACAAUUCUCUUUUGAAAAUGGUAGCUAUCAUGUAAUUAGUAGUAUAUUAUUUCAAUUUUGAUGAGAAUUGUACUCUCACUUGACGCUUAAUUUUUUUGUGUGAUCUUUUGAUCUGUUCAUAAAUAGAACUUUUCAUGGUGGGUAAGUUUCUUAGGGGAUAAAUUAUCAGUAGCAUUAUUUGUUUCUGAAGUGAUAUUGUGAUUUCUGUAUUUUAAUAUGUGAUCUAUUUCUGUUUCUUGAUGAUGUAUUUGAUGAUUAAAGUGCUCGUUUGCUGAGCUAAGUUGAAAUUGAAUGAAUGCUGGCCUCAUCCAAUGUCCAAAACCUGAUGACUUGAACAUUUUGAUGCCUUAAUUUGAGAAAGCUAAGUUUUAGUACUAUCAAAUAUAAUUGCAAUUGAUAGUAUGUUAGUUUUAUGUAAUAUAAAUGUUAUAGUAAGAGAGGAAGGUUAUGCUAUGCUACUCCAUUCUCGGUUUAAAACCAAACAUUUAAUGUCGUGCUCUAUAUGAAGAAAGCUUGAUGGGUGUUAGUUCUUUUGAUGUUUUGUCUUUGAUGGAUGUUUGAAAAAUGAUUCAGUUCAUAUCCAUAUUUGCCCCAUAUGUAUAAUAUGACUGAUAGUUUGUCAGGCAAAAUUAAGUUCGUAUAUUAUAUUCCUUUUUCUUAUUGUCUUCAAGUAGUGAAGCAUUUCUGAUGGUUCUUAUGACUAACAGUAAGUUUUCUUAUACAAGUUCUCCUACAUAUGCAUCUGUUAAACUUAUGCUCUUUUUUAUUUUAUUUUCUUCAAUUCAAUUGGUUGUUAAUGUAGAUAUAACCAUGCACAAAUACUAAGGGACCUUGUAAUUUUGCCUGCCAUUGGCACUACUUUGAAAUAUUGCUGAUUUUUCUCAGCAAUGAAAAAGGAAAAGCGCAGCAGACAAAAAUGAAGUUGAGUCUAGCCAAUGGACAAGCAGUCCAGGAGUUACCAGCAUAUCCAGCAGUCCCUUCUAGACAGCUGUAUCUGCUAAAGGAGGAAGGAUAAGUAACAGAUCAAAGACCUCAAAAGCCAACAAAUCAAUGCCUCAAACACCUGUGUCAAAUGCUGGUGCGAGACUAUUUCCUACUGGUUUUGUCCGUAGAAGGAAACUUAUGAUUCACUCCACAGCUCUAUCAUCAAUACUUCAUUGCUCGAAUUAAGAGAGAUGGAUUUUGUAGAAGAGGAAUCACUAACAUUAUAUAUCAUCAUCACCUUCAUCAUUGAUGGGUGUCGAGUCCACCAAUAUAAACUUACGCCUAAUUUGCAAUUUAAGCAGUAUAGGGAGUAGGGUCGAUCCCUCAGAGACUGGGUUUACUGAAAAUUGUUGCUCUUUCUCGACCAGAUUCGUGUCUGGGCAGUUGUCUUGCCCAAGAAAUUUGGGUGGAGGAUAAAUUUGUAAACCUAGAACCUGAAAUAAACAGGGGAAAAAAUGCGUGAAAAAUAAAAGCUGAAAUUAAAAUAAUAAAAACAGUUAAAUAAAUCUGAAGAAAAAUGAAUUAAACUAAGCUCAGCUUUAGGCACGAGUUUUUCCUCGUCUUUGAACCGAUCCUCGAAAUUAGAUGAACUCUUCUUUUCUAAUAAGCUAGUUAUAGCUACCAAGGACGCCUCGGACACCAACUCUUCCUUUUGUAAAUUAGUUAUGGAACGUCCAAUAACUAACCCUUACCGAUCGAACAACUAACGAAACGUUCGUGAUUUAUAACUCCGGUAGCUUUGCGUUCUAGAAGAGUCUAGCUCGAACCAAUGCCCUCAACCAUGUGGGACAUUUAAAUCCGGUUACUACUUCACUUGAUGGAACCAAACAGCAAUCCCCACUUGGCACGCCAAUGUGUUCACAGAAAACCGAUUAGACAAUCGAUCCUUUCGGAAUUCCAACUGUACGUCUAACCACACUAACUCAAACGACGUCUUUUUUGACUUAGUGUUGAUUUGACUUUGUGAGUUGACAAAAUCAUACUCUUAAUCCAGAGAAAUAAUAAGUACUGGAAUUUAGGAGUUAAAUUACUCGGGUUUGUAACUUAUGGUCUUGACGAGGCUAACUCCGACCUAAAGCUGAAAUGGAUUUAGUUGACUAAGGUUUGAGGCAUGUUGGUAUUGGGCAUAAUUGGAGAAUGUUGAAUAAAUGAAAAAGAAAUGAAAGUAGGUGGUGUGGGUGACGCAAGGUUUGAUGCAAUAUUUCCAAAGCUUAUGACAGAAAAUAAAUAACUAAGGAAACAAAGCUUGAUUUAUGACUUGAUUAAAAACACUUGAUGAAAAGACUUAAUGAUUAAAUGAAUAAAGUAGUCCCCUAUUUAUACUAGUGACUUUGCUAAAUUAAGACUCACUAGCCAUAGAAAAUUAAGUCUAUUUGACCCCAAAUUAUACCCUUGCACAAAAUUCAAUAUAAACAUGGAAAAAUCAGUGGUGCAAUCUCAUAAAUUAACCAAUUUAAUUACAUAAAAUAUAUAAUUUUAGCAUUUAAUCAAUCAUCAAAAUCAACAUUCCAUUCUAAAGCCAACGAGCUCAAAUGUUGCUUCUCUUUCAAAUUAGCAGCCUUAACUUCUCUUUUGCAUUUUUUACGAAUCCCAAAUUUGUUAUUUGUAGAUGUCCCCUUAAGUUGUUAAGCAGUCAUGUGACCCAUCUUUAUCCACUACAAACAUGCUUAACGUCUCAAGUGAAGUCAGCUUCUCUAUUCCACGUGGCAUAUGAGUUAAGCCACUACAAGCAUGACACGCAAGAUGGGCAAGAUUCACCAAUUUUUCAAUCUUCUUUGGCAAUUCUUUAAGCCCAAUACACCCAUCAAGUUUCAGCGCUAGCAAAUUCGGAAUCUUGCAAAUACUCUUUGGGAGAAUCUUUAUAUUGUAAUUGGAAGAAAGAUCAAGGUACCUCCAAUGUUUCAACUUGUAAAUGGAGGGUGAAAUCAUCUGAAUACCUAACAAAUGCAAAUCCAAUACACGCAAGCAUCUACAAUUUGCAAUUGCAAAAUCCCAAGUUUCAUCACUCAAAUUUUGAUCUAUCUUGUUUGGAAAGUGUAACAAGGUUCGCAACUUUUUUCCCUUAAACAAAGGAAUUAAUGAAGGAUUAAUUGAUAUGUGGCGACAUUUUUCACCACCAUCACUUGCAAUGUUAUUUGAAUCUAUAAUACUACGUACUCUCCAACUCUGUUACUUUUUCAGAUCAUGCAUUAAAUCAUGCAUUUUACAGCUCAUUUCUUCCAUCAAGUCUCCUUCUACUACCUCUUGAAAGAAACUCUAAUUUGGAUAGAUAGAUAGAUGACGGUGCCUAUCAUCGUUUGGAACACCAUCGACCACCGACAGUUUCUUUUAAAAAGUAGGUAGCUCUUAGUUGACUUCUUAAUAUGUUUUUGUUUUGAGAGUUUCAAAAUAAUAAAUGAUUUCAUGACUAGUGUUAUAUUAAGUUUUAUAUGUUUUUUCAUUGUUUAAUAAAUAUUCACUUUUAGAAGUUUUGUAUACUCUUAUAGAGCACUUUUUAGUCUUGAUUAUGCAUUUAGUUUUGCUUUUGCAAAAAAUUUUAGGGUUGGUUUAGUUGUUGUCUUCUCUAGUUUGGUGGAUGCUUGGUUCUUUUGCCAAUUUAUGCUCGCCGCUUUGGACCAUCUGGGGUUAAUUUUUUUAUUGUAUUAAGUGCUUGCAAUCGCUUCUAAUAUGUUGUGCUUGAGUUGUGACAGAGCCAAUUAUCACCGUCUCAUAAUAUUCUAUUGAUGCUGAAGCUAAAGCUUUUAUUAUGUUGAUGGAGCUUGUUUUUUAGUGCAUACGAGUGUUUGUUAUUUUUUUCUUUGAAUUUUUCAUUUAUUCAUUGAAUGAAUUAAUAAAUUUCUCUUAAAAAAAUUUACUCGGGGCAGAACAUAACAAGAGUCAAAGCUUCAGCUUGUAAUAUUGGCUUCCAUGAUAGGCCUUUAUAAGGUGUUAUUCAACUUGUAAUUUGAUGUGUGCCAACAUAAGCAUCAACACACAAGUCAUGUAUAUACAGCCAGGACAUCGACAUCUUUUGGAAGAGUCCUAAUCCAAGCAUCAUAAUUGAACAUAGCCUUAGAAUACCGUCUAAAACAAUUAUUGUCUCAUAAUCAAUUGUGCAUCCCUGCAUUUGAAUACUGUUUGGAACAUUAAAAAUGUGUUUUUUCCUGAGUUGGUACAUAUUAUGCAAUAAGGAAAAUAAAGAACACAAUUAAGAUGUUUACGUAGUUCGGAACUCGUCCUACGUCUGCGGGGCUUUGCCCAAAGAUGAAUCCACUAUGAACUUCAUAGUACAAAGAAAUGAUUUAAGCUUAACCCCUUAAACACUUAAUUCUACGUCUGAAGCAUCUUCCUUUUUUUCCUGUUUGGACCUUCAAUAAUAAAUUUGGCUGGAAUUCCAAACAGCUAAAAGACUGCUCUGCAUCAAUGAAUAUUAUGAAUUUGAAUACCUCCAAAAGCCUCUCAAUAUCACAGGUACCAUCCAAGAUAGUAAUCAGUUGGCAUAUAUUAAGAGAAAACAUAAAUAUAUAUAAACAUAAAUAUAUAUAUAUAUAUAUAAAUACAUAUAAUACAACCACAUCAAUGAUUUUUUAGAAUUAAAUUAUUAGAAGCAAUUGUCAAGUUAUUAUUAUGAUUUAAAAGUAAAAAGCAAAUAGAUAAAUUAGCACCUCUUUUUAUGCAUAUAAAAUGAUUGAAGUUGACUAUUGCCUUUCUCCAAUGCCUUUCUGCACAAAUCAGCAAAAAUAUUAUGAAAGAUGAUAAGUAAAAAGUAGGAUUAAAACAAAGGGAUUUUAACAAGGAAAUUAACAGUAUCCAACUUCAAUGAAAAAUGGCAUCAGACCCCUCAUUUGGAGAUUCAAUAUACCACUCUUAUUUUUCUUCAAAAAAAGAUAAGGUCAUCAAAAUAAAUAAAUAACAAGGACGGACCAACCUGAUACAACCCAAUGUCGGGGAUGUGAGCAAUCUUAUGCCAAUCAGCGCCAAUGUCCUUCCGACAUCUUUCCUCCAACUGAGGAAUUCCUUUUAUGUAUAAAUACUUCAAACUGGUUAGGCAAUGCAUCUCGUCCGGAAGAGAUGCUAAAUUGGGCAAAUUAACGAGAUAAAGCCGUUGCAGAUUUGUUAGAUGUUGAAGCCACUCCGGAAGAUACCGACACUUUGGAAUAUUUUGCAGCCAUAGAGAGCGUAGGCUUGUAUGAUCUUGGAAUAUUUGGAUGCCAGCUCCAGAUAACUCCAGCUCCUCGCAGUACCUUACUUCAAACACUUGAAGGAAAGUGAGAUGUUGGAACACAGGAAGCAGUGACCUCAAUCCAUUGCAGUUACGAAUUUUUAAUGUUUUCAAUUGAACACGAUGUUGAAGCCAAAUGGGGAGAGACACCAGCUUUGGAAUAUUAUCAAUCUUCAAAUGAGAGAGAUUCUUAAGGGGUUCCCAUUGCAUACCCUCUAAAUCAACCUCCUUGCUAUCUCCUAUUGUUUAUCUUUUGAGGCUGGUGAGAUGUUGCAGGCACUCAUCUAGCGUGUGAGUGUCCAACCCCUCAAUGUUGUGUACAUCGAAAGAUUUCAAUUUGGAGAGUGGAAGAGAAGAGGUUGAAGUUGAUGGGGCCUUAGCAUUGAUGUUCAUCUUGAUAGUCUGCUUUAACGGCCUUGAACUGGUAUUCCUCAACUCUAGCUUAUCAUCGAGUGAUGGAUACAGUGGCAUCAAAGUCAAAGGGCAAUUUACAAUCCAUAAAGAGGAAAGACAAGGAAAUGCCAUGGUUGAUGAUGUUCCAUAACGGUUGUGUCGUCCUCGUUGGAAUCAUCAUCGAUUGGUUUUGUCGUCCUCCACCAACUCUUCAUAUUUGGGCAAUCCCGUAAGCAAAGAUACUUAAGCGAUGGGAAGAAUGAUUGUGGUUCUCCUUGACUUCCUUUUGGGCUAUUAUCAUCCAUGUACUCCAGCUUAGUACAAAAGCCAAUCUCCAGCAGUUCAAGACAGGGCAAUUGAGCAAAGGACGGGGGAUAUUUGAAAUUACCACCACUUAUGAAAAUUUUGACGAGAUUUGUGAGCAAAGAAAUCCAACUUGGAAACUCAGCAUCACCCCUCCAUCCUCCAAUAAAGAGCUCCUUGAGAUUAGAAUGGGGCUGGAGGUCUUCAAGUGACUUCUCAUUAUCAUGGUUACCACGGACCCAUAUUAAAACCAACGAUCUCAAAUGUUGCCUCUCUUUCAAAUUAGCAGCCUUAAACUUCUCUUUUGCAUUUUUUACGAAUCCACUUAAGUUGUUAAGCAGCCUCAAUUCACUUACAUCUGCACCGCCAUGGGACCCAUCUUUAUCCACUACAAACAUGCUUAACGUCUCAAGUGAAGUCAGCUUCCCUAUUCCACGUGGCAUAUGAGUUAAGCGAUUACAAUAACGACAAGAAAGAUGGGUAAGAUUCACCAAUUUUUCAAUCUUCUUUGGCAAUUCUUUAAGCCCAGUACACCAGUCAAGUUUCAGCGCUAGCAAAUUCUGAAUCUUGCAAAAACUCUUUGGGAGAAUCUUAAUAUUGUAAUUGGAAGAAAGAUCAAGGUAUCUCAAAUGUUUCAACUUACAAAUGGAGGGUGAAAUCUUUUGAAUACCUAUAGAAUUCAAUUUCAAUACACGCAAGCAUCUGCAAUUUGAAAUUAUAAAAUCCCAAGUUUCAUCACUCAAAUUUUGAUCUAUCUUGUUUGGAAAGUGUAACAAGGUUCGCAACUUCUUUCCCUUAAACAAAGGAAUUAAUGAAGGAGCAAUUGAUAUGUGGCGACAUUUUUCACCAACCUUGCUUGCAAUUUCAUUUGAGUCUACAAUACUACUCUCCGUCCCUGCUACUGAUUCAGCUAGAUCAUGCAUUAAAUCAUGCAUUUUACAUCUCAUAUUCCCAAUUCCAUAUUCUUCUACCUCUUGGAAGAAACUUCUUUCAACUAAAUCUUUAAAAUACCCAAACCCAAUCUCCUCGAGAGAUUGACUUUGAUUCAAUUGCUUUAUGAAACCCUGUGCAAUCCAAAAUUGAACAAGCGCUUGUACUUUAAUUUUGUAAUCUUUUGGAUACAAUCGGCAAUAAGCAAAGCAAUGCUUCAAAUGAGACGGAAGAUGAUCAUAACUCAAUUUCAGUAUAGGUAGAAGUUCUCCUUCAAUUUGUGAUAUUUUAGCAAGUUCAUUUUCUUUGAAAGAAUGCCACUCAUUUGCAGUUUUUGUUGGUGCAACAAUAGAAUCAAGCAGACUCAGCAAGUAUCUUGUCGAGCAAGCCUCGAAACUUGCUGAGCAAACAAACAAUUUCGAGUUAAAGAAAGAAGAAAAUAAGCUGGGGAAAUUUGAGAGAAUAUUGAUGAACAAAACUGAUUUGAUUCAUACAAAAAAACAAUGGCUUGAAGCCAGUACAUAACUCAAGCAUAAGGCUUGUCAAAAUCAACAAGUAAUUACCUACCUCCACUAAUUACAUAGAAACUUGAAAUCUUAGCUUGUAAACUUAUACAAAAGUGUGUUUACAGCUCAUACAUAAGCUAAUUACAUCAAUCAGAAAGCUAACUUAGUUAGAAAUGAACUAACACUCAUUUCAUCAACUAAAUAUAACAAAAUGAACAAAAUGAGCUUGCAUCAGCAGCCCUUGCAUCUGUUCCAGCUUUGCUUGGUCUUCAUGGCCUGUAUGGAAUCGAGUGUUGGCUUCAUGCUGACCAACUUCAACACUCCUCCUUGGUUAGCAUGGUGCAAACACCUAAUUUUCUUCUUAAAUGCUCAAACCUUGUCACAUUAAGGGCUUUAGUCAAAAUGUCUGCAAGCUGGUCCUCUGAAUUGCAGUGAAUUAGCUUCACUUUCUGAGCUUGCUCCAUUUCUCGAACAACAUAUAGCUUAAUGCUAAAAUGCUUUGUUCUUCCAUGGAACACAGGAUUUUUGGCAAUUGCAACAGUAGAUUGAUUGUCACAGAAGAUCUCUGUUGCUUCCCUUUGAUCCAUAUUCAAAUCAGCCAGGAUUUUCCUAAGCCAAAUGGCUUGGUUGACAGCACUUGCUGCUGCCACAUACUCUGCUUCAGCAGUAGAUUGUGCCACCAGACUUUGCUUCUUCGAGCUCCAGCAGAACAUAGCUGAACCAAGGUUGAAAGCAUACCCUGAGGUGCUUUUCAUGUCAUCUAUCGAUCCAGCCCAGUCACUAUCAGUGUACCCAACUAGAUUUAGAUUUCCUUUCCUGCUGUACCUUAAGCCAUAGUCCAAAGUGCCUUUGACAUAUCUGAGCACUCUUUUGGCAGCCUGAAAAUGCUUCUCAUUGCAACAAUGCAAGAACCUUGAGAGCAAUCCUACAGCAUACAUUAUGUCUGGUCUAGUGGCAGUCAAGUAUAGCAAACAACCAACUAGACUCCUGUAGGUAGUUUCACAUACCUUCUCAAAAUUUCCUUGGCUCGAUAGUUUUUCUCCAACAGCAACAGGUGUUUUAGUUGGUUUGCUGUUUUGCAUGGAGAACUUGGUCAGAAUCUUUGUGGCAAAGCUCUUCUGACUUAAAAAUAUCCCAUUCUGUGCUUGAGUCACCUCCAUUCCAAGAAAAUAGGACAUCUCCCCAAGAUCAGACAUUUCAAACACCUCUUGCAUCUUGGUCUUGAAAUUAACCAGCACUGCUCGAUCUCCUCCUGUCACCAGCAGGUCAUCAACAUAUAGGGACACAAUGAGUUGUGUUUGUGUCCCUUGCUUCUUGAUAUACAGUGUUGGCUCACUCUUGCUUCGAUUGAAUCCCAGAUCAGUCAAGUAGCCAUCGAUUCUGCUGUACCAGGCCCUUGGAGCCUGUUUUAAGCCAUAUAGGGCCUUCUUCAAUUUGUAGACCAUAUGCUCUCUCCCAGCUAUUUCAAACCCUUGUGGUUGUUCAACAUAGAUGUCUUCAUCUAAAAAACCAUUCAGAAAGGCUGAUUUCACAUCGAGUUGAUGAAUUUUCCAUUCGAGCUGGGCUGCUAAGGCAAUCAGCAGUCUGAUGGUGUCGAGCCUGGCCACUGGUGCAAAGGUCUCCAGGUAGUCCAAGCCAUACCUCUGACUGAACCCCUUGACAACCAACCUUGCUUUCAGUUUGUUCAAGGUUCCAUCAGUAUUCUGCUUGGCUUUGUACACCCAUUUCACCCCAAUCACCUUCCUUUUGACUGGCCUUUCAACCAAUUCCUAGGUCUGGUUCUUCUCAAUCAUGCUGAUCUCCUCAGCCAUUGCCUGCUUCCACUCUUGCUGAGCUUCAGCCUCUUCAAAGUUACUUGGUUCAGCUAUGGCUAUAUGAGCCCUUUCAUAAAUCUCAGUCAUUGAUCUUGUUCCUCUGACUGGUUCAUCAUCAAUGUCCAUUUCAGGAACACUUUGUUCUGGCUCAGCUUGGUUUGCUGUAAGUUCUUCAGAAACUUCCUCAGGUUCAUGCCUUUCCCAGUUCCAACAUGACCUUUCAUCAAAUACCACAUCCCUGCUUACUGACACUUUGUUUGUUGAAGGAUCCAAGAUCCUAUAGCCUUUCUUAACAAUGCUGUAGCCCACCAGAAGACCAGGUCGAGCCCUUUCAGACAAUUUGUCCCUUUUAACAGCAGGUACAUGUGUGUAACAUAUGCAUCCAAAGACCUUCAGAUGAGCCAGUGAUGGCUUGAAGCCAAACCAGGCCUCGAAUGGAGUCUUCUGAUCCAAAGCCUUGGUUGGAAGUCUAUUUUGAAUGUAUGUUGCAGUAUUAACUGCUUCUGCCCAUAGUGCUUUAGGCAGAUUCUUCUGAAUCAUUAAGCACCUGGCCAUAUCCAUUAAGCUCCUAUUCUUCCUUUCACUUACACCAUUCUGUUGAGGUGUAUAAGUGUUGGUAAGCUGGUGUUUGAUGCCUGCCUUAUCACAGAAGGCUUGGAACUGAGCUGAGGUGUACUCAGUCCCAUUAUCAGACCUUAUGGUCUUCAGCUUGCAGCUUGUUUCUGUCUCAGCAGCAGUUUUAAACUUCCAAAACACAGUGGCCACUUCUGAUUUCUGUUUUAAGAAGUAAAGCCAGCAAUAUCUAGAGAAAUCAUCAACAAACAGUAUGAAGUACCUGUUUCCACUUAGUGACUCAGUCUUCAUAGGGCCACACACAUCAGUGUGCACCAGUUGGAGUUUUUCAGAGGCUCUCCAGGCUUGAUUCAUGGGAAAUGGCAAUCUGGCCUGUUUUCCUAGCUGACACACUUCACACACAUCAUCAUGGUCCACUGAGUUGAUGAAGUUUUCAGCCAGGUCUUCUCUGACCAUUCGGGCCAUCGAUCUGAAGUUGGCAUGUCCCAGCCUUUGAUGCCACAACUUAGAUUCAUCUGAUGUGCUGUGUAGGCAAUGUCUGACUUCUUUGUCCAGUCAACCACAAAGCUCUUAUCAGCCAUAGGGACUGCCAUCAGUUUGGAUCCACUUGGAUCACUGAUUUGGCACUGCUUGUCCUUGAACACCACAGAGUAACCUUUCUCCAGCAAUUGAGCUAUGCUGAGUAGGUUUCUGUCAAUUUCAGGCACCAGGAGCACAUUUGAGAUCAUUUUGGCACCUGUGGGAGUGCAUAUCAGCACAUCACCUUUGCCUUCAGCUUGAAUAAAGUGCCCAUUACCAAUUUUGACUUUGGUUCUACAGUUUCUGUCUAAAGACUUGAAGAUUGCAGCAUCAGGUGUCAUGUGAUUGGUGCAUCCACUGUCUAGGAGCCAACCAGAUGAGAGCCUUUCCUGAGUAGCUGAGCAUGACACAGCAAAGACUUGCUCCUCUUGGUCACUGUCCUCCUUAGCUACUCGAGCCUCAGCUUUCAUCUGUUGAGACUGGUUCUGUCUUAAUUUGGUCUUGCUCUUGCAAACUCUCUCAACAUGACCCUUCUUCUUACAAUGCAGACACACAGCAUCUGGAUUGAACCAGCAUUUUUCUUCUGGAUGACCAGCCCUUCUACAGUGCUUGCAAGUUUGACCUUCUCUUCUCGCAGCAUCAUUCUUUGGCUUGUCUCUCCAGGCCUUCUUGCCUUUGUAGGCAGUAUUUGUCCUUGCCUGAAAGGCACCUUCUUGAUGCUCUUCCAGUCUACUUGCUCUCCUCUGCUCUUGAGCAUAUAGAGCAUUGAUCAACUCAGUCAGGGAAAUGGUGGACAAAUCCCUUGAGUCCUCGAGAGAUGAGAUUUUUGCCUCAUACCUCUCAGGCAGAGUUGCUAUUACUUUCUCCACUAUCCUAGCUUCAUUAAACUGCUCUCCAAGGAGCCUGAUGCUAUUAACCACAGCCAUAAUCCUGUCAGAAUAUUGCUUGACAGUUUCUUCUUCCUUCAUCUUUAAAUUCUCGAAAUCUCUCCUCAAAUUCAGUAACUGUUGCUGCCUUGUCCUCUCUGUCCCUUGAAACUCUUCUUGCAACUUAUCCCAGGCCUGUUUUGGUGAUUCACAGGCCAUAAUCCUUGUGAAAAUCACAUCUGACACUGAGUUCUGAAUGCAAGACAUGGCCUUGUGCCUCUUGGUCCUCUCAUCAGCAUGCUGCCUGAUCUGAGCCACUGUUGGAUUGCCUCUAAGUGGUUCUGGUUCAACAUCUGAGUUGACCACCUCCCACAGAUCAUAAGCCUGCAGGUAAGUCUUCAUUUUGACCACCCAUAUGUGAUAGCCUUCUCCAUUGAAUACUUGAGGUGCAGCUGGUGAAAAGCUUGAUGAAGCCAUGGAUUUGUAUAACAGGUCCCUUAAGAAAUAAGCUCUAGAUACCAAUUGUUGGUGCAACAAUAGAAUCAAGCAGACUCAGCAAGUAUCUUGUCGAGCAAGCCUCGAAACUUGCUGAGCAAACAAACAAUUUCGAGUUAAAGAAAGAAGAGAAUAAGCUGGGGAAAUUUUAGAGAAUAUUGAUGAACAAAACUGAUUUGAUUCAUACAUAAAACAAUGGCUUGAAGCCAGUACAUAACUCAAGCAUAAGGCUUGUCAAAAUCAACAAGUAAUUACCUACCUCCACUAAUUACAUAGAAACUUGAAAUCUUAGCUUGUAAACUUAUACAAAACUGUGUUUACAGCUCAUACAUAAGCUAAUUACAUCAAUCAGAAAGCUAACUUAGUUAGAAAUGAACUAACACUCAUUUCAACAACUAAAUAUAACAAAAUGAACAAAAUGAGCUUGCAUCAGCAGCCCUUGCAUCUGUUCCAGCUUUGCUUGGUCUUCAUGGCCUGUAUGGAAUCGAGUGUUGGCUUCAUGCUGACCAACUUCAACAGUUUUCUUCAAAGAUAAUAUACCAGCUAUCGUCCUUAUGGCUAAGGGAACCCCACCACACCUUUCCGAAAUCUGUCUCCCUACUUCCACAAAGGCUGAAUUUGUUGAGUCUGCAUAUCCUUGCUCAAAUGCUAUCUUUUUGAACAAAGACCAAGCAUCAUCAUCAGACAAGCCUUUCAAUUUCAAAACAUGGGAUUGACAUUUAUUAGUUAUCUCCGCUACCCUUAGAGAUCGAGUAGUUACUAUUAUCCUACUCCCUUUAGCCCCACCCAUCAAUAACUUCUUUAGCCUAGACCACCUUUCUGGGUCAUCAUUCCAAAUGUCAUCCAAAACAAGCAAAUAUUUUUUCCCAUCAAUUUUAUCUCGAAGUUGUUUUUGCAAUUGAUCCAUUUCAAGAUUUUGAUCAGGUGCUUGAUGAGUCACAGAUUUGAUAAUGUUUGCUACAAUAACUUUCACAUCAAAAUCAUCUGAAACACACGCAAACAUCGUUAAGUCAAAAUGAUUUUUGACCAUUUCAUGGUUAUAAACAAGUUGGGCCAAAGCAGUCUUCCAUAACCCUCCAAACCCCACAAUUGGAAUGAUAUAAACAUUCUCUUCACUUUGAAACUCCAACACGAGUUUUAGAAGAGCUGCUUUAUCAUCAUCCCUCCCUAUUAUGUCAUCUUCACGCUCAAAAGAGUGCGUUUGGUGCCUCACUUUCAAUUGAAGCUAAUCUCGCCUUAAUGGCCUUCAUUUUCCAACCCAUUUUGAGACCACAAACAAAUUGGUUUGAGGUUGAGAAGAAAAGGCGUACCUCUUUCGUCAACUUGUUCCCACCCGAUACAUCUUUCCGCAAAGCUUCAGUAGAGAAAUCAUCGAGCAAGUCGUCGGUAUCAUAAAGUACAUGUUUCAGCUCUUCAAGCCAAACUUUGACGAGAUUGUCGGUCACCGAUUUCUCUUCUGCGUCAAGAAGCACAGCUUUGAUUUGACAGACAGUGUGUUUGAGGUCGUGGAUGUCAUGUUUUAGAUUCCACCACAGCGCAACUUGAGAGAGAGCACGAGAGCUCAACUUAAUAAUGAGCUCUGCGGCAAUGUCGGAAGCAAUUGCUUCGGCCAUUGUUGGUUCAAACUUCAAACUGAAAUCAAGGCAAAAAGUGUUUGAUUCGUGAAAGAGGAGGACUAAAAUGAGAAUGAUUGGAACAAGAUAAAACACAGAUUCGAAGGCUGUGUUUUGAAAGUAAGAUUACACUGCACCUGUUCAUAGACUCGAAGGCUCCUUCGAAAUUCGGAAAGGUUUGGGCAAAAAAUAUUAAGCCCAAAAAUAGACUUGGGUAAAAAAAAAUAUGCUUCCUUAAAAUAUGGGUCGGGCUUGAGCUUGAACAUUUAAGGCAUAAGCUUGACCCAAUCCGACCCGUUUUAAGUUUAUGAUAUUUUAUAUUAUGUUAUUUUUAUAAAUUAUGUAAUUCAUAACACAUUAAAAAAAUAAAUAUAUAAUACUACUCUAAUGUAAACUUUUAAAAAAAUAUUAAGAUGACUAUAUAAAAAAUUUCAAUAAAUAAAAAAGUAUAAAAUUAUUAAAUAUUAAAUAUUAAAAUAAUAUAAUAUAAAUAUUUUUAAAAAUUUUUAAAAAAACAAUAUGGGUGGGCCUAAAAUAGGCUUAGGUUAGUAUUUUACAAAUAUGUACGAGUUUGGACAAAAUUUUAAGUUCAGAUUUCGAGUUGGACCGGGCCUGGACAAGCAUAAAGUAUAUUAAUAUCAUACUUAGACUUGACCCGAACCCAAUCAACCUAGCCCAUAAACACCUCUAAAAUACACUUUAAAAGAUAAUAUUUGGAUAAGGAUAAAAAUGUUUAAUGAUCUCAAAUUUCUCUACUUCUUCUCUAAAUCAUUCAUAAAAAGGAUGACAAUCAUUUCAUAAUUUUGGUACAAAAUUCCUCUUCAUUUAAAAUUAAACCAACAACAACCAAGUAAAAAAUUGCCAAUAUAAAAUCUUUCACUGCUCCAAACCUAUUAUUCAAACUCUUUUUUCCAACAUGACAUAAAAAUGUGUAACAUGUUAGAAUAAUUAGGUGUUAUUGUAUUAAUCUAAAACGAAAUCUGAUUAAGAGGUCUAAUUUGAAAAUAGUAUGUUUUAAUUAACGUUAGUUUUAAAUUCACAAAAUUAAGAUAACCAUUUGUGUAAAACGAGUUUAGUAUUGAUAAUUGAUAUUUUAAAAAGAUCGAGUCACCUAUACGGUUAAUGUGAUCUCUUCAGCUCGGUUCUACUGUCUAGGCCGAGUUGAGAAGGUUACAGAAUAAGGUAAAAUUUCCAAUAAUAAAAUGAUGUUAUAGAAAGUGGUUGUUCUAUGAAUAGUAUGUGUCGGUAAUGUUGCCUAAUGCAUUAUUAUCUCUUUCUUCUUCUUUUUAGAUCCUUACAAUUUCCAUGGUAGUAAUGGAAGCAUAAGCAUGUAGAAGCAAUGGUGGCCAACAACAGGUGCAACACAAGGCAUUUCAUCAAAAGAUCGUAAAUGCUUAUAUUCCCAUUCACACUAUUCUAUUAUCAUCAAAAGAUUCUUAAGGCUGAGUUGGAAUAUGGAUGCUUAACCAUUAAGCCAAACAUAUCGUAAGAUGAAGCUUCAAUUUUGGUUUGCUAACAAUCUUCUUUUUUGGAGGUCGUAGCAAUUACGACAAUUUUCAAUUUAUCCAUUUUGUGAUGAUUUUACAAAUAGUUCAAGUUUAUGAACUAAAUUGAUUUUUCAUAAAGUUGGAAGGUCAAAUAAAUAAUUAUGCUAAAAUAUAAUAGAUGAUUUAAAACCAAAUGAAAAUAUUUAUUUAUUAGAAUUUGAAGUUGCAAUUUCUUGAAAGUUUUUUUAAAAAUAAAGAUGUCUAUUUAUUUGUUUUCUUCACCAAAACUAUUCACAGCUUUAUCUUAAAAGAGAAAGAAAAAAGAAAUCUGAAGUAAAAAAAAAAUGAGAAAAUAGUAAUCUUAAAGCUUGAUUCAAUCACUUUUUCCUUUUCUUUUUUUUUAAUUGAAAUGUUUUUUCCUCUACUGCAUCCUUAAAAAAUAGAUCAAUAAAUAAUAAUUAAAAGGGUAAACUAUCAAAAUAGUCAUAUUUAUUUGCCUCAGGUUACAUUUUAGUCAGUGAGUCAUUAAUUGUUAUUAACGGUGUACCCGUAAGCUGAUGUGGCAAGUUAAAUCAUCAUUUCAAAUGAAAAUUUUAGGUUAAAUUCUAUAAUUGGUCCCUAUAUUUUUUCAUUUGAGCAACUUAAUUUUCUUUUAUGUUUAUUUAACUUCUUUUUUUUUCUUUAUUUUACUUUCUCUUCUGCUUCUCUCUCUGUUUUCCUCCCUUAUUCAUUUUUUUAACGUAAUUUUUCUAUGAUUUUCAUUUGUUAAAACUAGUCCCUAUACUUUAAUAAAUCAAUAAAUCAUAAUUAAAACACUAACUUUGAGUAAUAUAAUUUUUUUAACUUAAUAAAUUUUCAUUCCGGAACAAAUAUGAUUUCAAUUAAUAUAUAUAAUCAUUUAGGUGGAGCAAGGAAAUAAUUUUGAUUGGACUAAUAAUAUUAUACGAGUCAAUAAAACUCAUUGAAAUAUUAUUUCAAAUUGCAGAGUUGUAAGAUUAAAUUAGAUGUGAUCAUGGGUCGGGUUUAGACAUAAUAUUAACUCAUUUUAUAUUUCGUCCGUCAAAAUUUGAAUGUUCAUGCUUGGAAACCGUAACAAGAAGGAAAUAAUGAAGGAUUAAUUGGUAAGUGGAGAUAUUUUUCACCAUCCUUAAAUUUAAAGUUGUCAAAGAAAAUCUGUAGCGAAGAGUAGUAAUGGGAGCAUAAGCAUGUAGAAGCAAUAUUGGUGGGAUUUCAUCUUAUUAGCUGCUUUGGAAGAGGUUCUUAAGGAUGAGUAGGAAUAUGGAUGCUUAACCAUUCAGCUUAAUUCUCAUUAAGCUGUUUAAAAUUUUUGAAAAUUUUAAUUCCAAAUUUGACUUCAUUUAUUCUCUUAUAGUUAUAGUUUAUUUGAAUGCUUGGAACUAAGCUUUCACGUUGUUACAUUAUUGAAAAUUACUUGUAUUUUGAUAAGGAAAAUAAAGAGAAAAAUAACAAUUGAUUUUUUUAUCUAUUUUAUCUAUUUUAGAGUGAUUUGAAAAAUAAUACAAGUUUAAGGACUAAAUUAAUUUUAUAAGGAUGAUUAUAUAUUAAAGUUUGACAAUGAAUGUACAAAGCUAUUUUAUUCAUAACCAAGUCAAGAAAUUGUCACUCCACACAGUUGUCUACUUUUUCAAAAUCUACUUUAAAAGAUAGCACCUCCCCUUCUUCACAUCUUUGAAUAUAGUUCACAGUUUCGUUUUUACUGGAGCACGAUCCAGGAUUUAUCAAUCUGAAAUAAAAGUAAAAUUGAAUUUUAUCGAUUGUUCUGAGCCGAGCUUUGAAUCUAUAAAGUCAAAAUUUUUCAAUGGGGUUAGUGGACUUUACUUUAGUUUAAUUGAAAAUAGCUUUGAACAUAUAUAGACAUCUUUUCUCCCCUUGCUUGAGUUGUUGAACUAAACUAACUUUAUUCAUAUAAUAUUAAUUUUACCCAAAAUUUUCCGUUUCAACGAAAACAAAAUUCCUAAAAUACAAAAGUUAAUGGAAGAUAAAGAAGACAUUGGAUCUAGGUUUAGUUGUUUUGUAAUAAGCUAAAAGGGAUGCAGUUGUUGCAGGGCAUCCAUAUUUGUAUCCUCAACAUUUGGUAACUGAUGGGAGCUAUGCUAAACAUUCAACCAAUCAUUAGGUACUGAAACGUUUUCAUUAAAUGAUAGUCUUACAUAAUGUACACAAGAUUGCCUGAUAGUUAGUUGUGUUUCCAUGUGUUGGAUUAUUAUUUGAAACCCCAAAAGAGAAAAAUGUAUUUUUUUUUUUAAGAUGGCACACACAAAAGUAAAAAUAAAGGAGAAUAAAGAACACAACCAAGAUGUUUACGUAGUUCAGAACUCAUCCUACAUUUGUGAGCUUUGUCUAGAGAUAAAAUCGCUAUAAACUUUACAGUACAAUGAAAUUAUUUAUGCCCAACUCUCCAAACUUGGUGCAACCUCACCUUUGUACAAUUAAGUAAACACUCUUCCAACUUAGUGAAAAUCAACACUCAUAAGGUGGCACUCAACUAAUAGUUACUAACUAAAUGUUCCUUUUAAGUCCACAAAUCAUCAAUUUAUACAAGCUCCAAGAUCAGAUGAUGAAGAAUGCAUACAGAUUGAGUCUUCAACAAAGAAAAAAAGAAAAAGAAAGAACAAAUGUGCAUAGAGAGGAGGAUUUCAUGGGAGCACAAUGCCAUGGACAGAUCAGCUGAUGAAGAAUGCAUGUCCUGGUUUUUGGCUCUUCCAUUGAACUCAUGCUGAAAAAGAAGCAGCUUAGUUACGAGGUUAUAUUAGAUCAUUUGAAAUUAUGAGAUUAUUAUGAUUUUAAAAAUGUAAAGCAAUUAAGUAAUUACCACCUAUUUUUCUGCAUCUAAAUUCUUGAAGUUGUCAAAUGCCUUUCAGAAAAAUACAUGCCAAUCGAAUAUGUGGGCAGAUAAACAAAUGAGGGUAGAAAGUAUGAUCUCUGCUUUUUGUAUUGCAUGCUAUGCUCCGCCGAAGAAUAGAGCCAAAAGCUAACAAAAAUGAAGGGUAAAAAGAUUAAAAAUUUCAAGAUAAAACAUAAAAUUGUAUGUACAUAUGAUUAAGAUUUAAAUUAGGAAAAUGAACAAAGCAGAGCAUGAAGUAGAAGCAUAUUGAAGGCUGGCAUGCAAGCAUUUUGGAAAAUGCCCAUUGGGUACCAAUAAAGAUUUUUUAGAAUUAAAGUAUUAGAAGCUAUGAAAUGAUAGAUAUGAACCACCAAAAUGCUUCACACUACAUCUAAAUUAUUCAAUUUUGUUUUAUGGAAUCAAAUAGAAAAUAAAUGAGUGGCAUGAAUUACCUGUCAUUCCUUGUUGGUAUUUGGUGUAAGCUGCAAUUUCAAAUGUGUAUACACAUAUGGAUUUCAUCAGAUCAUUGCGAUGGUGAGAUUAAUAUAAUUUAAAAGCGUAAAGCAAUUAGCUAGAUUACCACUUUUUUUUUCUGCGUUUGAAUUCUUGAAAUUGCCAAAUUCGUUUCACUAAAAGUCUUCGAUGCUUACUGCACAAACUAGCCAAAUAAAAUGAUAAAUAAAGAAAUUGCACCAAAAGCUUGUUCUAUUUUGGCAAAAGAGGCUGUAGUUGGAGAGUCAAUAUACCAACCUGUAGCGAUCUGAGCAAUAUUAUGCCAAUCGGCACCAAUCCCCUUUCGAUAUCUUUCCUCCAACUGAGGAAUUCGUUUCAUAAAGAACUCUUCCAAACUGGUUCUCGUCCGGAAGCGAUGUUAAAUUAGGGAAAUCAGAGAGAAUAAGCCUUGGAAGAUUUGUUCGAUGUUGAAGCCACUCCGGAAGAUGGCGACACUUUGGAAUCUUUGCCAGCGUUAGAGAGCGCAGGCUUAUAUGAUCUUGGAAUAUUUGGAAGUUAGGUGCAGAUAACUCCAGCUCCUUGCAGUUACUUAUUGCAUGCCCUCUAAAUCAACCUCCUUGCAAUCUCCUAUUGUCAAUUUUUUGAGGCCGGUGAAAACAGAUUAAUGGAAACCAUGUAGUUUUCAAAGGUGAAUAAAUAAGGAAAAUUAAGAUCGGUGUUAACAAUUUUUACUAAUAUUUUGAAAACAUUUUAAAACAUUUUAAAUAAUAUUUUAGCUAACCAAAUUAAAAAUUGUACCCUAACCAAAUUAUAGACAAGUGUAUUUGAUUAAUUUAAAAAAAAAUUAUUUUAGCUUAUAUAAGGGUUAAAAUAUUUGGAAAGUUUAAAAUUAGUCCCUCUAUUAUUAAAUGGACCAAUUUUAUCCCAAUACUACUAAAAAGAACUAAAUAAGGUUAAAUUGUAACAGAUUUAACAUUAAUAGAAUUAACAAAUUUCAAUAUAUUUUUUAUAAAAUAAACCUUGAAUUUGUUAUAAUUUAACUUUAUUUGAUCAAUUUUAAUAGUACAGGUAAUAAAUUAAUAGCAUUAACAAAUUUCAAUAUAUUUUUUAUAAAAUAAAUGUUUUGCCUUUGAUGGAUGUUUGAAAAAUGAUUCAGUUGACAUCCAUAAUGUCUAUCACUAUAGUUUCCCCCUUAUGUAGAAUAUGACUGCUAGUUUGUCAGGCAAAAUUAUGUUCGUAUAUUAUGUUCUUUUUCUUAUUGUCUUCAACACGAUAACAAGUGAAUUACUAGUUACUUUACUUGAUUUUGUCAUGCCAUUUAUCUCUUUGAGUUUUGGCCUUUCUGAAUUAACUUUUGAAUCACGUAGUGAAGCAUUUCUGAUGGUUCUUAUGACUAACAGUAGGCUUUCUUAUCCAAGCUCUCCUACAUAUGCAUUUCUUAAACUUAUGCUCUUUUCUUCAUUUCAGUUGGUUGUUAAUCUUGAUAUAACCAUGCACAAAUACUAAUACUAAGGGACCUUGUAAUUUUGCCUGCCAUUGGAACUAUUCUGAAAUAUUGCUGAUUUUUCUCAGCAAUUAAAGAGGAAGAGCGCAGCAGACAAAAAUGAAGUUGAGUCUAGCCAACAUAAUACAAGAUGUGUUAUUCAACUUGUAGUUUGAUGUGUGCCAACAUAAGCAUCAACACACAAGUCAUACAUAUAAACAGCCAGGAAACCGACAUCUUUUGGAAGAGUCCUAAUCCAAGCAUCAUAAUUGAACAUAGUCUUGGAAUACUGUCUAAAAAAAUGGUUGUCUCAUCAUCAAUUGUGCAUCCCUGCAUUUGAAUGCUGUUUCGAACACUAAAAAAACAUAAAUGUGUUUUUUCUGAGUUGACACGUAUUAUGCAACAAGGAAAACAAAGAGCACAAUUAAGAUGUUUACACAGUUCAAAACUAGUCCUACAUCUGCGGCGCCUUACCCAAAGAUGAAUACACUAUGAACUUCAUAGUACAAAGAAAUGAUUUAAGCCCAACCCCUCUAACACUUGAUGCAAUCUCAACUUCAACCUCACCACCAAAUAUUCUGAAGCAUCUUCCUUUUUUUCCUGUUUGGACCUUCAAAAUAACAAACUUGGCUGGAACUCCAAACAGCUAAAAGAGUACCCUACAUCAAUAAAUAUUAUGAAUUUGAAUACCUCCAAAAGCCUGUCAAUAUCACAGGUACCAUCUAAGAUAGUAAUCAGCUGGCAUAUAUUAAGAGAAAAUAUAAAUAUAUAUAAAGAUGUGAUAGGUAAGUACUUAAAUGAAGAAAGCAGAGCAUAUAGUACAACCAUUUUGAAGGCUUCAUAGGCCUCUCUCUCCACAUCAAUGAUUUUUUAGAAUUAAAUUAUUAGAAGCAAUUGUCAAGUUAUUAUUAUGAUUUAAAAGUAAAAAGCAAAUAGAUAAAUUAGUACCUCUUUUUAUGCAUAUAAAAUGAUUGAAGUUGACUAAUGCCUUUCUCCAAUGCCUUACUGCACAAAUCACCAAAAAUACUAUGAAAGAUGAUAAGUAAAAAGUAGGAUUAAAACAAAGGGAUUUUAACAAGGAAGUUAACAGUAUCCAACUUCAAUGAAAAAUGGCAUCCAGACCCCUGACUUGGAGAUUCAAUAUACCACUCUUAUUUUUCUUCAAAAAAAAGAUAAGGUCAUCAAAAUAAAUAAAUAACAAAGAUAGACCAACCUGAUACAACCGAAUGUCGGGGAUGUGAGCAAUCUUUUGCCAAUCAGCGCCAAUGUCCUUCCGACAUCUUUCCUUCAACUGAGGAAUUUCUUGUACUUGUAAAUACUCCAAACUGGUUAGGCAACGCAUCUCGUCUGGAAGAGAUGUUAAAUUGGGCAAAUUAACGAGAUAAAGCCGUUGCAGAUUUGUUAGAUGUUGAAGCCACUCCGGAAGAUGCCGACACUUUGGAAUAUAUUCCAGCCGUAGAGAGCGUAGGCUUGUAUGAUCUUGGAAUAUUUGGAUGCCAGCUCCAGAUAACUCCAGCUCCUCGCAGUUCCUUACUUCAAACUCUUCAAGGAAAGUGAGAUGUUGGAACACAGGAAGCAGUGACCUCAAUCCAUUCCAGUUAUGAAUUUUUAAUGUUUUCAAUUGAACAAGAUGUUGAAGCCAAAUGGGGAGAGACACCAGCUUUGGAAUAUUAUCAAUCUCCAAAUGAGAGAGAUUCUUAAGGGGUUCCCAUUGCAUGCCCUCUAAAUCAACCACCUUGCAAUCUCCUAUUGUUAAUCUUUUGAGGCUGGUGAGAUGUUGCAGGCACUCAUCUAGCGUGUGAGUGUCCAACCCCUCAAUGUUGUGUACAUGGAAAGAUUUCAGUUUGGAGAGUGGAAGAGAAGAGGUUGAAGUUGAUGGGGCCUUAGCAUUGAUGUUCAUCUUGAUAGUCUGCUUUAACGGCCUUGAACUGGUAUUCCUCAACUCUAGCUUAUCAUCCAGUGAUGGAUACAGUGGCAUCAAAGUCAAAGGGCAAUUUACAAUCCAUAAAGAGGAAAGACAAGGAAAUGCCAUGGUUGAUGUUCCAAUAACUGUUGUGUCGUCCUCGUUGGAAUCAUCAUCGAUUGGUUUUGUCAUCCUCCACCAACUCUUCAUAUUCGGACAGUCCCAGAGCGAAAGAUGCUUAAGUGAUGGGAAGAAUGAUUGUGGUUCUCCUUGACUUCCUUUUAGGCUAUUAUCAUCCAUGUACUCCAGCUUAGUACAACGCUCAAUCUUCAGCAGUUCAAGACAGGGCAAUUGAGCAAAGGACGGAAAAUAUUUGAAAUUAUCACCGCUUAUGAAAAUUUUGACGAGAUUUGUGAGCAAAGGAAGCCAACUUGGAAACUUGGCCUUGCCCCUCCAUCCUGCAAUACAGAGCUCCUUGAGAUUAGGAUGGGGCUGGAGGUCUUCAAGCGACUUCUCAUCGUCAUCAUCAAAACGAAGGCUCCAUUCUAAAAGCAACGAUCUCAAAUGUUGCUUCUCUUUCAAAUUAGCAGCCUUAAACUUCUCUUUUGCAUUUUUUACGAAUCCCAAAUUUCUUAUUCUUAACUCUCCCCUUAAGUUGCUAAGCAGUCUCAAUUCACUUAGAUCUGCACCGCCAUGGGACCCAUCUUCAUCCACUACAAACAUGCUUAACGUCUCAAGUGAAGUCAGCUUCCCUAUUCCACGUGGCAUAUGAGUUAAUUCCCAACAAUCUUUACACCUAAGAUGGGUAAGAUUCACCAAUUUUUCAAUCUUCUUCGGCAAUUCUUUAAGCCCAGUACACCAGUCAAGUUUCAGCGCUAGCAAAUUCUGAAUCUUGCAAAUACUCUUUGGGAGAAUCCUAACGGGAUUCUCAGAAAGAUCAAGGUACCUCAAAUGUUUCAACUUACAAAUGGAGGGUGAAAUCUUAUGAAUACCUAUAGAAUUCAAUUUCAAUACACGCAAGCAUCUGCAAUUUGCAAUUAUCAAAUCCCAAGUUUCAUAGCUGAAAUCUUGACUUAAUCCGUAUUGAAAAUGUAACAAGGUUCGCAACUUCUUUCCCUUAAACAAAGGAAUUAACGAAGGAUUAAUUGAUAUGUGGCGACAUUUUUCACCAACAUCACUUGCAAUUUUAUUUGAAUCUACAAUACUACUCUCCAUCCCUGCUACUGAUUCAGCUAGAUCAUGCAUUAAAUCAUGCAUUUUACAUGUCAUAUUCCCAAUUCCAUAUUCUUCUACCUCUUGAAAGAAACUUCUUUCAACUAAAUCUUUAAAAUACCCAAACCCGAUCUCCUCCAGAGAUUGACUUUGAUUCAAUUGCUUUAUGAAACCCUGUGCAAUCCAAAAUUGAACAAGCGCUUGUACUUGAAUUGUGUAAUCUGUUGGAUACAAUCGGCAAUAAGCAAAGCAAUGCUUCAAAUGAGACGGGAGAUGAUCAUAACUCAAUUUCAGUAUAGGUAGAAUUUCUCCUUCAAUUUGUGAAAUUUUAGCAAGUUCAUUUUCUUUGAAAGAAUGCCACUCAUUUGCAGUUUUCUUCAAAGAUAAUGUACCAGCUAUCGUCCUUAUGGCUAAGGGAACCCCACCACACCUUUCCGAAAUCUGUCUCCCCACUUCCACAAAGGCUGAAUUUGUUGAGUCUGCAUAUCCUUGCUCAAAUGCUAUCUUUUUGAACAAAGACCAAGCAUCAUCACCAGACAAGCCUUUCAAUUUCAAAACAUGGGAUUGACAUUUAUUAGUUAUCUCCGCUACCCUUAGAGAUCGAGUAGUUACUAUUAUCCUACUCCCUUUAGCCCCACCCAUCAAUAACUUCUUUAGCCUAGACCACCUUUCUGGGUCAUCAUUCCAAAUGUCAUCCAAAACAAGCAAAUAUUUUUUCCCAUCAAUUUUAUCUCGAAGUUGUUUUUGCAAUUGAUCCAUUUCAAGAUUUUGAUCAGGUGCUUGAUGAGUCACAGAUUUGAUAAUGUUUGCAACAAUAACUUUCACAUCAAAUNNNNNNNNNNNNNNNNNNNNNNNNNNNNNNNNNNNNNNNNNNNNNNNNNNNNNNNNNNNNNNNNNNNNNNNNNNNNNNNNNNNNNNNNNNNNNNNNNNNNUUUUUGACCAUUUCAUGGUUAUAGACAAGUUGGGCCAAAGCAGUCUUCCCUAACCCUCCAAACCCCACAAUUGGAAUGAUAUAAACAUUCUCUUCACUUUGAAACUCCAACACGAGUUUUAGAAGAGCUGCUUUAUCAUCAUCCCUCCCUAUUAUGUCAUCUUCACGCUCAAAAGAGUGCGUUUGCUGCCUCCUUUUAGUCAUGAAAGAGGUUUCCGCGGGGCGAUCACGUGGAAUGAAGCCAAAAGUGUUGGCCCCACUUUCAAUUGAAGCUAAUCUCGCCUUAAUGGCCUUCAUUUUCCGACCCAUUUUGAGACCAUAAGCAAAUUGGUUUGAGGUUGAGAAGAAAAGGCGUACCUCUUUCGUCAGCUUGUUCCCACCCGACAGAUUUUUCCGCAAAGCUUCAGUAGAGAAAUCAUCGAGCAAGUCGUCGGCAUCAUAAAGUACAUGUUUCAGCUCUUCAAGCCAAACUUUGACGAGAUUGUCGGUCACCGAUUUCUCUUCAGCAUCAAGAAGCAAAGCUUUGAUUUGACAGACAGUGCGUCUGAGGUCGUGGAUGUCAUGUUUGAGAUUCCACCACAGCCCAACUUGAGAGAGAGCACGAGAGCUCAACUUAAUAAUGAGCUCUGCGGCAAUGUCGGAAGCAAUUGCUUCGGCCAUUGUUGGUUCGAACUGAAAUCAAGGCAAAAAGUGUUUGAUUCGUGAGAGAGGAGGACUAAAAUGAGAACAAUCCCAGCAAGAUGAAACACAGAUGUGGAUCCAUCCACCCAGCAAGUAGUAUAAUUAAAUAAAAAGUAAUGUUGAUUGGUGGGAAAUGGUCCCUCCAUGUUUACUGUUUGACACAAAUUUCUGAAUGGAGACAAAGUUGAGAUGAUGACACUAGGGGUGCUCUGCACAACGUACAAAUAAUUGAAAUUAAUGAAAAAGCUAUGAAAGAAAAGAGAAAAAGGAGACAAAUCCCAUGGAAUCCAAGGUGUUUUGAUUGACGCCCAUGCAUUCUAGUCUUUCUAAGGAUGGGUUUGGAUGGGCGAUUGGGUGCGGUGCGGUGCGGUGCGUUUAACUUACUUUUGGUGUCACGCUACAGUAUCGCUACAGUAUCUAAUCUCACCACCACCUCUGUUUUUACACUAUCCGCACAUAAACGCACCGCCAAUCCAAACUCAUCCUAAACCUUCUUCCCACUUACUUUUGUGUAAUUGAGUGAGUCUCAAUACUCGGUUCUAACUUAAAUUUAAUAUUUUAUUUUUGAGUUUAACUUCGGUUAAAUAUAUAAAAUUAAAAUUAAAAUUCAUUGGCCACUAGAAUCAAAUAUUAUUAAAUUCGAAUAUGAUUAAAUCAAUAAUUUAAACAUAACUUAUUGACUACUAAAUCAAAUUUAAAUCUUUUUCGAAUCGAAUUUAAUUAUCUUACGAAUAUGAUUAUCAUGUCCUCCUUGUGAAAACUAAAGCAGUUGACAGUGCUAGUACAAUCUGCUUCAAAAAUGACAUUAUCGACUUUAAGAAAUUGAGCAAGCCGAAAACCAUCGAUGAGGGCAUCUAAUUCUGCUUUAAUAGUGAUUUUUUAUUCUCAUUUUAUCGGUAUAUUUACAUUUGAAUUCAAAUACAUAUUCUAUAAUUAACAUUAAUCUCACUGUUACAAUACUUAACCUCACUAAAUUACUUGUUUAACAUAAUUAUGGUGAAUUUAUAGAAAGAACAAUCACGAAGCAAAUGUAGAUGCACUUAUGUUUAAAAUGUUAUUAAUGAAAAUUUUAUUAUUUUAAAAAAUAAAAGUAUAAUAACUUUUUUGGCAUUCUAACUUUAUAAAAGAAUUAUUUUAGCUCUCUAUUUAUUUUCCUUCUUUUUUAGUCUUUCAUUUUACAUUUUUUUGUCAAACCAUCCAAAAUGGGUGAAAAAGUUGACGUUAAUUAACUUUGUUGACAUGACAUAUAGGUAGAUUACCACGUGUAUGUCACUUUAGCAAUUAAUUAUUUAAAAAAUAUUAAAAAAAUAUUUUCUUAUAAAUUUUAAAAUAUUUUUUAAAAUUUUUUAAAAUUUUAAAAAAUAUUUUAUUGCUUAUGUGGCAUAUACGUGGCAAUCCGCGUGUAUGUCACAUCAGUAAAAUCAAUGGACGUUAAUUUUUCACUCAUUUUGAAGUGAUUUGACAAAAUUUACAAGUUUAAGAACUAAAAGAAACGAAAAAUUAAAUGGAGAGUUGAAAUGACUUUUUCUAUAAAGUUGGAGACCAAAAGAAUCAUUAUGGCAAAAAAUAGUUGCCUUUCAUCUCUCUCUCUCUCUCUUUUUUGGUUAUUUUUUAGUGUUAAAAUUCAAGAUGGUAUGGAAUAGUUUUUAAUCUUAUUAUUGUUAUAUAUAUAUAUAUAUAUAUAUAUUUUUUUUUUUCGAUCUCAUUAGAGUUAAUCUCACUGUCAAUAUAAAGAGAGCCUAAAUAUAAUUUGUUCAUCUUCUUUUAAACAUGUUAGUGCUCCUUUGUAUGAUCAUUUACCUCCCGUAAGUAGGAUUGAGUAAAUAAAAUAAUUAAAAAUCGAUUCAAAUCAAGGUGUUUAGACGGUUUACAGAAUACAAAUUAAAAAAUCACAAUUAUCCGAAACUAAAUCAAAUUCUAUUUUUUAUUUAAUUUAUAAAUAAAUUUAUUUUUUAUAAUAUAAAAAUAAAUCUUUUAUAUUUAAAAAUAGUGAAAAUAAAUAUAUUUUAAAAAUAUUAUAUAAAAGUAUUUUAUUAUUUUUAUUUACUUAGAAAAAAUUUAAAAAUAUCUUUGAUAUAAACUUUCAAAAUUUUUCAAAUGAUAUUUAAAAACUGUAAAAAAAAAGUUUAUUUCAUGAAAAUAAUUAUAAAAAUUUAUAAUAAAACUUUGAACUAAACUAAAUUAUAAUGGACGGAUUAAAAAAUAGAAUCGAAUUAAACAAAUAUCACUUGAUUUUAUUGCACCAAACUGGACAUAAAAGAUUUUCUUAAAAAAUUUAACCUGCAAUGAGAUUGUUUUUCUCACUAUAACCUUCUAGAGGUGUUAUAUAAGUACAUACCAUAUGAUAAUUAUAAAUUUAAUUAUUUAAUUGUUAUAAAAAUUAAAUAUAUUACAAAUUAAUAUUUAUAUAAUGAUAUAUUGAAUACAUGUAAAUUUAUUAUCAUAAAUAUAUUUUUAAUUAUUAUUUAAUAUAAAUAAUUUUAUUAUAUUUUAUUAUUUUCAUUUAUAUAAAAUAUAGAAUUUUAAGUUUAUAAUAAUUUCAAAAAAUAUAUAAUUUUCAUAAUCAAAUUUUAUAUGAAUUAAAUCUAAAUAAGUAGAUAUGUAAUAAUCAAUAAAAAAUUAAUAAAAAUAUAUUUAUUAAUAAAUUUAUUAUUUACCAUGAUUGCAAAUUUAGUAUAUAUUAUAUUAUUUAGUGUUAAAUAUAAUCUUUCAUUUUACAAAUAUAAUUUAACAUCCUUAAUAAUCAAUUUAAGGUGAAAACACCUCUCUAGUCCCUUUCAAUUUUGAUAUCAAGCAAAUUGGUCCUUUUAAAAAAUUUAGAACAAUUUUAUCAUUGUUAAUUUUGAAAUUGAGCAACUAAGGAUAAUUAAUCACAACGUUAAUAUUUUUGUCAUCUAUACAUAAUUUUAUAGGUAUAAUAACAACUUUAGCCCUAAAAGUUUACACAUUUUGUCAAUUUAGUUCUAGUUUAACAAAAUCAAAUUGCAACAUUUACACAUUAUGUACGAACUGAAUUUGUUAUUAUACUAAUCAAAAUUAUAUACGAGAGACAAAAAAAUAUUAACAUUAUUGUUAAUUGUCCUUAGUUCACUUUUGAAAUUGAUAGGGAUUAAAUUGCUCCAUUUUUUUAGAGGGGCCAAUUUGCAAAAUAUUGAAUUUAAGAGGGAUUGAAGAGGUGUUUUUAUCCAUUUUUAACCUCACCUCACUACUACAAUUGUUACUGAAUCCAAAUAUAUAUCCAACACUGAUUAUUGUCACAUCACUAACGUAUUCAAUCUCACUAUUACAACAACUAAUUUUACCACCAACGUUAUUUUUAAUUUCUCUAGAAUUCAUCCAAUUAUACAUCCAAAGAAAACCAUAAACUUAUCUAAAUAAUUGUUAUAAAAAUUAAAUAUAUUACAAAUUAAUAUUUAUAUAAUGAAUACAUGUAAAUUUAUUAUCAUAAAUAUAUUAUUCAUUGAAUAUUAUUAUACGUGAUUUUAUAUAUUUAUUUUUUAUUCACUGAAUAAUAUAUUUUUAUUUUAUGUAAUUAAUACAAAUAUAAUAUUAUUCAAAUUGUGGUACAUAAUUAAAAUAGUGUAACAAUAAAAAAUUCAAACAUAAAAGUUUGAAAGUAAAUAAUAAUGAAAUAAAAUUUUUAGUGAUUUUAACUACUAAUUUAAUAAAAAAUUAAAACAUACUAUUCUUAUGUAUAAUUUAUAAUUUAAUAUAAAAUAUAAUUUUAAUUAUUUUUAAUAUAAACAUAGUUUUGAUAUUUUUAAUUAUUAUUUAAAAUAUUUUAUUAUAAUAUAUAAAUUAAUAUAUAUAAUAUAAAAAUCUAUAAAAGAAUUCCAAAUUUCAAUUAUUAUAAUAUAAAUUUUAUAUCUAAAAAUCCUGAAUUAAAUUAAAUUAAUUCAAUUGAAUUGGACAAACAAAUUCGACCGGAAAUCAUUUGAUAUGAUUGGUUGGAUUACCAAUCUAAUUUUAAAAACCUUGACCAGGACAACAUCAAUAUGUGAAUUUGUUUAAUAUUGUUUAUUUAAUAAGUCUAAAUUUUGAGCAUCUAAAAUGUUAAUAAAAUCUUAUUUCUAAUUAUUUUCAUACAUUGAAUAUGUCAUUUCACUUUGUUAGAACUUGUUUAAAAGAACAUUGUAUGCUUCAAUGGAAGUCACAAUUUUACGGAAAAAUUCCGUAAAAAUUUCGUUCGAAAAUUUCGACGUUUGGGCACUCAAUUUAGUCAAAAGGACUAAAUUGUAAAAAGUGCCAAAGUUGAGUUCUACAUGUUAGAAGUGUCUAAUUGUUAUGAGAUUAUAAGUUGGGGGUCCUUAUGUAGUAAUUAGACCAUUAGUUAAUUGAUGGACAAAAAUAGACAUAAGAAAUGGGUGAAAUAUAUUUUUUUAAGUAGGGGCAUUUUAGUCAUUUGGUAAUAAAAAGAAUAAAAUGGGAAAAAGAUGACAAAAAUCAUCAUCUUCUCCAUAAGUUGCUGUCAAAUUUGAAGAGUCACCAUAGCUAGGGUUUCUUCACUUUCUCAAGCUCAUAGUAAGUGCAUCCUAGCCCUGUUUUUAAUGUUCUUCGCAUUUUUGGAAUCCUCGUAGCUCGGUUUAGCUUAUUCUAUCAAUAAUUCAUGUUAGGGUUCAUAUUUGGAAAAAUACCCAUAGGUGAAAUGUGUUUAUUUUUCUGUUUUAUGGUAGAAUAUGAAGCUAGAAAUUAUGUUAAACAACUUUUGCUAAGUGAUUUUAAGCAAAAACGAGUAAAUCGACAUAAUCGGUAAAAAUAUUUAUUGUUCAUAAGUGUAUGUUAGAGUGAGAAUUUGAUGUUGCCAUAUAAGGGAAAAGUGUUCAGCAUGUUGUAAAACAUAAGAAUAAGGUGUGAAAUUUAAUUUUCGAGCUUGGGGACAAAAAUGUAAUUAUGCAAAAGUUUAGGGGCAAAAUCGUAAUUUUAUAAAAGUUGAGUCGAAGCUUGUUUUAAUAAAUGUGAAUAUUAAACAAGCUCAAUUUUCUGUUAUAGAUCAAGAAAGACGAGAAAUCAACCUUAAUCGGGGAAAAGAGAAGAUUGAGGAUUAAAUUGCAAAAUCUUUACAUUUUGUAUCGAGGUAAGUUGUAUGUAAUUAAUAUUGUUAUAAUUGUUUUCGUUAUAUUUUGUGACAAUAUACGUGAAAGGGUUGAUAUUAUAAUGUGUUUUGAAUGAGUUGUAAAUAUAUUUGGAAAGUAAGAAUCUUUGUGGAAAUGUCGUAAUGCUAAAGAUUUGAGUAAGGUAUCGAUGAACACGCGUGUAGUAUUGUGUGAAGGCUACUACGUGUAUCGAUAAGUAAUGUUCACAUGGGUAGUACUAAGUGAAGGCUACUAUGUGUACCAAGAAGCUUUGAGCACGUGUGUAGUACUGUGUGAAUGCUACCACGUGUCUCGGUAAACUACGGUCACAUGUGUAGUACUAAGUGAAGGCUACUAUGUGUACCAAGAAGCUUUGAGCACGUGUGUAGUACUGAGUGAAGGCUACUACGUGAGCCGUAAAACUUGAUCACGUGUGUAGUACUAUGUGAAGGCUACUACGUGAAUUGUAAAACUGAUCACGUGUGUAGUACUAUGUGAAGACUACUACGUGUAUCGAAUGAUAAAAAUAAUAUGAGUAGUACUAUGUGAAAAGCUCCGAAUAUUAUUUUAUAUAUACCGUCAUGAUGAUGAAAUUUGAGUAUGUGAUCGGAAUGUAAUAAGUUGUGAAAAUCGAUUGAAGUGAUGAAAUUUGCGUUGUGUUAUAAAAUAAGUGGUUAUAGUGCUAUGUGAAUAAGGAAUGUUGGAAUAGAACAGAUUUGGACAGUGACAGUGAUGUUAGUUUGAAAAAUCACCAAAAACUAUAAAAAUUGAGUUAGAGGUUGAAUAAUAUAUGAGAUUGAAGCUGAAUGAAUCUAUUUUCAUAUGGAAGAAACAAAGCAAGCAAAGGAGUUGUAUGUUUGGAGAUAUUUAAACUUUAUUGAGACAGGGUUGGAUUGAUUUCGAAAUCCCCUGUUUCAACUUUGGAAAAUCACCAAAAAUUGUAAAAAAAUAAUUAUGGCUUGAAAUUUAUAUUCUUGAAUUCCUUAAUGAGUCUAUUUUUAAUAGAAAGAAACAAGAACAUUGUUUGAAUUUUGUACAAAGAGUUAAAUAAAUUUUAGUGAAGAGAGGUCAGAAGUGUCAAAGAGUGAAACAGGGGAACAUUUAGAGAAUAAACUGUACUAAUUGGCUAAAAAAAAUUCUGAAAAUUUUAUGGUAAGAAUAUAUGUGAGUCUAGUUUCAGAGAAAAUUUACGGAUCUCAAUUCGGAGUUCUGUAUCUCCGGAUAAAAAUAAUUUACCGACUGUGAUGCAGAAAAACAGUUUGUUGGAAGUUGACUAAAUGAUAGAUUUAUGUGUGAUAGAAAUGAUAUAAUAUAUGAUACUAUCUUAGAAAUUUAUUUAUCGAUUACAUACAUACUUACUAAGCUGUAAGCUUACCCCUCUUUAUUUUUCCUUUGUUUUAUAGUGAUAUUAAUCAACUCGGGAAUUGGACGGAGUUAGAACAUCAUCCUCACUAUCAUCAUCAACUUUUGGGUAUUUUGCAAUCAAUACUUUUGAAAAAUGGCAUGUAUAGAUGACUUAAUGCAAUGUAGUUUAAACUUAUAUAUAUAUAUAUAUAUAUAUAUAUAUAUAUAUAUAUGUAUAAAAUAUCGUUUGGUUUAAAAUGUCGGUAUCUAUAAUUGAUGAAUUAUUUCCUUAAAUCUUUUGUUCAUAUAGUUUAGGAUGUUAUGGAUGAAUUAAUCAUGUCAGAACAUAUGAUUGUGUUUGGUUGAAAUAUCGAUGUUGCUUGAGAUUGUGUUUCGAAAAUUUGCAGGAGGAAUUGAAUAUUUAUGAAAAGAAACUAUGUCAAAAUUUUUGUAAAAGAAAAAAAAAAUUUGAUCGCUUGAUAACACUUCUCGCCUUGUUUCGACGAUGAAUACGGGUAAGAGGUGUUGCAAUAAACUUAUCUAAAUAAUUGUUAUAAAAAUUAAAUAUAUUACAAAUUAAUAUUUAUAUAAUGAAUACAUGUAAAUUUAUUAUCAUAAAUAUAUUAUUCAUUGAAUAUUAUUAUACGUGAUUUUAUAUAUUUAUUUUUUAUUCACUGAAUAAUAUAUUUUUAUUUUAUGUAAUUAAUACAAAUAUAAUAUAUUCAAAUUGUGGUACAUAAUUAAAAUAGUGUAACAAUAAAAAAUUCAAACAUAAAAGUUUGAAAGUAAAUAAUAAUGAAAUAAAUUUUUUAGUGAUUUUAACUACUAAUUUAAUAAAAAAAUUAAAACAUACUAUUCUUAUGUAUAAUUUAUAAUUUAAUAUAAAAUAUAAUUUUAAUUAUUUUUAAUAUAAACAUAGUUUUGACAUUUUUAAUUAUUAAUUAAAAUAUUUUAUCAUAAUAUAUAAAUUAAUAUAUAUAAUAUAAAAAUCUAUAAAAGAAUUCCAAAUUUCAAUCAUUAUAUUAUAAAUUUUAUAUCUAAAAAUCCUGAAUUAAAUUAAAUUAAUUCAAUUGAAUUGGACAAACAAACUCGACCCAAAAUCAUUUGAUAUGAUUGGUUGGAUUACCAAUCGAUUUUAAAAACCUUGACCAGGACAACAUCAAUAUGUGAAUUUGUUUAAUAUUAUUUAUUUAAUAAGUCUAAAUUUUGAAGCAUCUAAAAUGUUAAUAAAAUCUUAUUUCUAAUUAUUUUCAUACAUUGAAUAUGUCAUUUCACUUUGUUAGAACUUCUUGAAAAGAAUAUUGUAUGCUUCAAUAGAAAUCACAAUUUAUCUUUGAUCAUGAUUGUUCGCAACUGAGCUACUUAGUAAAUUAAAAAUCAGACCUCGACUAUGUACUGUAAGUGCAUUUUCCUACAAACUUUACCCUAUGAUUCAUUAGCCAAAGGUAUUCAUCCCAUCCCCCAAAGUCAUGAGAUAGAUUUGUAAGCUUUGUUUAUGUUAUAGUUAAGGUGGAUGUGUACGCUAGUGUGUGAGUUCUAAAUUAUAUUGUACAAAAAACAACCAAAAUUAAAUGUGUGUCAACAUCUUAUCUCCAUGCAAAUUUAAGCUAUUGAGCUAAUUUAUUCUUAUAAAAUAUUAAUUUUAUCCAAAAUUUUCUACUUCAAUACAGAAAUUAAUGUACAAAGAAAAUAAAAUUUUAAAAAUAUUAAAAUUAGUGGAAGAUAAAAGAAGACAUUGGAUAUAGGUAUAGCUGUUUUGUAACAACCUAAAAAGGGUCGUAAUUGCUGCAGGGCUCCCGCAUUCUCGUAUCCUCAAUAUUUGAUAAUCGAAUGGAGCUCAGCUAAGCAUUCAACCAAUCAUAAGAUGAAGAUGUGGGAUUCAUUACUCAAUCUAGCAAUGUCUUCAAUUUUGUACAACUCAAUCUUCAAAUUGCUUAAUGGUUCUUGCGUGAAACCCUUCCAUUAAAUGAUAGUAGAUCUACAUAAUGUACUCAAAAUUGCUUGAUAAUUAGUUGUGCUUGUGUUGGAACCUUAUUUGAAACAUCAAAAGAGAAAAAUAUGUUUUGUCUUGAGUGGACACAUAUAUAAAUAAAACUAAAGAACACAACUAAGAUAUUUACGCAGCUUGAAACUUGUCCUACGUUUGCAGCGCCUUGUUCAGAGAUAAAUCCACUAUAUAUUUUCUAGUACAAAGAAAUGAUUUAUGCCCAACUCUCAAACAUUUGGUGUCACCUCACCUUUGUACAAUGAAGUAAACUCUCGCCCAAUUCACUUUAGCUAUACAAUUGAAAAUCAACACUCAAAAGGUGUAUAACAAUGACACUCAAUAAUAAUUCCUCGCUAUGAGCGCAUGUACUCCUUUAAAUCCACACAUCAUCCACUAAACAAAUCAUCUAUAUAUAAGCUCCAAAAUGCACCAAGCUUUACAUAAGCUCCAUGUAAAGUGGAAUAACAAAUUUUCAAAUGCAAUAUCACUGGACCUAUGUAGAAACACUUACUGUUACUAAACGCUACUGUAUAUCAUGUGCAUAAAUGGUGGCUCACAGCAAACCCAUUGUCCAUGCUUUUUCAGUGCGUUCAAAGUUUAUACAUUCUGUCAAUUUAGUUUUGAUUUAAUAAAUUUAGCCUACAAUAUUUACACAUUUUGUCAAUUUGAUUCUAGUUUAACAAAAUUAGAUUGCAACAUUUACACAUUAUGUAUGAGCUCGAUUUGUUAUUAUACCAAUCAAAAUUAUAUACGAGUGAUAAAAAAUAUUAACAUUGUGGUUAAUUGUCCUUAGUUCACUUCCGAAAUCGAUAGGGAUUAACUUACUUAUUUUAUUUUUAGGGGGGCCAAUUUGCAUAAUAAUGAAUUUGAGAGGAACAAAAGGUGUGUUUUUGCCCAUUUUUAUCCUCACCUCACUACUACAAUUGUUAUUGAAUCCAAACACGUAUCCAACAAUAAUUUCAAUCACAUCACUAUGGUAUUCAAGCUCACUAUUACAACAAUUAAUCUCACCACCGCUGUUAUUUUUAAUUUCACUAGAGUUGAUGGAAUUGUCCAUCCAAUGAAAGUCAUAGACCUAUCUAAACACAAAUACAAAGAUAAAAACUUAUUUAGAUAUAAAUUGAAAAAUAAUUUUUAUUAUUUGACACAAUUAAAAUGUAAUUACUUGCUUGAUUGAUACAUUUGCUCAAAGGUAAUGUAGCCCCUUCCAUUUUAUUAUUUGCUUAAUUUUUUUUGUAUGUGAUAUUUUGAUCUGUUCAUAAAUGGAAUGUUUCAUGGUGGCUAAGUUUCUUAGGGGAUAAAUUAUGAGUAGCAUUAUUUGUUUGUGCAGUGAAAUUGUGAUGUCUAUAUUUUAAUCUAUUUCUGUAUUUGAUGAUGUAGUGGAGUUUUAAUAUAAUUGUAAUUGAUGGUUUGUUAGUUUUAUGUACCAUAAAUGCUAUAGUAAGAGAGUUUAAAGCCGAACAUUUAAUGUCGUGCUCUAUAUGAAGAAAGGUUGAUGAGUGUUAGUUCUUUUGAUGUUUUGCCUUUGAUGGAUGUUUGAAAAAUGAUUCAGUUGAUAUCCAUAAUGUCUACCACUAUAGUUUCCCCCUUAUGUAGAAUAUGACUGCUAGUAUGUCAGGCAAUAUUAUGUUCGUAUAUUAUGUUCUUUUUCUUAUUGUCUUCAACACGAUAACAAGUGAAUUACUAGUUACUUUACUUGAUUUUGUCAUGCCAUUUUUCUCUUUGAGUUUUGGCCUUUCUGAAUUAACUUUUGAAUCACGUAGUGAAGCAUUUCUGAUGGUUCUUAUGACUAACAGUAAGUUCUCUUAUACAAGCUCCCCUACAUAUGCAUUUCUUAAACUUAUGCUCUUUUCUUCAUUUCAGUUGGUUGUUAAUCUUGAUAUAACCAUGCACAAAUACUAAUACUAAGGGACCUUGUAAUUUUGCCUGCCAUUGGAACUACUCUGAAAUAUUGCUGAUUUUUCUCAGCAAUUAAAGAGGAAGAGCGCAGCAGACAAAAAUGAAGUUUUGUCUAGCCAACAUAAUACAAGAUGUGCUAUUCAACUUGUAGUUUGAUGUGUGCCAACAUAAGCAUCAACACACAAGUCAUACGUAUAUACAGCCAGGAAACCAACAUCUUUUGGAAGAGUCCUAAUCCAAGCAUCAUAAUUGAACAUAGUCUUGGAAUACUGUCUAAAAAAAUGGUUGUCUCAUAAUCAAUUGUGCAUCCCUGCAUUUGAAUGCUGUUUCAAACACUAAAAAAACAUAAAUGUGUUUUUUUCUGAGUUGACACUUAUUAUGCAACAAGGAAAACAAAGAGCACAAUUAAGAUGUUUACACAGUUCAAAACUAGUCCUACAUCUGCGGGGCCUUACCCAAAGAUGAAAACACUAUGAACUUCAUAGUACAAAGAAAUGAUUUAAGCCUAACCUCUCUAACACUUGAUGCAAUCUCAACUUCAACCUCACCACCAAAUAUUCCGAAGCAUCUUCCUUUUUUUCCUGUUUGGACCUUCAAUAACAAAUUUGGCUGGAACUCCAAACAGCUAAAAGAGUGCCCUGCAUCAAUAAAUAUUAUGAAUUUGAAUACCUCCAAAAGCCAGUUACCAUCUAAGAUAGUAAUCAGUUGGCAUAUAUUAAGAGAAAACAUAAAUACAUAUAAAGAUAUGAUAUGUAAGUACUUAAAUGAAGAAAGCAGAGCAUAUAGUACAACCAUUUUGCAGGCUUCAUAGGCCUCUCUCUCCACAUCAAUGAUUUUUUAGAAUUAAAUUAUUAGAAGCAAUCGUCAAGUUAUUAUUAUGAUUUAAAAGUAAAAAGAAAGUAGAUAAAUUAGCACCUCUUUUUAUGCAUAUAAAAUGAUUGAAGUUCACUAAUGCCUUUCUCCAAUGCCUUACUGCACAAAUCAGCAAAAAAUAUUAUGAAAGAUGAUAAGUAAAAAGUAGGAUGAAAACAAAGGGAUUUUAACAAGGAAAUUAACAGUAUCCAACUUCAAUGAAAAAUGGCAUCAGACCCCUGACUUGGAGAUUCAAUAUACCACUCUUAUUUUUCUUCAAAAAAAGAUAAGGUCAUCAUAAUAAAUAAAUAACAAAGACAGACCAACCUGAUACAUCCGAAUGUUGGGGAUGUGAGCAAUCUUUUGCCAAUCAGCGCCAAUGUCCUUCCGAUAUCUUUCCUCCAACUGAGGAAUUUCUCGUAUUUGUAAAUACUCCAAACCGGUUAGGCAACGCAUCUCGUCCGGAAGAGAUGUUAAAUUGGGCAAAUUGACGAGAUAAAGCUCUUGCAGAUUUGUUAGAUGUUGAAGCCACUCCGGUAGAUGCCGACACUUUGGAAUAUUUAGCAGCCGUAGAGAGCGUAGACUUGUAUGAUCUUGGAAUAUUUGGAUGCCAGCUCCAGAUAACUCCAGCUCCUUGCAGUCCUUUACUUCAAACUCUUCAAGGAAAGUGAGAUGUUGGAACACAGGAAAGAGUGACCUCAAUCCAUGGCAUUCACGAAUUUCUAAUGUUUUCAAUUGAACAAGAUGUUGAAGAGAAAUGAGGAGAGACACCAGCUUUGGAAUAUUAUCAAUCUUCAAUUGAGAGAGAUUCUUAAGGGGUUCCCAUUGCAUGCCCUCUAAAUCAACCUCCUUGCAAUCUCUUAUUGUUAAUCUUUUGAGGCUGGUGAGAUGUUCAAACACAGGAAGCAGUGACCUCAAUCGAUUGCAGUUCUGAAUUUUUAAUGUUUCCAAUUGAACAAGAUGUUGAAGAGAAAUGGGGAGAGACACCAGCUUUGGAAUAUUAUCAAUCUUCAAAUGAGAGAGAUUCUUAAGUGGUUCCCAUUGCAUGCCCUCUAAAUCAACCUCCUUGCAAUCUCUUAUUGUUAAUCUUUUGAGGCUGGUGAGAUGUUGCAGGCACUCAUCUAGCAUGUGAGUGUCCAACCCCUCAAUGUUGUGUACAUGGAAAGAUUUCAAUUUGGAGAGUGGAAGAGAAGAGGUUGAAGUUGAUGGGGCCUUAGCGUUGAUGUUCAUCUUGAUAGUCUGCUUUAACGACCUUGAACUGGUAUUCGACAACAUUAGAUCUUCAUCGAGUGAUGGAUACAGUGGCAUCAAAGUCAAAGGGCAAUUUACAAUCCAUAAAGAGGAAAGACAAGGAAAUGCCAUGGUUGAUGUUCCCAUAACUGUUGUGUCGUCCUCGUUGGAAUCAUCAUCGAUUGGUUUUGUUGUCCUCCACCAACUCUUCAUAUUUGGGCAAUUCUCGAGGUGAAGACGCUUAAGCGAUGGGAAGAAUGAGUUAAUCUCACCACCAACAUUAUUUUUAAUUUUACUAGAAUUGAUCCAAUUAUACAUCCAAAGAAAACCAUAAACUUAUCUAAAUACAAAUAAAACUAUUAAAAAAACUUAUUUAGACAUAAAUUGAAAAAUAAAUUUUAUUAUUUCACACAGUAAAAAUAUAAUUACUUGCUUGAUUUAACCCAUUCAAUUUGGUCAGAUUGAAGGUUAUUCCUUGAUAAGAUAUUAUUAUUAUUAUUUGCUUUGGGCAAACUUAAUACAACUUGAUUUACUCUUUAUUAAUUAAAAGCAUUUUAUUUAUAUUUAAUUAUAAAAAUGUGUAUAUAUUAUUAAAAUAUUAUUUUUUAAUAUUAAAUGAAUAGUGAAAUAAGGUCAACUUAUAAGGGUUAAAGUAUUUAGGAAGUCCCUAUAUUAUAAACUGUAUCAAGUUAGUCUCUCAAUUUAAAAAGAAUCAAAUUAUAUCAAAUUGUAACAGAAUUAACAUUUACUGUAACAAAUUUAACAUUAACAGAGUUAACAAUUUUCAAUACAUUUUUUAUGCAAUAAAUGUUAACUUUGUUGUAAUUUGGUUUUAUUUGAUUCUUUUUAAUAGUAUAGAGACUAAAUUGACCAUUUAAUAAUAAAGGGACUAAUUUGAUGUAGUCCCUAUAAUAGAGGUACUUUCACCCUUAUAUAUGUGCUUGAAUCUUAUUUUGGAUGAAAUUGAACAAUUGAAAAAGGUAAAAAUAAAUGAAAUUAGCACAUUAAAUUGUAAUUAUAUACAAAAGAUUCUUAGGUAUGAGUAGGAAAAUGGAUGCCAAACAUAUCGUAAGAUAAGAUGAAGCUUCAAUUUUGGUUUGCUGACAAUCUUCUUUUUUGGAAGUCAUAUCAAUUACGACUGUUUGAAUUUUUAACAUCUAGCGAUGAUUGUCAAAAUAUUAUACUAACAAAUUAGCCAUAAUCACUUAUUUAGCUCUCCAACUUUACAAUAAAAAUCAUUUUAGCUCUUCAAUUAAAUUUUUGUCUCUUUUAGUCCUUAACCUUGCAUUAAUGUUUAUCUAUUUUAGAGUGAUCUGAUAAAUAAUGCAAGUUUAAGGACUAAAUCGAUUUUUCAUAAAGUUAAAUAUAAUAGAGAAUUUAAAAACAAAUGAAAAUAUUUAUAUUUUAUUUUAUAUUUGUUUAAGUUCGGCCUGGUCCAAAAUAUAAACUUAAAAAAUCUGUUCAAAUUUGUAAACAGCUAACUCAAACUCAUUUUAAAUCCACUCGUUCUAUUUUUAAAAAAAAUUAAAAUGUAUUUAUAUUAUUUUUAACUUAAUAUUUAAUAAUUUUAUAUUUUUAUUAAAAUUUUAUAUAGUCAUCUUAAUAUUAAUAAUUUUAUUUUUAAUAGUUUUAUUAAAAUUAAAACCUUGACCAGGACAACAUCAGUAUGUGAAUUUAGUUUCGUAUUUAUUUAAUUUGGUUAGCACAUAUUAAUAGUUUUCAUAGUCUCUUUAGUUUUUGUUUUUUUGGGAUUGUGUAGAAUUUAAAAUUUUAGAUAUUUUUAUGUUCAUAUUUUCUUUUAUAAAUAUAUAUUGUAAGCUCUCACUAAUUUUUUCAAGCUUUUAGGAGUUCCUUCUAUUGAAGCAAUAUCAUGAUCAAAUCUAUAAUCAGUAUAUAUGAGAAAGAAAAAAAAAUAUAAAAUAAAAUAAAUUAAAAAUUAAAAAUAGACUUGGACACUUAUGGAUGUUAAAUUUAUAAUAAGUUCAAGUAAAAUGGCUAAAAUAAUCAAACUACCGUCUAACUCAUGCUAUGAAAACAUAUAAUCACAGUUAAAAAAAUAUUGUAUAUUUUGAUGAAAGUCACAAUUUAUCUUUGGUCAUGCUUGUUCGCAACUAAACCGCUAUAAUGUAACUACAUGUUCUUACAAAUCUCGCGCUAGUCGACUUUGCCCUAUGAUCCAUUAGUCAAGGGUAUUUAUCCGAUUGAUUUGUCAGUUUUACCUUUUUUAUACUUUAAGUAAAUGUGUACGAAGUGUGUGAGUUCCAAGUUAUACUGUAACAAAAAUUGAAAAUAACUGACAAGACCAAAAUGAAACAAUUAAUACCCAAAAUUUUCUUCUUCAAUAUAGAAACUAAUGCACAACGAAAAUAAAGUUAGUAAAUUAGUAGGAGAUAAAAGAAGGGUAUAGAUGUUUUGUAAGAAGCUAAAAAGGGUUGUAAUUGUUGCAGGGCAUCCAUAUUGUCAUAUCCUCAACACUUGGUAAUUGAAUGGAGCUAAGCUAAGCAUUCAUUACUCUUGGAAUUGCUCAAUGGGUGUUCCGUGAAGCCCUUUCAUUAAAUCAUAGUCCACAUAAUGUACACAAUAUGGCUUGAUGGAGGGGCGAGAUACAACUAAAAUAUAUGUCAGGGGAUAAAGCUAAAUAAUUUAAGAAUUUUAUUUAACAAUUAAUGAAUCAAACGAUAUCAUAUUAUUAUAUGUUUAAUGAAUAAAUAAUUUUAUUGUUUUAAUAAAGUGAUAUUAUUGUGUGUAUAAUACAAUUAUAUGAUACAUCAAAUAUAAAAAUCCAUUAAUUUAAUAUCUUAAAAGUGUGCAUUUUGUUUAAUCUAAUGUGUUAAAAAAAGAAGAAGAAAUAAUCCUCUUAAAUUUUAUAAUCUCGUCGUGUUUUUAAUAUGUUAGAAUCAAGUUACCAAUAUGAUGAGUACACAAGUAUUUACAAUUUAAUCCAUGUCAAAUGAGAACAAAAAUUUAAAACUUAAAUUGACAGCUACAAAAAUGAAAUAAUUUUAUUGAUAUAAUAUUAAUACUUUCAAAUUUUAAUUAAAAUAUUUUAGAAUUUAUAAAUUAAUUUUAAAAAAAUUAAUUAAUAAAUUGAGAAUAUUUAAUACAAAUAACUUCGUAUAUGAAUAUAAAUAGUUAUAACACAUUUAUUAAUAAAUGAAAAUAAUGUUGUUUGGAGUUUUCUAUUUUUUCAUUAGCCAACUGAUGAUAAAAAUGAUAAAAUUGAAUCGUUGGGAGACUAUUUUGUAACUUUUCAUAAUUGAGUGACCAAAAUAGAAAAGGAAAACUUAGUCGGGUGACUACUAAAGUAGGUUACCCUUUUUUAGGUUAAAAUAUGCCAUAUGUCCUUGUACUCACCAUAAAUUUGAAAUUUAGUCUCUAUACUUGUAUUUAUAGGAAUUUAAUUCUUUUACUUUUCAGAGUUCAAAUUUUAGGUCCAAUUGUUAAUACUGUUAAUUUUUUUUGUUGAAUUUGUUAGUGUGACAGUUUGAAAUAAAAAAAAAACUUACUUGGUAGCCAUGUAACUAAGAAUAUGACAUUUUAAUGAACCUGAAUUUAAUAAAAUAAUUUUAACAGUAUUAACAGUUGGACUUGAAUUUUAAAAUUUAAAAAGUAUAGGGACUAAAUUCUUUAAAAUAAAAAUAUACAAACUAAAUUCUAAACUUACAAAAAAAAAAAUAUAUAUAUAUAUAUAUAUAUAUAUAUAUAUAUAGGACUUGGGGGAUUUUAAUUUUGUUAUGGUAAAUAAGGGGAAAUAGAGAAAAAAAAAAGGCAAUUAAUAUGUGAACAAAAUCUACAUGUUUGCAAUUUCUAGAUAAUUUUGUGAUUAAUAGAAAUUAUUUUUCGAUUCAUUAAGGUUAAAUUUUUUUCAGAAUUUUUAUAGCAGAAUUUAAACCUUAUUUCUUCAAUUCUUGCAUCUUCGAUUAAGGUCCACUUAGCAAUACAAUUUUAGAGAUUAAAAAAGUUACAUUUCCAUAUAAUGUUUCUUGAGAAAUUUUUUUUCUUUUUCAAAGUUUCAUUAAUAUACAUGCAUUGUACGUGAUUUAUUUAUUUAUUUUUAUUCACUAAAUAAUAUAUUUUUAUUUUAUGUAAUUAAUGCAAAAUAAUAUUAUUCAAAUUGUGGUACAUAAUUAAAAUAGUGCAACAAUAACAAAUUCAAACAUAAAAGUUUGAAAGUAAAUAAUAAUGAAAUAAAUUUUUUAGUUAUUUUAACUACUAAUUUAAUAAAAAAAUUUAAAACAUACAAUUCUUCUGUAUAUUUUAUAAUUUUAUAAUUUUAAUUUUUUUAAUAUAAACAUAGUUUUGAUAUUUUUAAUUAUUAUUUAAAAUUUUUUAUUUUAAAUAUAUUCUUAAUUAUUUAUUUUACACAUACAUACAUUUUAACUUAAUGUUCUUAAUAGUAAUUUUCUAUUUUUAUUCCAUUGCUACAUUUGCAUUUGAAUUUAAAUACAUAUUUCACAAUUAACAUUAAUCUCACCGCUACAAUAUUCAAACUCACUAAAUUACUUAUUUAACACUAUUAUAAAAAUAUAUAUAAAUAUUACUAAAUUAUCAAUUUUUAAUAUUAAAAGAACAAUGAAAUAGGGUCAGCGUGAAGAAAACUUAAAAAAAAAAUUGUACCCUAACCAAAUUAUAGACAAGGCUAUUGAUUAAUUUUUAAAAAAUAAUAUUUUAGCUUAUAUAAGAGUUAAAAUAUUUGGAAAGUUUAAAAUUAGUCUCUCUAUUAUUAAAUGGACCAAUUUUAUCACAGUACUAUUAAAAAGAACUAAAUAAGGUUAAAUUGUAACAGAUUUAACAUUAAUAGAAUUAACAAAUUUCAAUAUAUUUUUUAUAAAAUAAAUGUUGACUUUGUUAUAAUUUAACUUUAUUUGAUCAAUUUUAACAGUACAGGUAAUGGAUCAAUUAACCAUUUAAUGAUAGAGGGACUAAUUUGUAUGCAGUCCCUAUAGUACCGGUACUUUAACCCUUAUAUAUAUGUUUGAAGUUUAUUUUAGGAUGAAAUUGGAAAAUUGAAAAAAGUAAGAGUUCAAAAAGUAAAAACAAAUGAAAUUAGCACAUUAACUUACAAAAUAUAUUUUUUAUAAAAUAAAUGUGUUUGGAACAUUAAAAAUGUGUUUUUUUUCCUGAGUUGGUACAUAUUAUUUCAAUUUUGAUGAGAAUUGUACUCUCACUUAACGCUUCAUGUCAUUCGCUUUUUCUUUUCUUUCCCUUUUUUUUUUUUUUUGUUGUGUGAUCUUUUGAUCUGUUCAUAGACAGAACUUUUCAUGGUGGCUAAGUUUCUUACGGGAUAAAUUAUGAGUAGCAUUAUUUGUUUCUGCAUUGAAAUUGUGAUGUCUGUAUUUUAAUGUGUGAGGUAUUUCCGUUUGUGAUGAUGUAUUUGAUGAUAUAGUGGAAUUUUGGUAGAUUAAAGUGCUCGUUUGCUGUACUAAGUUGAAAUUGAAUGAAUGCUGGCCUCAUCCAAUGUCCAAAACUUGAUGACUUCAACAUUUUGAUGCCUUAAUUUGAGAAGACUAAGUUAGAGUACUAUAAAACUUUCUAAGAAUGCUGAUGAGGCAUAGAUCUAGUGAUAUAAUAUAAUUGCAAUUGAUAGUAUGGGGAAACCUAAGUUUUAGUACCAUCAAAUAAAAUUGCUAUUGCUAGUAUGUUUGUUUUAUGUAAUAUAAAGCCAUAGUAAGAGAGGAAGGCUAUGUUAUGCUAUUCCAUUCUCGGUUUAAAGCUGAACAUUUAAUGCCGUGCUCUAUAUGAAGAAAGCUUGAUGGGUGUUAGUUCUUUUGAUGUUUUGUCUUUGAUGGAUGUUUGAAAAAUGAUUCAGUUGAUAUCCAUAAUAUCUAUCACUAUAGUUUCCCCCUUAUGUAUAAUACGACUGCUCUGCUAGUUUAUCGGACAAAAUUAUAUUCGUAUAUUAUGUUCUUUUUCUUUAUUGUCUUCAACGCGAUAACAAGUGAAUUACCAGUUACUUUACUUGAUUUUGUCAUGCCAUUUAUCUCUUUGAGUUUUGGCCUUUGUGAAUUAACUUUUGAAUCAAGUAGCGAAGCAUUUCUGAUGGUUCUUAUGGCUAACAGUAAGUUUUCUUGUACAAGCUCUCGUACAUAUGCAUUUGUUAAACUUAUGCUCUUUUUCAUUUUAUUUUCUUCAAUUCAAUUGGUUGUUAACGUAGAUAUAACCCUGCACAAAUACUAAGGGACCUUGUAAUUUUGCCUGCCAUUGGCAGUACUUUGAAAUAUUGCUGAUUUUUCUCAGUAAUUAAAAAGGAAGAGCGCAGCAGACAAAAAUGAUAUUGAGUCUAGCCAAUGGACAAGCAGUCCGGGGGUUACCAGCAUAUCCAACAGUCCUUUCCAGACACAUGUAUAUGCUAAAGGAGGAAGGAUAUAUAAUAGAUCAAAGACAUCAAAAGCCAAUAAAUCAAUGCCUCACACACCUGUGUCAAAUGCUGGUGCAAUACUAUUUCCCACUGGCUUAGUCCAUAGAAGGAAACUUAUGAUUCACUCCACGGCUCUAUCAUCAGUACCUCAUUGCUCGAAUUAAGAGAGAUGGAUUUUGUAGAAGAGGAAUCACUGACAUUAUAUAUGAUAAUUGGCAGGUUGUCCAUCUCCUCUUACACCUGCUGGCAGCUGCUGUUUAGAUAGUCCUUUAGGUAAUCUUUACUGCUCAUUCUUUUUUCUUUUAACAUAGUCUGUUUUAGCUCCUUAACCUGCUAUGGAUGGUGAGAACGACAAUAAUGCAGUCACCAUUUUUGGGUCUGUUGACGAAAAAGUUUGUCAAUCUGAUGAAGCAUGCUGAAGAUGGUAUCCUUGACCUAAAUAAGGCUGCAGAAACAUUGGAGGUAAUGACAUACUAGUGAGCUUAUGGAUCAUUGGGGGUUUGUUGAGUAUUUUUUCAUGUUACUUAUAGGGUUCUUUUGUCUUUUAUUUUUCCCUGUAAAUGUUGUAACAGGUGAAGAAGAGGAGGAUAUAUGAUAUAACAAAUGUCUUGGAGGGCAUUGGUCUUAUCGAAAAGAAGUUCAAAAACAGAAUACAGUGGAAGUAAUUACUGAUGAUGUUAAUCAUUUUUCAAGAAUUUGAUGUCUUAAUUUGGUUUGUCAUUCUGGUUAACCUUUGAAAAAUGUGAGACUUAUUUGAGGAUUAAUCAAAUUUACUAGGGGUGUUGGUGCUUCAAAGCCAGGAGAAACAGAUGGCGACGUCUCUGUAAUACAGGUACGUGAAAGUAAUGUCAAUUUUCAUUUCAUUGACAUCCAGCCAACAAAUUUUCUUGAUAUGGUUCACUAGGAUGUUUUCUGUUUCUUUAUUUUUGGUAAUGACUUUCAAGAGAAUUUUCAGUUACUCCUGAUUGAUUGAUUUGUGUUGCUUAUUUCUCAUACCUAUGAGCUUAAUUUCUAUUCUUUAAUGCAGGAGGAAAUUGAGAACCUUUCCAUGGAAGAGAGGAAAUCGACAUCUUUUGGAAGGGUCCUAAUCCAAGCAUUAUAAUUGAACAUAGCCUUGGAAUACUGUCUAAAAAUAUUGUCGUCUCAUAAUCAAUUGUGCAUCCCUUCAUUUGAACACUGUUUGGAACCUUAAAAAAACAUAAAUGUGUUUUUUCUUGAGUUGGCACGUAUUAUGCAAUAAGAAAAAUAAAGAACACAAUUAAGAUGUUUACGCAGUUUGGAACUCAUCCUACGUCUGCGGGGCUUUGCCCAAAGAUGAAUCCACUAUGAACUUCAUAGUACAAAGAAAUGAUUUAAGCUUAAACCCUCAAACACUUGAUGCAAUCACACUUUUGUACAAUUAAGUAAAUUCUCUCCCAACUCAUUUUAGCUAUGCAAGUGAAAAUUCACAUUCAACACUCAGAUGGUUUUCCUACUAUGAAUCAAGCUCUUAAUAAGCUCCAUGUAAAGUGGAAUCAUAAAUUUUCAAAUGCAAUAUGUUUGGCAAUAGACCUGUCCAUGGGCCGGGCGGCCUGGCCCGGCCUGACGGCCCGCCCGAAAUAUGGGAGAUAGAAUGUGUUACAAAUCCCAUUAUUAUCAGCCUUAUAUUUGCACAUAUGUGUGUUUAGUAUAAUGCUGUUGAUAUAUACAUAAUGAAAUAUUUUAUCAACUUCAACCUCACCACCAAAUAUUCUGAAGCAUCUUCCGUUUUUUCCUGUUUGGACCUUCAAUAACAAAUUUGGCUGGAAUUCCAAACAGCUAAAAGACUGCCCUGCAUCAAUGAAUAUUAUGAAUUUGAAUACCUCCAAAAGCCUGUCAAUAUCACAGGUACCAUCUAAGAUAGUAAUCAGUUGGCAUAUAUUAAGAGAAAUCAUAAAUAUAUAUAAAGAUAUGAUAGGUAAGUGCUUAAAUGAAGAAAGCAGAGCAUAUAGUACAACCAUUUUGAAGGCUUCAUAGGCCUCUCUCUCCACAUCAAUGAUUUUUUAAAAUUAAAUUAUUAGAAGCAUUUGUCAAGUUAUUAUUAUGAUUUAAAAGUAAACAGCAAAUAGAUAAAUUAGCACCUCUUUUUAUGCAUAUAAAAUGAUUGAAGUUGACUAAUGCCUUUCUCCAAUGCCUUACUGCACAAAUCACCAAAAAUAUUAUGAAAGAUGAUAAGCAAAACGUAGGAUUAAAACAAAGGGAUUUUAACAAGGAAAUUAACAGUAUCCAACUUCAAUGAAAAAUGGCAUCAGACCCCUGACUUGGAGAUUCAAUAUACCACUCUUAUUUUUCUUCAAAAAAAGAUAAGGUCAUCAUAAUAAAUAAAUAACAAAGACAGACCAACCUGAUACAACCCAAUGUUGGGGAUGUGAGCAAUCUUUUUCCAAUCAGCGCCAAUGUCCUUCCGACAUCUUUCCUCCAACUGAGGAAUUUCUCGUAUGUGUAAAUACUCCAAACUGGUUAGGCAACGCAUCUCGUCUGGAAGAGAUGUUAAAUUGGGCAAAUUAACGAGAUAAAGCCCUUGCAGAUUUGUUAGAUGUUGAAGCCACUCCGGCAGAUGCCGACACUUUGGAAUAUUUUGCAGCGAUAGAGAGCGUAGGCUUGUAUGAUCUUGGAAUAUUUGGAUGCCAGCUCCAGAUAACUCCAGCUCCUUGCAGUCCUCUACUUCAAACUCUUCAAGGAAAGUGAGAUGUUGGAACACAGGAAACAGUGACCUCAAUCCAUUGCAGUUACGAAUUUUUAAUGUUUUCAAUUGAACAAGAUGUUGAAGCCACUCCGGAAGAUGCCGACACUUUGGAAUAUUUUGCAGCCAUAGAGAGCGUAGGUUUGUAUGAUCUUGGAAUAUUUGGAUGCCAGCUCCAGAUAACUCCAGCUCCUUGCAGUCCUUUACUUCAAACUCUUCAAGGAAAGUGAGAUGUUGGAACACAGGAAGCAGUGACCUCAAUCCAUUGCAGUUAUGAAUUUUUAAUGUUUUCAAUUGAACAAGAUGUUGAAGCCAAAUGGGGAGAGACACCAGCUUUGGAAUAUUAUCAAUCUCCAAAUGAGAGAGAUUCUUAAGGGGUUCCCAUUGCAUGCCCUCUAAAUCAACCUCCUUGCAAUCUCCUAUUGUUAAUCUUUUGAGGCUGGUGAGAUAUUGCAGGCACUCAUCUAGCGUGUGAGUGUCCAACCCCUCAAUGUUGUGUACAUCGAAAGAUUUCAAUUUGGAGAGAGGAAGAGAAGAGGUUGAAGUUGAUGGGGUCGUACUAGUGAUGUUCAUCUUCAUGGUCUGCUUUAACGGCCUUGAACUGGUAUUCGACAACAUUAGAUCUUCAUCGAGUGAUGAAUACAGUGGCAUUGAAGUCAAAGGGCAAUUUUUAAUUUCUAAAGAGGAAAGACAAGGAAAUGCCAUAGUUGAUGUUCCCAUAACUGUUGUGUCGUCCUCGUUGGAAUCAUCAUCGAUUGGCUUUGUCGUCCUCCACCAACUCUUCAUAUUUGGGCAAUCCCGUAGGCAAAGAUGCUUAAGUGAUGGGAAGAAUGAUUGUGGUUCUCCUUGACUUCCUUUUGGGCUAUUAUCAUCCAUGUACUCCAGCUUAGUACAAUCAUAUAUCUCCAGCCCUUUAAGACAAGGAAAUUGCGCAAAGGACGGGAUUUGUUUGAAAUUACUACCACUUAUGUCAAUUGUGACGAGAUUUGUGAGCAAAGGAAGCCAACUUGGAAACUUGCCAUCACCCCUCCAUCCUGCAAUACAGAGCUCCUUGAGAUUAGGAUGGGGCUGGAGGUCUUCAAGUGACUUCUCAUCGUCAUCAUCAAAACGAAGGCUCCAUUCUAAAAGCAACGAUCUCAAAUGUUGCUUCUCUUUCAAAUUAGCAGCCUUAAACUUCUCUUUUGCAUUUUUUACGAAUCCCAAAUUUGUUAUUUGUAGACGUCCCCUUAAGUUGUUACGCAGUCUCAAUUCACUUAGACCUGCACCGCCAUGGGACCCAUCUUUAUCCACUACAAACAUGCUUAACGUCUCAAGUGAAGUCAGCUUCCCUAUUCCACGUGGCAUAUGAGUUAAACUAAAACACUACGACACCCAAUAUGGGUAAGAUUCACCAAUUCUUCAAUCUUCUUUGGCAAUUCUUUAAGCCCAAAACAGCAGUCAAGUUUCAGCGCUAGCAAAUUCUGAAUCUUGCAAAUACUCUUUGGGAGAAUCUUAAUAUUGUAAUUGGAAGAAAGGUCAAGGUACCUCAAAUGUUUCAACUUACAAAUGGAGGGUGAAAUCUUUUGAAUACCUAUAGAAUAUAAUUUCAAUACACGCAAGCAUCUACAAUUUGCAAUUAUCAAAUCCCAACUUUCUUCACUAAAAUCUUGAUCUAUGCUGUUUGGAAAGUGUAACAAGGUUCGCAACUUCUUUCCCUUAAACAAAGGAAUUAAUGAAGGAAUUAAUAAAGGAUUAAUUGAUAUGUGGCGACAUUUUUCACCAGCAUCACUUGCAAUUUUAUUUGAAUCUACAAUACUACUCUCCAUCCCUGCUACUGAUUCAGCUAGAUCUUGCAUUAAAUCAUGCAUUUUACAUCUCAUAUCCCCAAAUCCAUAUUCUUCUACCUCUUGAAAGAAACUCCUUUCAACUAAAUCUUUAAAAUACCCAAACCCGAUCUCCUCCAGAGAUUGACUUUGAUUCAAUUGCUUUAUGAAACCCUGUGCAAUCCAAAAUUGAACAAGCGCUUGCACUUGAAUUGUGUAAUCUGUUGGAUACAAUCGGCAAUAAGCAAAGCAAUGCUUCAAAUGAGACGGGAGAUGAUCAUAACUCAAUUUCAGUAUAGGUAGAAUUUCUCCUUCAAUUUGUGAAAUUUUAGCAAGUUCAUUUUCUUUGAAAGAAUGCCACUCAUUUGCAGUUUUCUUCUAAGAUAAUGUACCAGCUAUCGUCCUUAUGGCUAAGGGAACCCCACCACACCUUUCCGAAAUCUGUCUCCCUACUUCCACAAAGGCUGAAUUUGUUGAGUCUGCAUAUCCUUGCUCAAAUGCUAUCUUUUUGAACAAAGACCAAGCAUCAUCACCAGACAAGCCUUUCAAUUUCAAAACAUGGGAUUGACAUUUAUUAGUUAUCUCCGCCACCCUUAGAGAUCGAGUAGUUACUAUUAUCCUACUCCCUUUAGCCCCGCCCAUCAAUAACUUCUUUAGCCUAGACCACCUUUCUGGGUCCUCAUUCCAAAUGUCAUCCAAAACAAGCAAAUAUUUUUUCCCAUCAAUUUUAUCUCGAAGUUGUUUUUGCAAUUGAUCCAUUUCAAGAUUUUGAUCAGGUGCUUGAUUAGUCACAGAUUUGUUAAUGUUUGCUACAAUAACUUUCACAUCAAAAUCAUCUGAAACACACGCAAACAUCGUUAAGUCAAUUGAAGCUAAUCUCGCCUUAAUGGCCUUCAUUUUCCGACCCAUUUUGAGACCAUAAGCAAAUUGGUUUGAGCUCGAGAAGAAAAGGCGUACCUCUUCCGUCAGCUUGUUCCCACCCAUUAGAUCUUUCCGCAAAGCUUCGGUAGAGAAAUCAUCGAGCAAGUCGUCAGCAUCGUAAAGUACAUCUUUCAGCUUUUCAAGCCAAUCUUUGACGAGAUGGCUGGUCACGGAUCGCUCUUCUGCGUCAAGAAGCGCAGCUUUGAUUGUAGAGACGGUGCUUUUGAGGUCGUCGAGGUCAUGUUUUAGAUUCCACCACAGCCCAACUUGAGAGAGAGCACGAGAGCUCAACUUAAUAAUGAGCUCUGCGGCAAUGUCGAAAGCAAUUGCUUCGGCCAUUGUUGGUUCGAACUGAAAUCAAGGCAAAAAGUGUUUGAUUCGUGAGAGAGGAGGACUAAAAUGAGAAUGAUCCCAGCAAGAUGAAACACAGAUGUGGAUCCAUCCACCCAGCAAGUAGUAUAAUUAAAUAAAAAGUAAUGUUGAUUGGUGGGAAAUGGUCCGUCCAUGUUUACUGUUUGACACAAAUUUCUGAAUGGAGACAAAGUUGAGAUGAUGACACUAGGGGUGCUCUGCACAACGUACAAAUAAUUGAAAUUAAUGAAAAAGGUAUGAAAGAAAAGAGAAAAAGGAGACAAAUCCCAUGGAAUCCAAGGUGUUUUGAUUGAAGUCUUUCUAAACCUUCUUCCCACUUACUUUGUGUAAUUGAGUGAGUCUCAAUACUCGGUUAAAUUCAAUAUUUUAUUUUUGAGUUUAACUUUGGUUGAAUAUAUAAAAUAAAAAUUCAAUAAAACUCAUUCGCCAUUAGAAUCAAAUAUUAUUAAAUUCGAAUCCGAUUAAAUCAAUAAUUUAAACAUAACUUAAUGACUACUAAAUCAAAUUUAAAUCUUUUUUGAAUCGAAUUUAAUUAACUUACAAAUGAUUAUCAUGUCCACCUUUCUCACCCACCUACUUAGCUUUGAUUUUGUCUUUUAAAGUAACUUGGUGUCUAUAAUUAUAUAUUACGACAAUAGUUACUGUUAUAAUUGUUUGUCUAUGCAAUAUAUCAAAGUAAAAUAUAAGAGUUUAACAUUUGUUAACCCUGUUAUAAAAAUUUAAUUUAACUCUUUAAAAAUUAUAAAGAUAUAUUACUAUAAAAAUAUAUAAUUUAAUUCCGACUAAAAUUUUUUUUUAGCUUGGCUACUAUUGAAAAAUUAAUUUAGUUUUUGAACACAACAUGUGGAAAGAUAUUGGGUUUAUGUCAGCUCCAUGGGAAUGUAUUUAAUUGGUAUUGAAGGAAAAAUCAUUACUUAUACCAUCAUGAAGAUUGCUUCCACUGCUCAUAUCUAUUUUAUUAUUUUAUUACACAUAUAAUUGUUUUAUUGUGAGUUGGAUGAUUUUGGUUUUUUUUUAAGAUAUUUUAUUUUUAAAUAUAUUUUUAAAUAUUUAUUUUACACAUACAUGUAUUUUAACUUAAUACAUUUAAUAGUAUUUUUUUUAUAAUAAAAAAACCCAAAGGUCGCUACCUCAUUUUAAGUUGCAUCAUAAAUUACAAUGUUAUGAUUAUCGAUCGCUAAGAUAAUUCAUCUCAAAAGACAAAUUACUACACUUAGAAAGAGCCCAAUUACAAAGAGAAUCAGCUAAUUUGUUAUAACCACGUUUCACCCAUUUAACCUCGAAAGAAACAAAAGAAUCAAGCAUCUUGUGAGCUCCUUAAUGCAGUGAUCAAGGAUCGUUAUGUCCUCCUUGUGAAAACUAAAGCGGUUGACAAUGUUAGCACAAUCUGUUUCAAAAAUGACAUUAUGUUUAAAGUGUUUAUUAAUUAUUUUGCAAAAUGAAAGUAUAAUAACUUUUUUGGCAUUCCAACUUUAUAAAAGAAUUAUUUUAGCUCUCUAUUUACUUUCAUUUUCUUUUAGUCUUUGAACUUAUAUUUUUUUUUGUCAAACCAUCCAAAAUGGGUGAAAAAGUUAACAUUUGUUAACUUUGUUGACAUGACAUAUAGGUAGAUUACCACGUGUAUGUCACGUUAACAAUUAAUUAUUUUAAAAAAAUAUUUAAAAAUAUUUUUUUGAAUUUUUUUAAAAAAUAAUUAAUUGCUUAUGUGGCAUAUACGUGGCAAUCCGCGUGUAUGUUACAUUAGCAAAAUCAACAUACGUUAAUUUUUCACUCAUUUUGAGGUGAUUUGACAAAAAUUACAAGUUUAAGAACUAAAAGAAACGAAAAGUUAAAUGGAGAGUUGAAAUAACUUUUUCUAUAAAGUUAGAGACCAAAAGAAUCAUUAUUGCAAAAAAAAUAGUUGUUUUUCUUCUCCUUUUUUUUUUGUAUUUUUUAGUGCUAAAAUUCAAGAUGGUGCGGAAUAGUUUUUAAUCUUAUUAUUGUUAUAUAUGUUUUCGACCUCAUUGGAGCUAAUCUCACUGUCUAUAUAAAGAGAGCCUAAAUAUUAUUUGUUCAGCUUCUUUUAAACAAGUUAGUGCUCCUUUGUAUGAUCAUUUACCUCCCAUGAGUAAGGUUGAGUAAAUAAAAUAAAAAAAUAUUUGAAAAUUGAUCCAAAUCAAGGUGUUUAGACGGUUUAUGGAAUACAAAUUAAAAAAUCACAAUUAUUCGAAACCGAACCAAAUUAUAUUCUUUAUUUUAAUUUAUAAAUAAAUUUAUUUUUAUAAUAUAAAAAUAAAUAUUUUAUAUUUAAAAAUAGUGAAAAUAAAUAAAUAUAUUUUAAAAAUAUUAUAUAAAAGUAUUUAAUUAUUUUUAUCUACUUAAAAUAAUUUUAAAAAAUAUCUAUGAAAAAAACUUUGAAAAUUUGUCAAAUGAUAUUUAAAAGCCGUAAAAUAAAGUUUAUUUUAUUAAAAUAAUUAUAAAAAUUUAUAAUAACAAAAUCGAACUAAACUAAAUUAUAAUGGACGGAUAAAAAAAUAGAAUCGAAUUAAACUAAUAUCACUUGAUUUUAUUGCACCAAACUGGACAUAAAGGAUCUUCUUAAAAAAUUUAACCUGNNNNNNNNNNNNNNNNNNNNNNNNNNNNNNNNNNNNNNNNNNNNNNNNNNNNNNNNNNNNNNNNNNNNNNNNNNNNNNNNNNNNNNNNNNNNNNNNNNNNAGUACAUAUCAUAUGAUAAUUAUAAAUUUAAUUAUUUAAUUCUUAUAAAAUUAAAUAUAUUACAAAUUAAUAUUUAUAUAAUAUAUAUUAAAUACAUGUAAAUUUAUAAUCAUAAAUAUAUUUUUAAUUAUUAUUUGAUAUAAAUAAUUUUAUUAUAUUUUAUUAUUUUCAUUUAUAUAAAAUAUAGUCCUUAAAUGUUGAAGUCUAAACCCAACCCUUAAACAAAGGAAUUAAAUUUAAAGUUGAGAAAGAUAUGGAUGGUAGUAAUGGGAGCAUAAGCAUGUAGAAGCAAUGGUGGCAUUUCAUCUUAUUAGCAGCUUUGGAAUAGAUUCUUAAGGAUGAGUAGGAAUCUGUAUGCUUUUUUUUUAAUUUUUAUAUUUAAAACAUUAGUUAAUUGCUAAUGUGGCAUCCAUGUGUAUGUCAUGUAAGUUUAAGGACUAAAUUGAUUUUUUCAUAAAGUUAGAAGGUUAAAUAAACCAUUAUGCCAAAAUAUAAUAGAGAAUUUAAAAAAAAUGAAAAUAUUUAUAUUUUAUUUUAUAUUUGUUUAAGUUCGGCCUGGUCCAAAAUAUAAACUUAAAGUCUGUUCAAAUUUGUAAACAGUUAACUCAAACUCAUUUUAAAUCCACUCAUACUAUUUUAAAAAAAAUUUAAAUGAACUUAUAUUAUUUUUAACUUAAUAUUUAAUAAUUUUACAUUUUUAUUAAAAUUUUAUAUAUAGUCAUCUUAAGAUUAUAAUAGUAUUAUAAUUUUUAUUUUUAUUUGUUACAAAUUACAUAACAUAUAAAAUUAACAUAAUAUAAAAUAUUGCAAACUUAAAAAUUGGGUCGGACCCAACUUAGGCUUUGAAUAUUCAAAUUCAAGCUCGACUCAUAUUUUAAAUGGGCCUAUUUUUUAAAUUUAAUAGUUUUAUCCAAAUCUUCCAAAAUUUCAAAUGAGCCUUUGAGCUUGACAAAGAACAGUAAGUCUCUUUCCCUAUUAUUUUGGCUAAACAAUACUGUAAGAUCAGCUGAUGAAGAAUGCAUACAGAUCGACUCUUCAACAAAGAAAAAGAAAGAACAAAUGUGCAUAGAGAGGAGGAUUUCAUGGGAGCACAAUUCCAUGGACAGAUCAGCUGAUGAAGAAUGCAUGUCCUGCUUUUUGGCUCUUCCAUUGAACUCAUGCUGAAAAAGAAGUUGCUUAGUUACGAGGUUACAUUAGAUCAUCUGAAAUUAUGAGAUUAUUAUGAUUUUAAAAAUGUAAAGCAAUUUAGUAAUUACCACCUAUUUGCCUGCAUCUAAAUUCUUAAAGUUGUCAAAUGCCUUUCAGAAAAAUACAUGCCAAUCGAAUAUGUGGGCAGAUAAACAAAUGAGGGUAGAAAGUACGAUCUCUGCUUUUUGUAUUGCAUGCUAUGCUCUGCCGAAGAAUAGAGCCAAAAGCUAACAAAAAUGAAGGGUAAAAAGAUUAAUGGAAACCUUGUAGUUUUCAAAGGUGAAUAAAUAAGGACAAUUAAGAUCGGUGUUAACAGUUUUUACUAAUAUUUUGAAAACAUUUGAAAACAUUUUAAAUAAGUUAAUAUAUAUAAUAUAAAAAAUCUAUAAAAAUUUUCAAAAUUCAAUUAUUGUAAUAUAAAACUUUCAUAUCUAAAAACCCUAAAUUAAAUUAAACUAUUUCAAUUGAAUCCAACAAACAAAUUAGACCGAAAACCAAUUAAUAUGAUUGGUUCGGCCACCUAUCUAGUUUUAAAAACCUUAACCAGCACAACAUCAGUAUGUGAAUUUAAUUUCGUAUUUAUUUAAUUUGGUUAGCACAUAUUAAUAGUUUUCAUAUUCUCUUUAGUUUUUGUAUAUUGGGAUUGUGUAAAAUUUAAAAUUUUAGAUAUUUUUAUGUUCAUAUUUUGUUUCAUAAAUAUAUAGGGGUAAGCUCUCACUAAUUUUCUCAAGCUUUUAGGAGUUCCUUCUAUUGAAGCAAUAUCAUGAGCGAAUCUAUAAUCAAUAUAUAUGAGAAAGAAAAAAUAUAUAAAAAAGUAAAAUAAAAAAUGAAAAUAGAUUUGGACACUUAUGGAUGUUAUCAAACUAUUGUCUAACUCGUGUUAUGAAAAAAAAAUCACAAUUAAAAGAAUAUUGUAUGCUUCAAUGAAAGUCACAAUUUAUCUUUGAUCAUGCUUGUUUGCAACUAAGUAGCAAUAAUGUAACUACAUGUUCCUACAAACCUCGCACUAGUCGACUUUGCCCUAUGAUCCAUUAGUCGAAUUUGUGAUGUCUAUAUUUUAAUAUGCGAGGUAUUUAAAGAAAUAGAUACAUGAAUUUAUUUUUGUAGUGGAUAAAUAUAAUUAUUUAUUUACACAAUAUAUAAACAUAAAAUGAUGUCAUAUUAAUAAUUUAUGAAAAUUAGAUCAAAUUAAAAUUUCAUGUAUAAAAUUAUAUGUUAUGCCAAAGUUUAUAUGUAGUUUUGAGAUUUAUCCCAUUUUCCUAUUAACUUAGCAAGUAGGUUGAGCAUUAAAUGUUCGCUCAAAUAUGAUAGGGGACAUACUUAAAACACAUGUGUACAUGCUAUAUAGGCAACUUGAAUCUAAUUUGUUAAAAGAAGAAGAAGAAGUAAUCCUCUUAAAUUUUAUAAUCUCAGCGUGUUUUUAAUAUGUUAGAAUCAAGUUAUCAAUAUGAUGAGUACACAAGUAUUUACAAUUUAAUCCAUGUCAAAUGAGAACAGAAAUUUAAAAUCUAAAUUGAUAGCUACAAAAAUGAAAUGAUUUUAUUGAUAUAAUAUUAAUACUUUCAAAACUUAAUUAAAAUAUUUUAUAAUUUAUAAAUUAAUUUUAAAAAAAUUAAUUAAUAAAUUGAGAAUAUUUAAUACAAAUAACUUCUUAUAUGAAUAUAAAUAAUUAUAACACAUUUAUUAUUAAAUGAAAAUAAUGUUGUUUGGUUGGAAAUGGUCCCACCGUAUUUUACGUUUGGGGAACAAAGCGACGGUGUUUUGGUUGGAGAAGAAGGAAGUAACGUCGUUAAGUACAUCGUUUUGUUUAUCUUUAUUUUAAAUUUGUUUUCUCGUUUUCUAUUUUACGCCGCUAAUAUUCUUUUUUGAGUAAACUAUAUUAAAAGUCAUUCAACUAGUUAAAAAGUUACAAAAUGAUCACCAAAUUAUUAGUAAUUUCUUUUACCUAAUUAUGAAAAGUUAUAAAAUAAUAAAUUUUUAUUAUUAUUUAGCGCAUACGAGUAUUUGUUAUUUUUUUUCUUUGAAUUUUUCAUUUAUUCAUUGAAUGAAUUAAUAAAUUUCUCUUUAAAAAAUUUACUCGGGGCAGAACAUAACAAGAGUCAAAGCUUCAGCUUGUAAUAUUGGCUUGUGCCAUGAUAGGCCUUUAUAAGGUGUUGUUCAACUUAUAAUUUGAUGUGUGCCAACAUAAGCAUCAACACACAAGUCAUGUAUAUACAGCCAGGACAUCGACAUCUUUUGGAAGAGUCCUAGUCCAAGCAUCAUAAUUGAACAUAGCCUUGGAAUACAUACCGUCUAAAACAAUUAUUGUCUCAUAAUCAAUUGUGCAUCCCUGCAUUUGAAUACUAUUUGGAACAUUAAAAAUGUGUGUUUUCUUGAGUUGGUAUAUAUUAUGCAACAAGAAAAAUAAAGAACACAAUUAAGAUGUUUACGCAGUUCGAAACUCGUCCUACGUCUGCGGGGCUUUGCCCAAAGAUGAAUCCACUAUGAACUUCAUAGUACAAAGAAAUUAUUUAAGCUUAACCCCUCAAACACUUAAUUAUACGUCUGAAGCAUCUUCCUUUUUUUCUUGUUUGGACCUUCAAUAACAAAUUUGGCUGGAAUUCUAAACAGCUAAAAGAGUGCCCUGCAUCAAUGAAUAUUAUGAAUUUGAAUACCUCCAAAAGCCUGUCAAUAUCACAGGUACCAUCCAAGAUAAUACUCAGUUGGCAUAUAUUAAGAGAAAACAUAAAUAUAUAUAUAAAUACAUAUAAUACAACCACAUCAAUGAUUUUUUAGAAUUAAAUUAUUAGAAGCAAUUGUCAAGUUAUUAUUAUGAUUUAAAAGUAAAAAGCAAAUAGAUAAAUUACCACCUCUUUUUAUGCAUGUAAAAUGAUUGAUGUUGACUAAUGCGUUUCUCCAAUGCCUUAAUGCACAAAUCACCAAAAAUAUUAUGAAAGAUGAUAAGUAAAAAGUAGGAUUAAAACAAAGGGAUUUUAACAAGGAAAUUAACAGUAUCCAACUUCAAUGAAAAAUGGCAUCAGACCCCUCACUUGGAGAUUCAAUAUACCACUCUUAUUUUUCUUCAAAAAAAGAUAAGGUCAUCAUAUUAAAUAAAUAACAAAGACAGACCAACCUGAUUCAACCAAAUGUUGGGGAUGUGAGCAAUCUUUUGCCAAUCAGCGCCAAUGUCCUUCCGACAUCUUUCCUCCAACUGAGGAAUUUCUUGUAUGUGUAAAUACUUCAAACUGGUUAGGCAAUGCAUCUGGUCCGGAAGAGAUGUUAAAUUGGGCAAAUUAACGAGAAAAAGCCGUUGCAGAUUUGUUAGAUGUUGAAGCCACUCCGGAAGAUACCGACACUUUGGAAUAUUUUGCAGCUGUAGAAAGCGUAGGCUUGUAUGAUCUUGGAAUAUUUGGAUGCCAGCCCCAGAUAACUCCAGCUCCUUGCAGUCCAUUACUAAAAAGUCUUCAAGGGAAGUGAGAUGUUGGAACACAGGAAGCAGUGACCUCAAUCCAUUGCAGUUAUGAAUUUUUAAUGUUUUCAAUUGAACAAGAUGUUGAAGCCCAAUGGGGAGAGACACCAGCUUUGGAAUAUUAUCAAUCUCCAAAUGAGAGAGAUUCUUAAGGGGUUCCCAUUGCAUGCCCUCUAAAUCAACCUCCUUGCAAUCUCUUAUUGUUAAUCUUUUGAGGCUGGUGAGAUGUUGCAGGCACUCAUCUAGCGUGUGAGUGUCCAACCCCUCAAUGUUGUAUACAUGGAAAGAUUUCAAUUUGGAGAGUGGAAGAGAAGAGGUUGAAGUUGAUGGGGCCUUAGCAUUGAUGUUCAUUUUGAUAGUCUGCUUUAACGGCCUUGAACUGGUAUAGAACAACAUUAGACCUUCAUCGAGUGAUGGAUACAGUGGCAUUAAAAUUAAAGGGCAAUUUUGAAUGUCUAAAGAGGAAAGACUAGGAAAUGCCAUGGUUGAUGUUCCCAUAACUGUUGUGUCGUCCUCGUUGGAAUCAUCAUCGAUUGGUUUUGUCGUCCUCCACCAACUCUUCAUAUUCGGACAGUUCCAGAGCGAAAGAUGCUUCAGUGAUGGGAAGAAUGAUUGUGGUUCUCCUUGACUUCCUUUUGGGCUAUUAUCAUCCAUGUACUCCAGCUUAGUACAAUCAUCUAUGGUCAGCCCUUUAAGACAAGGAAAUUGCGCAAAGGACGGGAUUUGUUUGAAAUUACCACCACUUAUGAAAAUUUUGACGAGAUUUGUGAGCAAAGGAAGCCAACUUGGAAACUUGGCAUCACCCCUCCAUCUUUCAAUACAGAGCUCCUUGAGAUUAGGAUGGGGCUGGAGGUCUUCAAGUGACUUCUCAUCAUCAUCAUCAUCAUCUUCAUCAUCAGAAUCAAAUUUCCAUUGUAAACCCAACCAUCUCAAAUGUUGCUUCUCUUUCAAAUUAGCAGCCUUAAACUUCUCUUUUGCAUUUUUUACGAAUCCCAAAUUUGUUAUUCCUAACCCUCCCCUUAAGUUGUUAAGCAGUCUCAAUUCACUUAGAUCUGCACCGCCAUGGGACCCAUCUUUAUCCACUACAAACAUGCUUAACGUCUCAAGUGAAGUCAGCUUCCCUAUUCCACGUGGCAUAUGAGUUAAACCCCUACAACCUUCACACCCAAGAUGGGUAAGAUUCACCAAUUUUUCAAUCUUCUUUGGCAAUUCUUUAAGCCUAUGACAGCUGUCAAGUUUCAGCGCUAGCAAAUUCUGAAUCUUGCAAAUACUCUCUGGGAGAAUCUUAAUAUUGAAAUUCCAAGAAAGAUCAAGGUACCUCAAAUGUUUCAACUUACAAAUGGAGGGUGAAAUCUUUUGAAUACCUAUAGAAUUCAAUUUCAAUACACGCAANNNNNNNNNNNNNNNNNNNNNNNNNNNNNNNNNNNNNNNNNNNNNNNNNNNNNNNNNNNNNNNNNNNNNNNNNNNNNNNNNNNNNNNNNNNNNNNNNNNNUCAAAUCCCAAGUUUCAUAGCUGAAAUCUUGACUUAUUUUGUCUUGAAAAUGUAACAAGGUUCGCAACUUCUUUCCCUUAAACAAAGGAAUUAAUGAAGGUUUAAUUGAUAUGUGUCGCCAUUUUUCACCAACAUCACUUGCAAUUUUAUUUGAAUCUACAAUACUACUCUCCAUCCCUGCUACUGAUUCAGCUAGAUCAUGCAUUAAAUCAUGCAUUUUACAUGUUAGCCCUUCCCUUGAAUAUCUUUCUCCUACUUCUUGGAAGAAACUUAUUUCAACUAAAUCUUUAAAAUACCCAAACCCGAUCUCCUCCAGAGAUUGACUUUGAUUCAAUUGCUUUAUGAAACCCUGUGCAAUCCAAAAUUNNNNNNNNNNNNNNNNNNNNNNNNNNNNNNNNNNNNNNNNNNNNNNNNNNNNNNNNNNNNNNNNNNNNNNNNNNNNNNNNNNNNNNNNNNNNNNNNNNNNNNNNNNNNNNNNNNNNNNNNNNNNNNNNNNNNNNNNNNNNNNNNNNNNNNNNNNNNNNNNNNNNNNNNNNNNNNNNNNNNNNNNNNNNNNNNNNNNNNNNNNNNNNNNNNNNNNNNNNNNNNNNNNNNNNNNNNNNNNNNNNNNNNNNNNNNNNNNNNNNNNNNNNNNNNNNNNNNNNNNNNNNNNNNNNNNNNNNNNNNNNNNNNNNNNNNNNNNNNNNNNNNNNNNNNNNNNNNNNNNNNNNNNNNNNNNNNNNNNNNNNNNNNNNNNNNNNNNNNNNNNNNNNNNNNNNNNNNNNNNNNNNNNNNNNNNNNNNNNNNNNNNNNNNNNNNNNNNNNNNNNNNNNNNNNNNNNNNNNNNNNNNNNNNNNNNNNNNNNNUGGGUCCUGAUUCCAAAUGUCAUCCAAAACAAGCAAAUAUUUUUUCCCAUCAAUUUUAUCUCGAAGUUGUUUUUGCAAUUGAUCCAUUUCAAGAUUUUGAUCAGGUGCUUGAUGAGUCACAGAUUUGAUAAUGUUUGCUACAAUAACUUUCACAUCAAAAUCAUCUGAAACACACGCAAACAUCGUUAAGUCGAAAUGAUUUUUGACCAUUUCAUGGUUAUAGACAAAUUGGGCCAAAGCAGUCUUCCCU
rnacentral:lncRNA from 1 species